rnacentral:lncRNA from 1 species
GAUGAUGGCAUGGGCGGGAGGAGGAAGAAGGGCAUCAAGGAGAAGAUCAAGGAGAAGCUCCCCGGUGGCCACGGUGACCAGCAGCACACCGGUGGCACCUACAGACAGCAGGGUACUGGCAUGGUCGGCACCGGCGGCACCUACGGGCAGAAGGGUCACACUGGGAUGACCGGCACCGGCGGCACCUACGGGCAGCAGGGUCACACUGGGAUGACCGGCACCGGCGGCACCUACGGGCAGCAGGGCCACACUGGGAUGACCGGCACCGGCGGCACCUACGGACAGCAAGGCCACACCGGGAUGGCCGGCACCGGGGCGCAUGGCACCACGGCCACUGGUGGCACCUACGGGCAGCCGGGCCACACCGGGAUGACAGGCACGGGGGCGCACGGCACCGGAGGCACCUACGGGCAGCACGGCACUGACACCGGCGAGAAGAAGGGCAUCAUGGACAAGAUCAAGGAGAAGCUCCCAGGCCAGCACUGAGCGCUGAGGAGAGCCCGCGGCCGCCACUUCUGAGAGUGGAGGUGCCGGUCGACCACCGUUGCAGAAUCAAUAAUAAGAUCGCGAUACGAUACAAUAAAAUUCCACCAUACAACGUGAGCCUAGUUCACCUAGCUCACUUGCGUGUUGGAGGAGCCACUGUAUCUAGGCUCAAGUUUACGUGAACAAACAGUGUUUUGAGUUUUUCGUCUGUUUAUUACACUGUAUAAUCUUGUAAGUUUCCUGUGGUUAAACCCUGUAUGUACGCUUUACGGUAUGGUCCUCGCGUACAGGUUAGUUCUUUAUCAAAUAAAUAAUACCGUCUUAAGAGUAGCUUAAGAGCGUCAUAUGUCUUUUCUUUUUCAAGGAAAGCCCCAUGGCGCACUUCAUUUAUUAUUAAAAAGGACUACAUCAUUGAAAACAUCACUUCUAAUAAAACUCGGGAGUAUCACCCUCCCAAAAACUAUGAAUUUGAAUCAAAAGCAUAUCUAGCAAUCUUGUGCGCCACCCCAUUAGCUUCCGUAGAACAAUGAAUAACCUUGAUAGAGCCAUGCACUUGGAAUUUGUGGAAACAUUCCAUCAGUAUAGCAGCAUAUGGACCUAGCACCUCUGUCUCACCAUUACAUACUUCAGCAAUCACCAGGCCGGUGGUUUCAAUUUUCCCCUUUUCAUUUUCGUUUUAUGAACUUCUUUCAAAUUCUCGAAUACUUGCUGAAAUCAUGAGCAUUUUUGCAAUUCAUGAAUAUAUUUUAAAAUCAUGAACAUUUUUUGAAAUAAUAAACAUUUUUCGAACACCGGACAUUUUUUUAUGAAGUCCCGAGCUUUUUCUGAAAUUGUGAAAUUAUUUAGAGUAUGCAAACAUUUUUAGGAAGUUUUCGAAUCGACGAACAGUUUUCUGAGCCGGCAAUCAUUUUUCAAAAUUUUGGUAAAAAAAUAAAUUCAUGAAUAUUGUUUUGUUUAUAUGAACAUUUUUAGAAAAUGCAUGAACAGCUUUUGAAUUCAUGAACAUUUUUUGACUCAGCGAGCAUAAUCGAUGAACCUUUUUGAAAUUGGGGAGCAAAAUUAGAAAUCAUGAUUUUAUUGAAUUUUGUUUUCUGUAUGUAACAAAAAAAAUAUAAAUUCUCCAACAUGUUCCAAAUAUGCAAUCGUUAUUUUAAAAUUAUGAAUAUAUUUUUAUUUCCUGAAUAUUUUUGUGAAAUCAUGAUUUUUUUUAUAAUAUCCAACAGUUUUAUAAAAUCACCAGAUUUUUUUGAAUUCGUGAAUAUUUUACAUUUUUCUGAGCUUUUUUGAAUUCACGAACAUUUUGUUUCGAAACUCGCAACUUUUUAAAAUUUGACAACCCCCAAUAAUUUUAAUGAAGGAAAAACAGAAACAAAAUUGAGAAAAUGAAAGGUAAGAAAACAAGCGCUUCCUAUUCAGAGAGAAAAAGGGAGAGAAUAAGGAAUGAAACUAGGAUCGAACUCCUGUCUCCAGGAUAGAAGAGUGAGCCUUAGCUACUGUGGUGCUUAUGCGCUUGUGAUAUUUAAGGAUAUCAUCGUAUAAGGGUGUGUCUGGUUGAGGAACAAACUGUCACGGAAUGAAAUGGUUCCAUUCCAGAGGAACGGGUCGGUUUCGUUCCUGUAUUUGGUAGGUGCAAAAAAGUAGAACGGGUUGGUUCCGUUUCAGUGUUUGGUUUGAAAGAAUGGAAUGAAAAAUAGAAUAACAGAAAUUCAAAAUUUUGGCAGCAUUUCAUUUGUAUUUUCAAAAAAAACAACAUAACAAUAUAUAUUGACAUAGAACUCAAUUUUCAGCAAUGAAGUAGCAAGUUCAUUUGGUACAUCCAGAAGCAAUCAGCCAUUACAUGUCUUUAACAUACAAAUAACCAAAGCAAAGUGCACUACAGCCAUACACCAUUACAUAGCAGCACAUAUUGAAAUAAAAAUUGGGUAACCAUGGAUCUGCGUACUACACAGAAGCACAUAUAUAUGAAACAAAUUGAGGAGGAACAUGGCACACAGGAAAUAAAAUCUGCCCAAACAUGAACAUAUACAGAGAUAUGCAAAGGGGUAGUGGAAACUGCACCUUGCCUCCGCUGCUAGCUGCUGAUCUAGACCUUCUGCAGCACCUCCGGUCGCCCCUACGUGGUAGCCGCCCCGCUGCUUCGUCGCUGCUCCUAGGAUCUGGAUCGUGGCCGAUCUGAUUUGUCGUUGCUGCUUGCUAGGUCGCCGCCAUGAUGCAGAUGCGCGUCAUCACAGAGGAGACGACGGGAGGAAGGUGAAGCCGGGCCGGGGAGGGAUGGAGAAGGCAGAUCGAGAGGGGGGAGAAGCGGGAGGGUGGCGGUGCUAGUCGAGGAGCAGCGAGAGAGGGGGAGAUGCGGGAGCAGCGAGAGGAAAGCGAUAGGGUACGGGUGCGGGGCGAGGGGCUCGUUCCCUGUCGUCCGGCCGAUUUCGAGGUAUGCCUCGGUUCGGCAUAAUGAGCGAAUAUUCCCUUUCCUGGGACGAGUGGGUUCUGAAUUGUUCGACUUACUAAACGCUGGAAUGGGCCGUGGGAAUGGGUCGGACCCAUGACGUUCUACCCGGUGACAACAACCAAACACACCCUAAGAACCAAAGCUGACAACGACUUUGAAAGAAAAAAAAUUGAAUCGUUUUCUUCACUUAUAGUUGAUAUAGUUAGUAAUUUAUGGCUGUUUUGGGGGUAAUUUUAGGGUGGACGGGCGAAACUCCGUCUUAGAUACAGUUGUAGAAAUACAUGAGUAAAGAGAAUAUAAAUGUUAUGAAUUUAGUUCAAAUAGAAAUGGUUGAAGACUAAUACUAGGCUUUUGCUCUAUGAUUACAUUUGAAGUCAUUUCAAGUACUGACAUGUUCACCACUAAGGGCAUCACCAAAGCGGACCCACAAAUCGCUUGCAAUUGUCUGGACUGCUCGGUCCGGGCGUGUUUUGCAUGCAACACGGGUCUAUACCGGUCUGUCGAGUGGUUCGAACAUAUUUUUUCCCGUAAAUCAGAGACGAACUGGGGGCGGGGCCGGGAGUCCAGACAACACCCAUGUAGGACUCUGACACCCCCGGCCACCCAAAACCCCACCAAAACCACUCCCGACCCCGUGCCUUCAUCCUCCCAUUUUCUCUCCCUCUGUUUUUCUCUCUUGCCUUCACCGCCGCUCCAUCAUGCAAGCAUGUGUUGCAGUUGUUCGUGGACCUACUAAACAAUGGAUCCGAAGGCCUUGUGAGAGAUGAUGACCUGUUGUGUAAUCAUCCACAAAAUGAUCAUGGAGGAUGAUGGUGAGGAUGUUGUCGUAGUUCUUGAAUUUAAGAACAUGGGUGAUCCUAUCAAACUUACAGACCAGAAUUUGUCCACAUUUGAAGAGUUUGUUGAAAUGCAUCAACAAAUUCGUCAUCGAGAAACUCACUAGCAACUGAAGUAAGAUAUGAUUAAGCAUAUUGAGCAGUUAAAGGGGACAACGAUGUUGGGUGUAAUAAUUGAACUAUUUUAAAUUAGAACUACUACUCAUUUGAACAUUUGAACUAUUCUAGACUAAAUAUAUGGCUAUUUGAGCGUGCGAACUUAAAAGAAAUUGGGCCCGGAUGUAUGCGGAUAGUGUGUUAAAUGAUCGGCUCCUGCAUCCGUGUUCACGGACUAAUCCCUGAUCACGGACGGACGCGGGAGAAAAUUUGCGAGUCAGCAUUGGAGAUGCCCUAUUAUGGCUUUGCUAUCAUCAUAUCAUCAUCAUCAUCAUUAUUAAUACUUGUACUACUACUGUUACUAUUAUUAUUAUGGAAUUUGUGGGACUAAAGUUGGAUUGCGGAUUGGAGCCAUCUUGCUCAAUAUAUUUGUGUUUUUGUUUUGUUUCUCUUCAUUACAAAUUACAUUGUUAUGAGGGAAGGUAUAUCACCCCACUCCAUCGGUCCAGCCAGUCUAACUUUAUAUCAGUAGGAUGCCUUUCCAGAGAUAGGUACCCUUGUGAUUUUCAGCUCUUACGUAUUUAUUCUACUAGAUGAUACCACACGUGUUGUUGUGGUAUUUUUUUAAAUGAAAUGCACAAUUAGGUGCUACAUAAAUAACUAAAACUAACAAAAACAAAAUUUAAAAGUAUUUUUGAUAUACACUUUAAAAACAUUAAAAAUUAUGAAGCAUAUAACAAAAGCAUAUGUCAAAGAGGAAAAAAAUAGAUUGCAACUAAAAGAGUGUCAUUCUGAAAUAAUCUAAAAUAUCUACUACAUAGGUAUGCUCCAAGCGCCCAACACAUAUAUCGUGUCCAUGAGGGCACAAAACUUAGUGCGAGAAAAUUAAUUGAUAACUUAAAUGAAUGAACAUCAUAUGAGAGGGCAGUGCUGCAUGGACAUAGUAAUGCAAAAAAUGUAACCUAUAAGUUACAUGUAUGACUUACUGAUGUGGCAUGGUUGUAUGUAGUAAAAAUAGAUAACAUGUUGUAGUUAUUUAGCAAUAGAGAAAACGAGUGUAGUUUCUAAAAAAAAGUGAAGCAUCAACUAUAUAGGUAUGCUCCAAGCAUCCAACACAUAUACCAUGUCUAAGGAGCACAAAACAUAAUGCAAAAAAUUAACUGAUGUUCUUAUAUUGCAUGAACUGAUGAUGUGACAGUGCUGCAUGCUGGAAUUUUGUCUAUUUUGGGCCUAGCCCAAUUGCAGUUACAGAAAUUCCUAAUAAAUCCUAGAGGCCCACGCCAGCCCAUUCGUGUAAGGCAAGAGGUGGAACUAAAAUUUAGUCCCACAUUGCUAGUUUAGAGGGAGUUGGACCUCUUUAUAAUGGAGGCUCUUUCUCCACAUGUAUGAGGAUGAGAACAAGAGGGACACCCACGCCACGCCACGCCUCGUCACGUCACGACGCGUUGCGGUGCGAGUUGCGGGAAUAAGCUGAGCCGAUGUCUAAAUUUUUGCCACGCACGAUGGGUAUACGAAAGGUCACUCGGAAGCUGAAACGUUUUUGCUGUAGUGGAGAUUGAAUACGAACGGCGCACCUCUUCGCCUGCUGCCUGUUCGUUUUCGUCUCCCUCGUUCUCUUCAGCUCCCGGUGCAGCCUCUCACCUCCUUCUCUUGCGCCUAUAAAAGGGAGGUCGCUCCUCUCAGAAAGACGCAUCAGAACCUCUUCUUCCUCUCGCCACAAGUUCCUGAGCACUGUGCUGCUGCUAUGUUCUUCCCCAUCCCGACUUGCGGCGUGCACCGAAGGUCGGGACAGUAGGCCUCCAAAACCGCACCUUUUGAGUCAUGUACAGAAGAAGGGUGAUAAGGUUUUUGGGGAGCGCUUCGCACGACUAUUGACUUCUUUGUCACGGACGUCCCGAACUCCGACGACUACUUCCCCAACGACGACUUCUUCCCCGACGUCGACAACCUCCUCGACGACAUGGCUGGCGAGGACACCGACCCCAAGUCCAGCUCUUCUGCUGCUGCUGUCCCGUACGCGUUCUUCCUCUUUCUAUUAGAGGCCCUGCUACAGUUCCUUGUUCUAGUGUUUGCCCUAGAUAUGUUAGACUCUGUUUCAUAUAUGCAACUUGCUAUAUUGUCUACUUUAUAUGUGUUUAGUUAUAGUUCAUAUAUGAAGAUGAUGUUUACCUUCUCUUUGUCAAAUCGCAUGACCUGUUUUAUCACUGCUAUACUAGUCGUGCUUUAUCUAGUAUUUCUGUUAAUAAAAUCAUUCGGUAAAUUGCUCAUAUUUCCAACAAUCCAAAAACCUUAUUAUAGGCAAUUUACCCCGAGUGGUUUUGCUUCUUCCAUGAAACCUCCUAUGUUUGAGGGUAUCCACUAUAAGAGGUGGCGCGUGAGAUCAGUCUUAUGGUUUCAAACCAUGAGUUGCUAUGACGCCACUCUCGGCAAACCUGAAGGAGAGCUUGAUGCUCAACAGGCACAAGCUUUUCAGAAAAUGGAUACUCUGUUUAAGGCUGCUCUCUUGAGUGUUCUUGGUGAGAACAUAGUUGAUGCUUAUGCGUCAAUUGAUAAUGGAAAAGAUAUGUGGGAUGCACUCGAGGCCAAGUUUGGGGUCUCGAAUGCUGGCACUGAGUUGUACAUCAUGGAGCAAUUCUAUGAUUACAGGAUGACUGAAGAGCGCUCCAUGGUUGAGCAAGCUCAUGAGAUACAGUCAUUUGCUAGAGACUUGAGCACUUCAGUUGUAUGCUACCGGACAAGUUUGUUGCCGGAGGUAUCAUCACUAAGCUUCCUCCUUCAUGGAGGAACUUUGCUACCUUACUGAAACAUAAGAGACAUGAGUUUUCCGUCCCGGAUCUCAUUGGCACUCUUGAUGUGGAAGAAAAGGCGAGAGCAAAGGACACACGUACUCGAGGUAUUGAGGGAGAAUCUAGUGCCAAUAUGGUAUAGAAGAAGAACUUCUAGCCCCACAAGUUCACGAACAAGGGCAAGUUUGAUGGUAAAGCAAAGUUUGAUGGGAAGAACAAGGCUGUGCAACACACGAACUUCAAGAAGAAGAAUGACAAGAAGAAAGGUGUUUGUCAUGUGUGUGGGGAUCCUGAUUAUUGGGCUCCUAGUUGCCCCAAUCGCUAUGAUAAGCGUCAUCCUGGGAAAGGCGGCAAGACCGCUAAUGUUGUCAUUGGAGACACUAAAAUGAAGGAUGCUGGACCGCAGGGACUUCAACCGUGCUGAUGGGCAACAGUUCAAGUGCUUCUAUUCGUGGUGUUGGCACGGCCAAUCUGAAGUUUACUUCGGGGAAGAUCGUGCGGCUGAAGAACAUGCAUUAUGUCCCCUCCGUCAAUAAAAAUCUUGUUAGCGGAUCUCUUCUGAGUAGAGAUGGCUACAAACUUGUCUUUGAGUCGAAUAAAUUUGUAAUAUCCAAGUAUGGAACCUUUGUUGGUAGAGGCUAUGAGUCAGGAGGACUAUUUCGUUUAUCCUUAUCAGACGUUUGAAAUAAAGUUGUUAAUCAUAUUUGCAACAAUAGUGAAUCAAAUGUGUGGCAUUCACGUCUUUGUCAUGUUAACUUUGGUUGCAUGUUGCGACUAGCGAAGUUGAACUUAAUCCCUAGUUUCACCACUGUCAAGGGAUCCAAGUGUCAAGUGUUUGUGCAAGCUAAGCAACCUCGUAACUCUCAUGUGACUACGGAAACGAGAAAUCUUGCACCACUAGAACUCAUACAUUCAAAUUUAUGUGAAAUGAAUGGGUUUUGACAAAAGGUGGAAAGAAAUAUUUCAUGACGUUAAUUAACAACUCCACUAGAUACUGCCGUGUGUAUCUUCUGAAAUCUAAGGAUGAUGCUUUGAACUUUUUCAAGAUCUAUAAAGCUGAAGUGGAAAACCAACUUGAUCGGAAAAUCAAGAGGCUUAGGUCCGACCGUGGUGGAGAGUAUUUUUCCAAUGAAUUUGAUACUUUUCGUGUUGAACAUGGUAUAAUCCAUGAGAGGACGCCUCCCUAUUCACCUCAGUCAAAUGGGGUGGCCGAAAGAAAGAACCGUACUCUAACAGAUUUGGUUAACGCCAUGUUAGACACACCGGGUCUCUCCAAGGCAUGGUGGGGGGAGGCGAUAUUGAUUGCAUGUCAUGUCCUAAACUGAGUUCCCACAAAGAAUCAAGAGAUAACUCCAUUCAAGGAAUGGGAGAAGAAAAGAUUAAAAAUCUCUUAUCUACGAACCUGGGGUUGUUUGGCGAAAGUCAAUGUGGCAAUUCCAAAGAAGCGCAAGCUUGGACCAAAGACCGUGGAUUGUGUUUUCCUGGGAUAUGCUUUUCAUAGCAUUGGUUAUAGAUUCUUGGUUGUAAAAUCUAAGGUACCUGACAUGCAUGUCGGUACGAUCAUGGAGUCGAAUGAUGCGACUUUCUUUGAAGAUAUCUUUCCAAUGAAGGAUAUGACUACCUCAUCUAAUCAGGAGAUGCCUAGUUUCGUCGAAUCAGGAACUGGUUAUAAUUACCGAACCAGCCAUUUCGAUGGAACACUUUGAAAAUCCUAUGGAGGAGAACAAUAAAGUUCCUACUAGGAGCAAGAGACAGAGGACUGCAAAGUCCUUUGGUGAUGAUUUUCAAGUGUAUCUCAUAGAUGACACUCCCAGUUCUAUUUUAGAGGCCUAUGCAUCUGAAGAUGCUGACUACUUGAAGAAGCGGUUCGUAGCAAGAUGGAUUCCAUCUUGGCGAAUGAAACUUGGGAGAUAACUUAUCGUCCUUAUGGGUGCAAACCUAUAGGAUGCAAAUGGGUAUUCAAGAAGAAGCUUAGGCCUGAUGGUACUAUUGAAAAGUACAAGGCUCGGCUCGUGGAGAAGGGUUAUACCCAAAAGGAAGGUGAAGACUUCUUUGAUACUUACUCACCUGUGGCUCGACUGACCACUAUUCGAGUUCUACUUUCACUAGCUGCCUCACAUGGUCUUCUCAUAAAUCAAAUGGAUGUUAAGACUGCUUUCCUAAAUGGAGAGUUGGACGAGGAAAUUUAUAUGGAACAACCAGAUGGGUUUGUACUAGAUGGUAAGGACGGAAAAGUGUGCAAGUUGCUGAAGUAUUUGUAUGGACUCAAGCAAGCACCCAAAUAGUGGCAUGAGAAGUUUGAAAGAAUUUUAACAGUUGCAGGCUUUGUUGUAAACAAAGUUGACAAAUGUGUGUAUUAUCGCCAUGGUGGGGGCGAGGGAGUUAUCCUUUGUUUGUAUGUUGACGACAUACUAAUUUUCGAAACAAAUCUAAAUGUUAUUAAGGAGGUCAAGGAUUUCCUAUCUCGUUGUUUUGAGAUGAAGGAUUUAGGAGUGGUUGAUGUCAUUCUGAACAUCAAGUUGUUGAGAGACGAUAAUGGUGGGAUUACAUUGCUUCAAUCUCACUAUGUGAAAAAGAUCUUGAGUCGCUUUGGCUAUAGUGACUGUAAGCCCUCUCCAACACCAUAUGAUGCGAGUGUAUUACUUCGAAAGAAUCAAAGAAUUUCUAGAGAUCAAUUGAAAUAUUCUCAUAUUAUUGGCUCACUUAUGUACUUAGCCAGUGCUACAAGACCUGACAUCUCUUUUGCUGUUAGCAAACUGAGUCGGUUUAUCUCAAAACCAGGAGAUGUGCAUUGGAAAGCUCUAGAGAGAGUUUUGCGUUAUUUGAAAGGCACUGCGAAAUAUGGAAUUCACUACACCGGGCACCCAAAGGUGCUUGAAGGGUACAGUGACUCAAACUGGAUCUCAGAUGCUGAUAAGAUAAAGGCCACGAGCGGAUAUGUAUUAACUCAUGGAGGUGGCGCUGUUUCGUGGAAGUCUUGCAAGCAGACCAUCUUAACAAGGUCAAAAAUGGAAGCAGAACUCACAGCACUAGAUACAGCUACGGUCGAAGCAGAUUGGCUUCGUCAGCUCUUGAAUGACUUGCCGAUUGUUGAGAAACCUGUACCGGGUAUCCUUAUGAACUGCGACAAUCAAACUGUAAUCACGAAAGUGAGCAGCUCAAAGGAUAACAUGAAGUCAUCAAGACACAUUCAGAGAAGGUUAAAGUUUGUCAGGAAAGUGAGAAACUCCGGAGUUAUUGCAUUGGAUUAUAUCCAAACGUCUAAAAAUUUGGCAGAUCCUUUCAGUAAGUGUCUAUCACGUAAUAUGAUAGAUAAUGCAUCGAGGGAGAUGGGAAUGAGACCCACAAUAUGAGUUGUUCAAAGUGGUAACCUAGUCUAUGUGAUUGGAGAUCCUGUGAAUUAGAUGUGGAAGAGAAGCUAUUGGUCAACUAAGAGGAGAGUAUCCUGACUAUUAAUACCACUCCAUGAAGAUGCAAUACUCUCCUAAUCUGCAUGGCAGGUUGAUGUAUAUCUUAAUGUGUUCUAAGUGGCUCUUUGAAGAAGAGAUGUUGUCCUGCAGAACAUCUUUUGAAGAACGCACCUAUAUGAGUCUAAUUGUUAAACGUCACAAUCUAUGAGAGUAGGGUUCUCUCUAGUAAACUCAUGAAAGGUCUCGGAGUAUGACGCAUAAGCUCCACCCACGGGGAAGACCCACGGUAGCCAAGUAUUCGCAAAAAACUUGCAGUUCAAGGCCCAGUCCAUUGUCCAAGUUGCUUACUAGUGUAGCAUAGAGUUCUAGGAGGAAGUUCAACUUAACAGUCUCCACUGUAGUACUGGUAUAUAAAACAGUGUUUGGAACCAAAGGCAAAUUUUGUGUGCCUUUGGGAUCUGGUGGGGGAUUGCUGGAAUUUUAUCAAUUUUGGGCCUAGCCCAAUAGCAGUUUCAGAAAUUCCUAAUAAAUCCUAGAAGCCCACUCAGCCGAUUCGUGCAAGGAAAGUGGUGGAACUAAAGUUUAGUCCCACAUUGCUAGUUUAGAGGGAGUUGGACCUCUUAUUCCACUCGCCACAAGUUCCUGAGUAUUGCGCUGCUGCUAUGUUCUUCCCCAUCCUGACUUGCGGCGUGCACCGCAGGUCGGGACAGUAGGCCUCCGAAACCGCAUCUUUUGGGUCAUGUACGGAAGAAGGGUGAUAAGGUUUUUGGGGAGCACUUCGCGCGACUACUGACUUCUUCGUCACGGACGCCUCAGACUCCAACGGCUACUUCCCCAACGAUGACUACUUCCCUGACGUCGACAACCUCCUCGACGACAUGGCUGGCGAGGACACCGACCCCAAGUCUAGCACUUAUGCUGCUGCUGUCCCGUACGCGUUCUUCCUCUUUCUAUUAGAGGCCCUGCUACAGUUCCUUGUUCUAGUGUUUGCCCUAGAUAUGUUAGACUCUGUUUCACAUAUGCAACUUGCUAUACUAUCUACUCUAGAUGUGUUUAGUUACAGUUCAUAUAUGAAGCUGAUGUUUACCUUUUCUUUGUCAAAUAGCAUGACUUGUUUUAUCACUGCUAUACUAGUCGUGCUUUAUCUAGUAUUUCUAUUAAUAAAAUCAUUGGGUAAAUUGCUCAUAUUUCCAACACUGCAUGGAUAUGCUAAUGCAAAAAUGUAACUUAGCAUGCAUGACAUGUUGAUGUGGCAUGGUUACAUGGCUAGGAAAGGAGUAGUGGUUUAUGUCACAAUUAAAUCCAAUGUGAUUUAAGACACACUUAUUGUCGGAGGGAUGAACCCCGGGCAGGCAACGGAACCUGGAUCCUCUUCAAAAAUAGUGGGGCCCGCAUCGCCCCUCAAACCGGCACGCGCCCGACCGUGUCGCUCGACCCGGCAAGGCCUGCAACCCGGAAAAACUCUCUGACCCGGCAAAGUACGUCGACCCGGCCUCAGCAACUGGCGCAUGGCAGCCGAACCCGGCACGACCAAGGCUUCCCCAACAAGCCGACCCCACCUGUGGUGUGCGUCGCAGUCCAGCCACGGGUCAAGCUCCCGUCCCAUCCAGGCCGUACGAUGGGACGAGAUCUCAAUCACCAAUGACCAAGACAACAGUGCUUCCACCCAUGCCUUUGGUCAGCCGGAGCAUGGCAACAGUGCCCCUCACCUACCCGCUGACUGGGGCUGGCGUGGCAACUGUGCUCCCGCCCUCACCGCUGACGGCAUCAAGCGGCAACCUGACAGAGAGUAUUGUACGCGACUCGACUCGGCCAUGCCCCGACGAUCGACAAGAUGGCGCACAGUCCCCCUAGCACGCGGGGCCCGCACCUAGGGGAACCCGGCGAACCACAAGCCCUCAGCGGGACACAGCCCGGCAUCCCGGACACCGACAAUACAGACCCACCGACUCGGCGUAUUACCAUUGUAACCCUGGGUGGGUUGAUCUAUAAAACACCUCAGGAACCCACACCUACAUGGGCAUGUACAAGGUAGCAUGUGAGAAACAGAUACAAGGGACAAGCAAGAAAGCAUAGGACUAGCCACCAAACCGCAACACCGGAGAGAAGGAACAGCCCAAGCCUUGGCCAGCUUCCUUCCUCCUCCAUACAGCUCCAGGAGAAACAUUGUACUAUCGAUCAUCCAACUACACUCAGCAGGACUAGGGGUAUUAUCUCUCCGGAGAGCCCCAAACCUGGGUAUGUCCGGUGUCCCGUGCCCACUCAUGCCAACCUCGCCUCUGGAGCCCACCAGCGCCCUCGAGCCUCCUCCUCUCUUUAGCCAUCCCUUGGCAUCUGCUGUGCACCCACCACGACAGUUGGCGCCCACCAUGGGGCAGCUCAAGGAGCUAGCCGGGAGCAUGCUUUAGAUGGGGCCCUUCUCCUACACCGACGAGUCCGUCGUGCUGGCGGACGAUGUUGUCGGCGUGCUUACCGCCUCCUUCGCCGCACUGCGCAUCUCCGAUGCGUUCGUGGCUGAUGAGUACCCCAGCGAGGUGCUUAGCUACUCCGACUCGCCGCUCUCCCUGGGCGGUGGCAUUGCCGCCGGGGCGAUGGACGUCCAUGUGGAGGUUUACGUCACCGACGAUGGCGCCUCCUCCUCGUCGAGCAAGACGAGGAAGGCCGUGGAAGCCAGGGCCACUGCGGAAUGGACCGAGCCGUCCGAUCCGCUGUGCACUGCGAUGCAGAGCCUCCGCACCCCCAUCGGCACCGACGUCGACGCCACCAACGUCGCCGAGGCCUGAUCUUAGCUCGAGGAAAGGCGCCAGCAGAUGUUGGACCUGUCUGAGACGCUCGCCGCCACCAAGCGGCGCCUGGAGUCCGCUUAGAUGGAGAAUGAUGCCGCCCACGGAUUCACGCCUGCCACGGCUGAGCCAAGUCGGGUCGCCAAUGUGCGUACCCGGGGAGGAGCGAUUGGUUGGGCCCUCGGCGCCGUCCGAACCGUCUACGAGACCCCAGUGAAGAACAUGCGCGCUGCAGAGGCAGCCGCGGUCGGCAUGGACCAGCUCACGGGUGAGGAGCUGAAAGAGCGCAUUGGGCGGAUGCGAGCUCCUCCACGUCGCCAACACCCAGCAGGAUUGCCUCAACCAGUUCGCCAAGCCGAUGGGAUCCAGCUCCGCCCACCUUGGUGGACCCGAUGAACUUCUGCACACAGCUUCCUCGCCGCCCGGCGAGGCGCACUCGGCCAAGCCCAUACUCGGCGCAACCCGGCCGCCACAGCCGCCGCUGUCCUGGGCAACGAGCCCGCCGCGGAGACCUAGCGUGGACCCGGCCAGCAUGGUCGGCGUCCGGCUCCAACUGACCUGGCCCCUCGGGGCCCGGCCGCCAGUCGACUCGGCCCGCGCGCCAUCGAUGACGCAGACGCUCGCCACCGCCUCGAUCAGCUCGCUCGCUCCCUGGAGGUGGAGGAGAGCGGCGCUAUCAGACCGGCGUGCUUCGGCCCAUGCAUCCGGGAGGAGCCCUUCCCCAAAGGGUUCGUGCUCCCCCGCGACACCCCCAAGUACAAUAGGACUGUAAAGGCGGAAGACUGGCUCACCGACUAUACCACGACCAUUGGCAUCACCAAUGCCAAUCGCCAUCUCGCCGUGUGCUACGCACCGCUCACACUCCAGGGGUCGGCCCGCACGUGGUUGAACAGUCUGCCGAUGGGCAGCAUCAAUGUGUAGGUCGACUUUGAGGAGGCCUUUGUUCGCAACUUCGCGGGGACCUACAAGCGACCCGGUCGCCCUAGCCAACUCGCCAUGUGCGUGCAGGGGCCGACGGAGACCGGUCGCAAGUACCUCGCACGCUGGACCGAGCUCCGAAACAGCUGCGAGGGCGUCCAUGAAGUCCAGGCGAUCCAGUACUUCGUCAGCGGGUGCCGAGACGGCACCCUCCACAAGCACAAGCUCUUGCGCUCCGAGCUGGCCAUCAUGGCCGCACUCAUGGUGACGGCGGACAAGUACGCCAACGCUGACUCCGCCAUGAAGAUCCAGGUGGCGCUGGAUGAAGCCGGCAAUGCGAAGCCGGUUCCUCCCUCGAAGCCGGCCGGUGAAAGCAGCCGGCAGCAGCAUCACCAGAACAACAAGCGCAAGGCCGACCAGCCGGCGCAGCGUCACGACAACCGGCAUGUUGCGGCCGCCGAGCCUGUGAAGGACCCGGUGGCGAAGCGUCGGAAGACCGGCAAGAUGGCGUGGCAACCCGCCAUGAGUUUCGAAGAAAUGCUCGACGCCCCAUGCAAGCACCACAACGGCGCAAGACCCUCCACGCACACGCUUUGGCAGUGUGCCAUCACCAAGUGCAUCAUGAGGGGAGACGUCCCGCCUCCUCCGGCUCCGGCUCCAGCUCUAGGCGCGGGACAGCCGCCUCCGCCUCCACCGCCGCCUCCCGCUGGUGGCGCGAUGCGGAACGACGCCUACCCGAACCAGAACGCGGCCUAUGUCGUCUUCACCAGCCUCGGCAACGACAAGUGCAGCGAGCGCCUUCUUCGGCAGGAGGUGAACACCGUCGUCCUGGCCAAGCCGGAGUUCAUGCACUGGUCGGAUCGCCCGAUCACCUGGAUCCGGGAGGAUCACCCAGCAGUCAUGCCGAGUCCGGGUGGUUACGCCCUCAUCCUCAACCCCACCAUCGUCGCGUGGUGCACAUGCAAGUUCUCCCGGGUCCUCAUCAACGGCGGCAGCAGCAUCAACAUCCUCUACCGCGACACGAUGACCAAGCUCGACCUCAAGGACGAGGACCUGGAGCCGGCCCGGACAAUCUUCCACGACAUCGUUCCCGGCCUCUCCUGCUCUCCCAUUGGUCGGGUCCGGCUCGAUGUCCUAUUCGGCGACAACAGCCACUUCCGACGCGAACCGAUCUGGUUCGAGGUGGUGGACCUGUCCAGCGCAUAUCAUGCAUUGCUGGGUCGGCCCGCGCUCACCAAGUUCAUGGCGGUUCCCCACUACGCGUACCUGAAGAUGAAGAUGUCGGGUCCCAAGGGCCUCAUCACCGUCACCGGCGACUACCGCAAGUCCCUGGAGUGUGCCCGAGAUGGUGCCAAGUUGGCCGAGUCGCUGGUCAUUGCCGAGGAGCGGUGCCAGCUCGACCGGAUUGUCGCCCUGGCAGGCGAGGCCUCCGCAGCAUCGAUCCCGACCCCGGACCCGGCCGACGAGGCCGCCUUCAAGCCCUCCAAGGAGACCAAAAAGUGAAGCUCAACCCAGAAGACCCCAGCUGCAGCAAGUAUGUUAUCGUAGGCGCCCUCCUCGACAGCAAAUAGGAAGGUGAGCUCGUCGACUUCCUCCGUGAGAAUCGGGAUAUCUUCGCACGGACCCCCAAGGACAUGCCGGGUAUCCCGAGGAAGUACGCCGAGCACAAACUUCACGUCUGCAAGGACGCCAAGCCUGUCCAUCAACCCCCACGACAAUUUUCCAAAUAGAAGAGAAGAACCAUUGGUGAAGAGGUCGCCAAGCUUUUGGCGGCCGGCUUCAUAAUGGAAGUGUUUCACCCCGAGUGGCUGGCCAAUCCAGUCCUCGUCCUGAAGAAAAACAAGACCUGGCGCAUGUGUAUUGACUACACCAGCCUCAACAAGGCCUAUCCCAAGGAUCUGUUUGCUUUCCCACGGAUCGACCAAGUCAUCGACUCGACCGUCGGGUGCGAGCCCCUGUCCUUCCUGGACGCUUACUCCGGCUACCACCAGAUCAAGCUGGACCCGGCCGAUGCCCUGAAGACGUCCUUCAUCACGCCCUUUGGGGCGUAUUGCUACAUCACCAUGUCGUUCGGCUUGAAGAACGCCGGCGCCACCUUCCAACGCUGCAUGCAGAAGUGCCUACUGCCGCAACUCGGCCGCAAUAUCCACAUGUACGUGGACGACAUCGUGGUGAAGACCAAGCAGCACCUCAUGCUCCUCGAUGAUUUGAAGGAGACAUUCACCAACCUCCACGAAUACAAGGUCAAGCUUAACCUAGAAAAAUGCGUUUUCGGCGUCCCCACUGGAAAGCUACUCGGCUUCCUCGUCUGGGAACGUGGCACUGAGGCGAACCCGGAUAAGAUCAAGGCCAUCGAGCUCAUGCGCAGACCAGCUCGGCUGCGCGACGUCCAGAAGUUCACCGGGUGCUUGGCCUUGGUCAGCCGGUUUCUAAGCCGGCUGGGCGAGAGGGCGCUACCCCUGUACCAACUGAUGAAGAAGACAAGCCCGUUCAAAUGGAACGGCAAGGCAGACGAGGCCUUCCAAGACCUCAAGCGCAUGCUCUCCACCGCACCAGUCCUGGCCGCGCCGACCGGCAAGGAGCCGCUGUUGCUCUACAUUGUCGUGACCUCGCGGGUGGUGAGCACUGUGCUGGUGGUCGAGCGACCAGAGAAGGGCAAGAUCCAAGUCGUCCAGCAUCCAGUCUACUACCUGAGCGAGGUGCUCUCCAUAUCCAAGCAGAACUACCAGCACUACCAGAAGAUGUGUUACGGCGUGUACCUCACCGCCAAGAAGCUGAAGCAGUACUUACAAGAGCACGUCGUCACCGUCGUCAGCACGACGCCUAUCGGAGAAAUCAUCGGGUGCCGGGACGCCUCUGGCCGGGUCGCCAAGUGGGCGAUCCAGCUAGCCGUUCGCACCAUCCUCUACGAGCCCCGCACCACGAUCAAGUCUCAAGCCCUGGCCGACUUCCUCGUCGACUGGACCGAGACCCAGUACUUGCCGCCGCCUCCCGACUCGACGCAUUGGCGCAUGCACUUCGACGGGUCCAAGAUGCGACUCUGCUUGGGGGCCGGCAUCGUACUGUCAUCCCCGAAGGGCAACCGGCUCUGCUACGCGCUCCAGAUCCACUUUGCUGCCUCCAACAACGUCGCCGAAUAUGAAGCCCUUAUGCACGGCCUCUGGCUUACCAAGGAACUCGGCAUCCAGCGCAUUCCGUGCUACGGUGACUCGGACAUGGUGGUGCAGUAGUGCUCCGGCGAAUGGGACGCCCGCGACUCCAACAUGGCAAGCUACCGAUUACUCGUCCAGAAGAUGUCCGGAUCCUUCGAGGGCUGUGAGUUCCUCCAUGUCCCGCGCAUGGAGAACGAAGCAGCCGACACGCUCGCCAAGAUUACCUCAUCACGACAAGCCAUCCCGUCUGGCGUCUCCCUCGAGCACCUACGCAAGCCGUCCGUCAAGCCAUCGCCGGACUCCGAGUCCAUUCAUGUUCCAGACGACCCGGCCGCACCUCAAGCCGGCCCGGGGACUGCUGAACCCGGCCCGGGGGCUGCUCAGCUCAACCUGGCCACCGUCAACCCGGACCCGGCUGUCGCCAUCCCCGACCCGGGGCUGCUCAACCCGGCUCGGGGGCUGCCGGCUCGGAACCCACCCUGGUGGCCGUCUUCUGUUGGGGAUCGUUGCAGAAAUAAAAAAAAUCUACGCAUCACCAAGAUCAAUCUAUGGAGAGACUAGCAACGAUAGAGAGGGGAGUGCAUCUUCAUACCUUUGAAGAUCGCUAAGCAGAAGCGUUACAAGAACGCGGAUGAUGGAGUCGUACUCGUGGCGAUUCAAAUCGUGGAAGAUCCGAUCUAGCGCCGAACGGACGGCGCCUCCGCGUUCAACACACGUACAGCCCGCGGACGUCUCUUCCUUCUUGAUCCAGCAAGGGGAGAGGAGAAGUUGAGGGAGAACUCCGGCAGCACGACGGCGUGGUGGUGGAGCUUGCAGUUCUCCGGCAGGGCUUCGCCAAGCACCACUGAGGAGGAGGUGGAGUUGGAGAGGGGGAGGGCUGCGCCAGGGGCAAGCGUGAAGCUCCCAUGCGCCUCCCCACUAUAUAUAGGGGUGGAGGGGGCUGGUUUCUUGCCCUCCAAGUCCAUUGGGGCGUUGGCAAAGGUGGGAGGAAAGAAAUCCCAUCAUUUCCUUCCCCACCGAUUGUUAUCCCCCCUUUAUAGGGAUCUUGAUCUUAUCCUUUCGGGAUAUGAUCUUAUUCCUUCUGAGGGGGGAUCUUGGUGCGCCUUGACCAGGGGUGUGGGGCCUUGCCCUCACUACCCACGUUCAUGUGGGUACCUCCCAUGCAGGUGGGCCCCACUCCAGAACCUUCUAGAACCUUCCCGGUACAAUACCGAAAAAUCCCAAACAUUUUCCGGUGGCCAAAAUAGGACUUCCCAUAUAUAAAUCUUUACCUCCGGACCAUUCCGGAACACCUCGUGACGUCUGGGAUCUCAUCCGGGACUCCGAACAACAUUCGGUAACUGCACACUAAUUCCCAUAACAACUCUAACGUCACCGAACCUUAAGUGUGUAGACCCUACGGGUUCGGGAAUCAUGCAGACAUGACCGAGACAGCUCUCUGACCAAUAACCAACAGCAGGAUCUGGAUACCCAUGUUGGCUCCCACAUGUUCCAUGAUGAUCUCAUCGGAUGAACCACGAUGUCAAGGAUUCAAGCAAUCCCGUAUACAAUUCCCUUUGUCAAUCGGUACGUUACUUGCCCGAGAUUCGAUCGCCGGUAUCCCAAUACCUCGUUCAAUCUAGUUACCGGCAAGUCACUUUACUCAUUCCGUAAUGCAUGAUCCCGUGACUAACUAAUUAGUCACAUUGAGCUCAUUAUGAUGAUGCAUUACCAAGUGGGCCCAGAGAUACCUCUCAUUCAUCGGAGUGACAAAUCCCAGUCUCGAUUCGUGCCAACCCAAUAGACACUUUCAGAGAUACCUGUAGUGCACCUUUAUAGCCACCCAGUUAGGUUGUGACGUUUGGUACACCCAAAGCAUUCCUACGGUAUCCGGGAGUUACACAAUCUCAUGGUCUAAGGAAAUGAUACUUGACAUUAGAAAAGCUCUUAGCAAACGAACUACACGAUCUUGUGCUAUGCUUAGGAUUGGGUCUUGUCCAUCACAUCAUUCUCCUAAUGAUAUGAUCCCGUUAUCAAUGACAUCCAAUGUCCAUGGUCAGGAAACCAUAACCAUCUAUUGAUCAACGAGCUAGUCAACUAGAGGCUCACUAGGGACAUGUUGUGGUCUAUGUAUUCACACAUGUAUUACGGUUUCCAGUUAAUACAAUUAUAGCAUGAACAAUAGACAAUUAUCCUGAACAAGGAAAUAUAAUAAUAACCAUUUUAUUAUUUCCUCUAGGGCAUAUUUCCAACAGUCUCCCACUUGCACUAGAGUCAAUAAUCUAGUUCACAUCAUUAUGUGAUUGUAAUUAAUCCAACAGCCAUGGUGUUUGAUCAUAUCUCGCUUGUGAGAGAGGUUUAUUAGUCAACAGGUCUGAACCUUUCAGAUUCGUGUGUGCUUUACAAAUAUCAAUGUCAUCUUGUAGAUGCAGCUUCCACGCGCUACUUGGAGCUACUCCAAACAACUGCUCUACUAUACGAAUCUGGUUUACUACUCAGAGUCAUCCGGAUUAGUGUCAAAGUUUGCAUUGACGUAACCCUUUACGAAGAACUCUUUUACCACCUCCAUAAUCGAGAAAAUUCCUUAGUCAACUAGUUACUAAGGAUAAGUUUGACCACUGUCAUGUGAUCCAUUCCUGGAUCACACUUGUACCCCUUGACUGACUCAUGGCAAGGCACACUUCAGGUGCGGUACACAACAUAGCAUACUUUAGAGCCUACAUCUGAAGCAUAGGGGACGACCUUCGUCCUUUCUUUCUCUUCUGCCAUGGUCAGGUCUUGAGUCUUACUCAAUAGUCACACCUUAUGACAUAGCCAAGAACUCCUUCUUUGCCGAUCUAUUUUGAACUCCUUCAAAAUCUUGUCACGGUAUGUAUUCAUUCGAAAGUACUAUUAAGCGUUUUUUGAUCUAUCUUUAUAGAUCUUGAUGCUCAAUGUUCAAGUAGCUUAAUCCAGGUUUUCCAUUGAAUAACACUUUUCAAAUAACCCUAUAUAAUGUCCAGAAAUUCUACAUCAUUUCUGAUCAACAAUAUGUCAAUAACAUAUACUCAUCAGAAAUUCUAUAGUGCUCCCACUCACUUAUUUGGAAAUACAAGUUUCUCAUAAACAUUUCAUAAACCCAAAAUCUUUGAUCAUCUCAUCAAAGAGUAUAUGCUUACUCCAGUCCUUAGAAGGAUUGCUGGAGCUUUGCAUACUUGUUAGCAUCUUUCAGGAUUGAAAAAACCUUCUGGUUGUAUCACAUACAACCUUUCCUCAAGAAAAUUGUCGAGGAAACAAUGUUUUGACAUCCUAUCUGCAAGAUUUCAUAAAUAAUGCAGUAAUUGCUAAUAUAAUUCCAACAGACUCUUAGCAUUGCUACGAGUGAGAAAGUCUCGUUGUAGUCAACUCCUUGAACUUGUUGGAAAACAUCUUAACGACAAGUCGAGCUUUCUUAAUGGUGAUACUUACCAUCAUUGUCCGUCUUCCUUUUAAAAUCCGUCUGUACCCAACAGCCUUACGACCAUCAAGUAGUUCUUCCAAAGUCUACAUGUUGUUUUCAUACAUGGAUCCUCGGCCUCGAGCCAUUUUCGGAAUCUGGGCCCACCAUCGCUUCUCCAUAGCUCGUAGGUUCAUUGUUGUCUAGCAACAUGACCUCCAAGAUAGGAUUACCGUACCACUCUGAAGCAGUACAUGUCCUUGUCGUCCUACGAGGUUUCGUAGUGACUUGAUCUGAAGUUUCAUGAUCACUAUCAUCAACUUCCACUUCAAUUGGUGUAGGUGCCACAGGAACAACUUCCUGUGCCCUGCUACACACUGGUUGAAGUGAUGGUUCAAUAACCUUAUCAAGUCUCCACCAUCCUCCCACUCAAUUCUUUCGAGAGAAACUUUUCCUCGAGAAAGGACCCGUUUAUAGAAACAAUCAGUUUUGCUUCCAGAUCUGAAAUAGGAGGUAUAACCAACUGUUUUGGGUGUCCUAUGAAGAUGCAUUUAUCCACUUUGGGUUCGAGCUUAUCUGCCUGAAACCUUUUCACAUAAGCGUCGCAGCCCCAAACUUUCAAGAAACGACAACUUAGGUUUCUCUAAACCAUAGUUCAUAGGGUGUCAUCUCAAUGGAAUUACGUGGUUCCCUAUUUAAAGUGAGUGCGGUUGUCUCUAAUGCCUAACCCAUGAACGAUAGUGGCAAUUCGAUAACAGACAUCAUGGUAUGCCCCAUAUCCAAUGGGGUGUAUCUAUCAUGUUCGGACACACCAUCACACUAUGGUGUUCCAGGCGGUGUUAGUUGUGAAACAAUUUCCACAAUGUAUUAAUUGUGUACCAAACUCGCAACUCAGAUAUUCAUCUCUAUGAUCAUAUCAUAGACAUUUUAUCCUCUUGUCACGAAGAUCUUCAACUUCACUCUGAAACUACUUGAACCUUUCAAUAAUUCAGACUUGUGUUUCAUCAAGUAAAUAUACUCAACAUCUACUCAAAUCAUCUGUGAAGUAAGAACAUAACGAUAUCCACUGCGUGCCUCAGCACUCAUUGGACUGCACACAUCAAAAUGUAUUACUUCCAACAAGUUGCUUUCUUGUUCCAUCUCACUAAAAACGAGGCCUUUCAGUCAUAUUGCCCAUGUGGUAUUAUUUGCAUGUCUCAAGUGAUUCAAAAUCAAGUGAGUCCAAACGAUCCAUUUGUAUGGAGUUUCUUCAUGCAUAUAUACCAAUGGACAUGGUUCGCAUGUCUCAAUCUUUUCAAAAACGAGUGAGUCCAAAGAUCCAUCAACAUGGAGCUUCUUCAUGCGUUUUAUAUCAAUAUGACUCAAAUGGUAGUGCCACAAGUAUGUGGUACUAUCAUUACUAUCUUAUAUCUUUUGGCAUGAACAUGUGUAUCACUAUGAUCGAGAUUCAAUAAACCAUUCAUUUUAGGUGCAAGACCUUUGAAGGUAUUAUUCAAAUAAACAAAGUAACCAUUAUUCUCCUUAAAUGAAUAACCAUAUUGCGAUAAACAUAAUCCAAUCAUGUCUAUGCUCAACGCAAACACCAAAUAACAAUUAUUUAGGUUUAACACCAAUCUCGAUGGUAGAGGGAGCAUGCGAUGCUUGAUCACAUCAACCUUGGAAACACUUCCCACACAUAUCUUCAUCUCACCUUUAGCUAGUCUCCGUUUAUUCCGCAGCUUUUAUUUUGAGUUACUAACACUUAGCAACCGAACCGGUAUCUAAUACCCUGGUGCUACUAGGAGUACUAGUAAAGUACACAUUAAUAUAAUGUAUGUCCAAUAUACUUCUGUCGACCUUGCCAGCCUUCUCAUCUACCAAGUAUCUAGGGUAGUUCUGCUUCAGUGACCGUUCCCUCAUUCCAGAAGCACUUAGUCUCAGGUUUGGGUUCAACCUUGGGUUUCUUCACUAGAGCAGCAACUGAUUUGCCAUUUCAUGAAGUAUCCCUUCUUGCCCUUGCCCUUCUUGAAACUAGUGGUUUUACUAACCAUCAACAAUUGAUGCCCGUACUCAAUUUCUACUUUCACGGUGUCAAACAUCACGAAUUGCUCAAGGAUCAUCAUGUCUAUCCCUGACAUGUUAUAGUUCAUCACGAAGCUCUAAUAGCUUGGUGGCAGUGACUAUGGAGAACCAUCACUAUCUCAUCUGGAAGAUUAACUCCCACUCAAUUCAAGUGAUUGUAGAACUCUGACAAUCUGAGCACAUGCUCAAUGAUUGAGCUUUUCUCCCUUAGUUUGCAGGUUAAGAAACUCGUCAGAGGUCUCAUACCUCUUGACGUGGGCACUAGCCUGAAAUCCCAAUUUCAGCCCUUGGAACAUCCUCUAUGUUCCGCGACGUUUCAGAAAUCGUCUUCGGCGCCUCAAUUCUAAACUGUUUAACAUUACUGAACUAUCACAUAGUCAUCAAAACGUGUAUGUCAGAUGUUUGCAACAUCCACAUACGACGUUUGAGGUUCAGCACACCGAGCGGUGCAUUAAGGACAUAAGCCUUCUACGCAGCAAUGAGGACAAUCCUCAGUUUACAGACCCAUUCCGCAUAAUUGCUACUAUCAACUUUCAACUAAAUUUUCUCUAGGAACAUAUCUAAAACAGUAGAACUAAAGCGUAAGCUACGACAUAAUUUGCAAAGACCUUUUGACUAUGUUCAUGAUAAUUAAGUUCAUCUGAUUAUUUAAUGAACUCCCACUUAGAUAGACAUCCCUCUAGUCAUCUAAGUGAUACAUGAUCCGAGUCAACUAGGCUGUGUCCGAUCAUCACGUGAGACGGACUAGUCAUCAUCGGUGAACAUCUUCAUGUUGAUCAUAUCCACUAUACGACUCAUGUUCGACCUUUCGGUCUCUUGUGUUCCGAGGCCAUGUAUGUACAUGCUAGGCUCGUCAAGUCAACCUAAGUGUUUCCCGUGUGUAAAUCUGGCUUACACCCGUUGUAUGUGAACGUUAGAAUCUAUCACACCCGAUCAUCACGUGGUGCUUCGAAACAACGAACUUUCGCAAUGGUGCAUAGUUAGGGGGAACACUUUCUUGAAAUUAUUAUGAGGGAUCAUCUUAUUUACUACCGUCGUUCUAAGCAAAUAAGAUGCAUAAACAUGAUAAACAUCACAUGCAAUCAAAUAGUGACAUGAUAUGGCCAAUAUCAUUUUGCUCCUUUUGAUCUCCAUCUUCGAGGCUCCAUGAUCAUCAUCGUCACCGGCAUGACACCAUGAUCUCCAUCAUCAUGAUCUCCAUCAUCGUGUCUCCAUGAAGUUGUCUCGCCAACUAUUACUUCUACUACUAUGGCUAACGGUUUAGCAAUAAAGUAAAGUAAUUACAUGGCGUUAUUUAAUGACACGUAGGUCAUACAAUAAAUUAAGACAACUCCUAUGGCUCCUGCCGGUUGUCAUACUCAUCGACAUGCAAAUCGUGAUUCCUAUUACAAGAGCAUGACCAAUUUCAUACAUCACAUAGCAUUCAUCACAUUCUUUUGGCCAUAUCACAUCACAUAGCAUACCCUGCAGAAACAAGUUAGACGUCCUCUAAUUGUUGUUGCAUGUUUUACGUGGCUGCUAUGGGUUUCAAGCAAGAACGUUUCUUACCUACGCAAAAGCCACAACGGUGAUAUGCCAAUUGCUAUUUACCCUUCAUAAGGACCCUUUUCAUCGAAUCUGAUCCGACUAAAGUGGGAGAGACUGGCACCCGUUAGCCACCUUAUGCAACAAGUGCAUGUCAGUCGGUGGAACCUGUCUCACGUAAGUGUACGUGUAAGGUCGGUCCAGGCCGCUUCAUCCCACAAUACCGUCGAAAAAAGAUAGGACUAGUAACGGUAAGCAUAUUGAACAAAAUGAACGCCCACAACAACUUGUGUUCUACUCGUGCAUAGAAUCUACACAAUAGACCUAGCUCAUGAUGCCACUGUUGGGGAUCGUUGCAGAAACUAAAAAAAAAUCUACGCAUCACCAAGAUCAAUCUAUGGAGAGACUAGCAAUGAUAGAGAGGGGAGUGCAUCUUCAUACCUUUGAAGAUCGCUAAGCACAAGCAUUACAAGAACGCGGAUGAUGGAGUCAUACUCGUGGCGAUUCAAAUCGCGGAAGAUGCAAUCUAGCACCGAACGGACGGCGGCUCCGCGUUCAACACACGUACAGCCAGGGACGUCUCCUCCUUCUCGAUCCAGCAAGGGGAGAGGAGAAGUUGAGGGAGAACUCCGGCAGCACGACGGCGUGGUGGUGGAGCUUGCAGUUCUCCGGCAGGGCUUCGCCAAGCACUACUGAGGAGGAGGUGGAGUUGGAGAGGGGAGGGCUGCGCCAGGGGAAAGGGUGAAGCUCCCAUGCACCUCCCCACUAUAUAUAGGGGUGGAGGGGGCUGGUUUCUUGCCCUCCAAGUCCAUUGGGGCGUUGGCAAAGGUGGGAGGAAAGAAAUCCCAUCAUUUCCUUCCCCACCGAUUGUUAUCCCCCCUUUCUAGGGAUCUUGAUCUUAUCCUUUCGGGAUAUGAUCUUAUUCCUUCUGAGGGGGGAUCUUGGUGCGCCUUGACCAGGGGUGUGGGGCCUUGCCCCCACUAUCCACGUUCAUGUGGGUCCCCCCAUGCAGGUGGGACCCACUCUAGAACCUUCUAGAACCUUCUCGGUACAAUACCGAAAAAUCCCGAACAUUUUCCGAUGGCAAAAAUAGGACUUCCCAUAUAUAGAUCUUUACCUCCGAACCAUUCCGGAACUCCUCGUGACGUCUGGGAUCUUAUCCGGGACUCCAAACAACAUUCGGUAACUGCAUACUAAUUCCCAUAACAACUCUAGCGUCACCGAACCUUAAGUGUGUAGACCCUACGGGUUCGGGAAUCAUGCAGACAUGACCGAGACAGCUCUCUGGCCAAUAACCAACAGCGGGAUCUGGAUACCCAUGUUGGCUCCCACAUGUUCCAUGAUGAUCUCAUCGGAUGAACCACGAUGUCAAGGAUUCAAGCAAUCCCGUAUACAAUUCCCUUUGUCAAUCGGUAUGUUACUUGCCCGAGAUUCGAUCGCCGGUAUCCCAAUACCUCGUUCAAUAUCGUUACCGGCAAGUCACUUUACUCGUUCCAUAAUGCAUGAUCUCGUGACUAACUACUUAGUCACAUUGAGCUCAUUAUGAUGAUGCAUUACCGAGUGGGCCCAGAGAUACCUCUCCGUCAUCGGAGCGACAAAUCCCAGUCUCGAUUCGUGCCAACCCAACAGACACUUUCAGAGAUACCUGUAGUGCACCUUUAUAGCCACCCAGUUACGUUGUGACGUUUGGUACACCCAAAGCAUUCCUACGGUAUCCGGGAGUUACACAAUCUCAUGGUCUAAGGAAAUGAUACUUGACAUUAGAAAAUCUCUUAGCAAACGAACUACACGAUCUUGUGCUAUGCUUAGGAUUGGGUCUUGUCCAUCACAUCAUUCUCCUAAUGAUGUGAUCCCGUAUCAAUGACAUCCAAUGUCCAUGGUCAGGAAACCAUAACCAUCUAUUGAUCAACGAGCUAGUCAACUAGAGGCUCACUAGGGACAUGUUGUGGUCUAUGUAUUCACACAUGUAUUACGGUUUCCAGUUAAUACAAUUAUAGCAUGAACAAUAGACAAUUAUCAUGAAUAAGGAAAUAUAAUAAUAACCAUUUUAUUAUUGCCUCUAGGGCAUAUUUCUGACAUCUUCGCCAUGGUUACAGCUCCAUCUUGGGCCCUCCCAAUAUCAGAAUUUCUGGAGAACGGGGUUCUCCCCAUGGACAAGACCGAAGCUCGACAGGUGCAGCGCCGGGCGUCCGCCUACAGCAUCAUCAACAACGAGCUCGUCAAGCGCAGCUCCACCGGUGUUUUCCAGUGUUGCGUCGAGCAGGAACAUGGCAUCGACAUCCUCCUCGACAUCCACCAGGGCGAGUGUGGGCACCACGCCGCAUCGAGAUCCCUGGUGGUCAAGGUGUUCCACCACGGUUUCUACUGGCCCAUGGCCCUCGAAGACGCCGAGUCGCUCGUUCUCAAGUGUGAAGGGUGCCAGCGCUUCAGCAAACGCAGCCACCAGCCGGCGUCAGCACUCCGCACCAUACUGAUCGCCUGGCCCUUCGUGGUCUGGGGACUCGACAUGGUGGGACCCUUCAAAACCGCUCGAGGCGGCAUGACGCACCUGCAUGUGGCAGUGGACAAAUUCACCAAGUGGAUCGAGGCAAGACCAAUCAAGAAACUGGACGGGCCAACAGUCGUCCGGUUCAUCAAGGACAUAGCGGUACGCUACGGCAUGCCAAACAACAUCAUCACCGACAAUGGCACCAACUUUGCCAAGGGUGCGCUCAAGCAAUACUUCUCUAUCUCUGGCAUCCGCCUCGACCUGGCCUCUGUUGCGCAUCUGCAGUCCAACAGGCAGGUCGAGCGGGCCAACGGACUCAUCCUGUCUGGCAUCAAGCCGCGACUCGUUGAGCCACUCAUCCGCUCACUCGGCAGCUGGCUCAACGAGUUGCCGGCCGUUCUCUGGAGUCUUCGCACCAUGCAGAAUCGGUCGACCGGGUUCACCCCGUUCUUCCUCGUCUACGGAGCCGAAGCCAUCAUCCCGACUGACGUCGAUUUCGACUCGCCGCGCAUCGCGAUGUACACCGAAGCCGAAGCCAGAGAAGCCCGCGAAGAUGGCGUCGACCUACUCAAAGAAGCACGCCUCGUGGCGCUCAGUCGCUCGGCCAUCUACCAGCAAGGCCUGAGGCACUACCACAUCAAGAAGAUCAAGCCCCUCGCAUUCCGCGAGGGCAACCUCGUCCUCCGACUCAUCCAAGGCAGGCAGGCCAGCACAAGCUGUCCCCUCCAUGGGAGGGCUCAUUCAUCAUGAGCAGGGCCUUACGCGAUCGCAACGCCUACUACCUCAUCGAUGCACGCAAGUCAAAGAAGCGCAAGAAGGACACCGCUGGUGAAGAAACGACCCGGCCAUGGAACGCGGAACUCCUCCGCCCAUUUUACUGUUAGCCGCGCAAGUGUAUGUAUCGUCGCCAUUUGUAAAUGCAUGAAACUAUGGGGUCCCCAAACAAGACUCGGGGGUUGCCUUUUGUCGACCAAUUUAUUGUGUCCCUAUUUUUCUGCAUCACUAUACCACUGAACCCGGCCACCGGACCGACUCGCUCGACCCGGAGGCUCGGGGGCUGGCCGGCUCGGUCGCCACCCCGCCGCCUUACUUGGUGAUUCCUGAGAAAGUUAGGAUGCCGCGGUCCCCCACUUCGCCCUAAAGCCACAGAUCUAGCUUUGGCUGUCGGCUGGCAAGCACAAUGGGCCAAAGCUCCUUUACGCUUCAUACACUAAGUCAAAGGCUGUCUGGUUGAUCAACCCGGCCCGCCAUUCAUCAAAUGAACAACCGCACAACCGGCUGCUCGCCAACCGGCUUCGCCGGAUUGCCGCCAGCCGGCCCAGUGGGUGUUUCGCUCGCGCUCAACGUUUCAAAGGACCCAAGUCUUGCACGCUCCUUUCGAAGAAUCGAACUCCUUGUCACAGACCGGAGCCUCGGCUGUCUGACUCGCGGGGGGGGGGGAGGUUUGAGAAAGGAAAAGCGCAUGAAGUCAGUCUGAAAAACGGAAGGCAAAAAGCAAAAGCACUCACGACAUGUACACAAACAUUUAACAAAAGGCCCACGGCCCGAGUUCAUUACACCCUANNNNNNNNNNNNNNNNNNNNNNNNNNNNNNNNNNNNNNNNNNNNNNNNNNNNNNNNNNNNNNNNNNNNNNNNNNNNNNNNNNNNNNNNNNNNNNNNNNNNNNNNNNNNNNNNNNNNNNNNNNNNNNNNNNNNNNNNNNNNNNNNNNNNNNNNNNNNNNNNNNNNNNNNNNNNNNNNNNNNNNNNNNNNNNNNNNNNNNNNNNNNNNNNNNNNNNNNNNNNNNNNNNNNNNNNNNNNNNNNNNNNNNNNNNNNNNNNNNNNNNNNNNNNNNNNNNNNNNNNNNNNNNNNNNNNNNNNNNNNNNNNNNNNNNNNNNNNNNNNNNNNNNNNNNNNNNNNNNNNNNNNNNNNNNNNNNNNNNNNNNNNNNNNNNNNNNNNNNNNNNNNNNNNNNNNNNNNNNNNNNNNNNNNNNNNNNNNNNNNNNNNNNNNNNNNNNNNNNNNNNNNNNNNNNNNNNNNNNNNNNNNNNNNNNNNNNNNNNNNNNNNNNNNNNNNNNNNNNNNNNNNNNNNNNNNNNNNNNNNNNNNNNNNNNNNNNNNNNNNNNNNNNNNNNNNNNNNNNNNNNNNNNNNNNNNNNNNNNNNNNNNNNNNNNNNNNNNNNNCAUUCAUCAAAUGAACAACCGCACAACCGGCUGCUCGCCAACCGGCUUCGCCGGAUUGCCGCCAGCCGGCCCAGUGGGUGUUUCGCUCGCGCUCAACGUUUCAAAGGACCCAAGUCUUGCACGCUCCUUUCGAAGAAUCGAACUCCUUGUCACAGACCGGAGCCUCGGCUGUCUGACUCGCGGGGGGGGGGAGGUUUGAGAAAGGAAAAGCGCAUGAAGUCAGUCUGAAAAACGGAAGGCAAAAAGCAAAAGCACUCACGACAUGUACACAAACAUUUAACAAAAGGCCCACGGCCCGAGUUCAUUACACCCUAAAAAAACAGUGGGCGGGUGGACCUGCUACUUAACAAAUUUUGCAAAGUAUCUCAGGCAUCUCCAGCACCGCAUCGUGAAGUCGAGGGCCCUCCCCUGGCAGCCUUCGGGUCCGGCGAGUCGCCGGUGUCCUCCUCGGCAUCCGCGUCACCAUAGACGCCCGUCUCCUCCGAGCUCCCCUCCGGAUCAUGGAGAAGCAAGCCGUAGUCGUCGCCAUCCACGGCCCUGCCGUCUUCCAUUCGCUCCGGAUGGAACUCAUCGUGGAAGGCGAACUCGGCGAUGUAGCUGGCCCGAGAGGCGAUCCGGACGGCUUGCUCCUGCAGCAACUGCUCCGAGCCGGCCUGCUGGCCCAUCAACGCGUCCAGCUGAACAUCCGGAUGCCAAGAUAGCGCAAACCGGAGCGCCAUCUCGGCACCGGCACGAGCGGCGGAGACACGCCACUCGCCAAGCCGGUCCGGGCCCGUCUCCAACCAGCACGCCAGGCGCGUGAAGGUCCAACGCCGCCUCCUCCUGGGUCUAAGGCCCGAAGACAGCAGCGCCCCCGCUCCAUGCCGGCUGCGCGCGGCAACUCGACACCCUCCCUGCCGGGGCACCAAGGCGUGCCCACCGCUGGCCGCUUGCGACGCGGCCAGCACCUCCUUCGACGCCCCUCCCGGCGCCGACGAUGACCCGGACGCCGGGACGCCCUGCGUCACCACCACCGGCGCAGCUGCCGGGGUGGCCUCCGGCACCGCCGCCUGCAGUGCCUCCUCCAUAGCCGGCGGCGCCUCUUCCAAGAUGACGCCACCUCCACCACCAUCAGCCCGCGCGCGCUCGACCACGUCGGCCCGCGGCGGGGUAUCGCCCCCCACCUCCACCACCUGCUAGUCGAGGAUCACCACCUCAGCCCGGCCUCCAUGGCCGCGCUCCCUCACCGAUGACGGCUCAAAGACCGUCGCCGCCACCACCGUGCCCUCCGGCAUCUCGCGCCAGGCCGGCUCGCGCCUAUGCCGCCGCCGCAUCGAUCCAAGCCUGGACCGACGCCGCCUCCAGCUCCGCCUCGUCCCGGUUCCUGUCCUGCCAGGCCAAGGCUUUGGCGUCGUUCAGGUCCAGGCCAAGGUUCGAGUCGGCCCGUACCUCCACCUCGACCUGGUUGGCGAGGUCGGACCGGCUCCUGCGGAACGCUACCCCUUCGGCAGUUGUGGCUUCUGCUGCCGCCCUCGCCAGCGCGAUUGGCGACCUGAAGAAGAAGACAGAAUGAGCAAAAAAGAAACAAGACUAGCUCAAAAAAUCCGGGCGCAAACAAGAAAUGAAGGUUACCCUGUCAAGACCGGGACCGGGGUUGGCCUCCUGUGCCCGCCGCCGCGCUUCUUCUUGGCCGGCCUCUCGGCCCCUGCCGGGUCCGCUGUACGCUUCGGGGCCCGGGGUCGCGGUGCGACACUGUCUUUCCCAUACAGGCGGCUCGGCGCUGCCCCAUGCGAGGACCCGGCUCCGCCUGCAUCGCCGUCUCCCCCGCCCAGUGCCACUACACCAACAGCCGGCGUCAGCAUCGCCCACGCCGCGCCAUGAUCAGCAUUUCAAGACACAUGAACAGAGAAAACAUAUAGAACUUACCCGCGCGACGCCUAGCGCCGGCGUCGGACUCGGCCACCUCCUCCUCGCCAGGGGCCGCGGGCUCCUCUGGCGCCACCGACACCACCUGCGAGGAGCCUGGGCGUAAGGAUGCCGAAUCACGUUCAGAAGUAUCACCCGCGUCGCGUCGGGACGAAGGAGAAGGUGCGCCGCAGCAAAGUAAGAAGACCAAACACUCACCUGCGGCACCGGGUUUGACUCGCUGUACGGCGCCUUGCCGAACUGUCAGUCCUCUCCAAGGUUGGCCUUGGAGAUGUCGUUCACGCCGCGCGCAAUCUGCUCCGCGGACAGCCACGUCGACCCCAUGCUGUUGGGGUCCUGAAGGCCGAUCAUUUCUCCAAUGAGGCAGGAGCGCCUCUGGAGCGGAAGGACCCGGCGCAUGAUGAACGCGACAAGGAGGUUGGUGCCAGUGAGCCCCUCCUACGUCCUCAUCACCGUCACCCGCUCGCACAGGUUGACGAUCUCCUGCGACGGGCGCCUGAGCGAGUAGCCCCAGUUCGUCUUCGCCCGCGGCGGCGCGAUGGCGAAGAGCGGAAGGUUGAUGUGGUCCACACCAAGGUUGCAGACGUAGAAGAAGGAGUUCUGCCACUUCUUGGCAGAAUCCUCCAGCGGGAUCUUGGGGACAUCCGCCCCCGACCGCUUCGAGAUGAUGGCGGCGCCGUAGUCGGUGAACUCCCCGGCCGAUGGGCCCUGCUGCUUCAAGGAGAAGAAGCGUGCCAAGAGGUUGAUCGUGGGCUCGACCCCCAGGUACCCCUUGUAGAGGGUGACGAAGCCGGAGAGCUGGACGAUGGUGCCGGCGCCAAGAUGAUGCGGCUGGAGCCCGAAGAACUCCAGGAACGCGCGGAAGAAGGUGCUCGCCGGCAGCCUGAACCUGGGCUCGAAGUGUGUGAGGAAGACCACGCGCUCCUGCUCCUCGGGCAGAGGCCUCUGCUCGCCGUGUGGCAGGCGAACGCCGACGUCCAUCUCCCGCGGCAAGCGCUGCGACGCCCGAAGCUGGAUGAUGUCCUCGGUGGUGAUGUUCGAGCCCAUCCAGGAGCCUGACGACAGCGCCAUGGACGAAAGAAGAAGGAAGCAGAUGGACGAUGGAGGAAGUUCUGCUUGGAGCAGCGGGCGCCGCAGUGCGUCGGUUGCAAAGAGCGGAGCGAGAGCAAAGGGACAGGAGGGUGCGAGCGAGAAUAAUGUCUGCCGCCCCCUGCCCCCCAAUUUAUAACCCUCGGUUCAAACGUGGGGGAGUGGGAUCGUCUGCACGCGCCCGUUCCACUACCCCGCAAUAAGUGCGCACGUACACGUGCAGUAACUUUCCGGGGAAGUGCAACCGACCCCCGGAAGCCGCAAUAAAUCCGCGUGCGUGGGCCAAGGGCACGCGGCGGUGGGUCCCAUCCCGUCGCCCAGUCCCGUCACGCGUGUGGCCUGUCAGGCCCCUCCGGCUUCCGGCCACCACGUGGCGCCCGCGCAAAGCCUGAGGGAUUGCCCCAAGAUUUGACGGACUACUCGGUUCCCGCCACGGCCGGGAUGCCGCAAUCCGGUUUCCGAGAAAAACCGGCACAUAAUGGGUGUUGCCGGACCCGGCGCUUGCAGAAUCCCCCUUGCUUAAGGGGAAAACUGUGAAGGCACACUCAUCCGAAGACGGCGGACCUUCACAGCUUCGGGGACUACUGUCGGGGGGAUGAACCACGGGCAGGCAACGGAACCCGGAUCCUCUUCAAAAAUAGUGGGGCCCACAUCACCCCUCAAACCGGCACGCGCCCGGCCGGGUCGCUCGACCCGGCAAGGCCCGCAACCGGCCAAACUCUCCGACCCGGCAAGGUACGUCGACCCGGCCUCAGCAACUGGCGCAAGGCAGCCGAACCCGGUACGACCAAGGCUUCCCCAACAAGCCGACCCCACCCGUGGCGUACACCGCAAUCCAGCCACGGGUCAAGCUCCCGUCCCAUCCAGGCCGUACGAUGGGACGAGACCUCAAUCACUGAUGACCAAGACAACAGUGCUUCCACCCAUGCCUAUGGUCAGCCGGAGCGUGGCAACAGUGCCCCUCACCUACCCGCUGGCCGGGGCUGGCGUGGCAACAGUGCUCCCACCCUCACCGCUGACGGCAGCAAGCGGCAACCUGACGGAGAUCACUGUACGCGACUCGACUCGGCCAGGCCCUGACGAUCGACAAGACGGCGCACAGUCCCCCUAGACAUGCGGGGCCCACACCUAGGGGAACCUGGCGAACCACAAGCCCUCAGCGGGACCCAUCCCGGCAUCCCGGACACUGACAAUACAGACCCAUCGACUCGACGUAUUACCAUUGUAACCCUGGGGGGUUUGAUCUAUAAAAUCCCCCAGGAACCCACGCCUACUGGGGCAUGUACAAGGUAGCAUGUGAGAAACAGAUACAAGGGACAAGCAAGCAAGCAUAGGACUAGCCACCAAACCGCAACACCGGAGAGAAGGAGCAGCCCAAGCCUUGGCCAGCUUCCUUCCUCCUCCAUACAGCUCCAGGAGCAACAUUGUACUAUCGAUCAUCCAACUACACUCGGCAGGACUAGGGGUAUUAUCUCUCCGGAGAGCCACGAACCUGGGUAUGUCUAGCGUCCCGCGCCCGCUCAUGCCAACCUCGCCUCUGGAGACCACCAGCGCCCUCGAGUCUCCUCCUCUCUUUAGCCAUCCCUUGGCAUCUGCCGUGCGCCCACCACGACACUUAUAAUCCAAUAAUGCAUGUUGCAUGAUCAAGGAUUCUCAUAGGUAGAUCGGACGAAUGCUAGUUGAUCUAGAUAGUAAAUCUAACAUCUAUAACAACUCUAAUGAUGUGAAAGCAUGCAUGUUGAGAUAAUUAAAAGUAGCGGGAUCACUCUUUUAGAUAGGUUAUGAUCCAAAUAAAACACAUCAGUUUGUAUUGAAUUCGACAAUUGUUAGAACACUAUACUUUUUGUUCAGGGAUUGCCUACUUCCGCUUGGUCAAUAUGCAUGUGACAUUUUCUAUCUGCCCACGACACCACUCACAAAAUUAGAAUCGCCUUUUCUAUUUCUAUUGCUUCAUAUAGGAAUGUUAAGACGUCACCUACUCCAUGAUUUGGACACUACACGAUUAAAUGCAUGAAGCAUGUUUUGCGGCACACACCAAAAUAAAAGAUUAGGAUUGCUUUUACAGAAAUAAAGAAUAAACGCCAAUGGAUGUCUCACAACCCUCUUGAGGGCGUCGUGGUCUCCCUCCCUGUUCUAGGGUUCAAGUUGAAAACCCAAGUUCAUUCCUUUGGACGCGACAAGGACGAUGCUCUACGUCACUACCCUAUUGGGUGCGUUGAGGUGGAACUCUGGUACCUUUCGUUUGCGGUGGAAGGUCGUCUUAGGGCAUGCUUGGAUUGUACCUCGAAGUAUCUUGGGUUCCAAAGUGGGAUGGUCCAGUUGGUCUCUUAUCGGUUCCAUGCGACUGCGUCGGCAUCGCUAUUGGCCUGUACUACUCCUCGGUCCGGAGUGAGAGGGCAGGUGUGGCCCUCUCUGACGACAUUUGACGAGGGCUUUGUUGCACGGUCCAAUGGUUCCUUUUGAAGACGUGAGCUCAUACGGUAUCGCCACCAGAGGCGAUUUGCUGGAGUCUGCCUACUCAUGUACUCUUUCUCGCUGGCGCAACCAUACGCUUGUAGUGUGUCUCGUGUGUGUUGUCUAUGUUAUAUCUUGGACCCUGAUAAGUGCUAUACCUAUGCCACGAACACAUGACAACUUCAAGCAUUUUUAUGGCAAUUUUAGUGACGUCAGGAUGACAACUUUAAUUGUCAGGCAUGAGAACUUCUUUUCGGAUGGCAAGUUUCAAUUUUUUUUUCUUUUCGGAUGGCAAUUUUAGUUCAAAAAACGUCAGGGCCGGAGUGCUUCGUGUCACUUGUGUGGCACUCAUCAUUUGGAUACAUCUUUUGUUGCCAGCUCUUUCUUUAAUAUGUUUUUCAUAAAAGGAUUUCCUUGUGUAUUGUUCAUCAGUCCGGGUUUUAUACAUUAAUUUUUUUUGAGAAUGGGUUUUAUACAUUAAUAAUGCGGAGUCGAUGUCUAUUUUUUGAAAUAAAGAAAACGGCCCAAAGGCCUGAAACCACCAAUGAACAGAGAUGGGAAAACAUCAAAUAAAAAGGUUGAGAAAAGAAUGUUUGAGUUCAGGUCCCCAACCAAAUCGAGUGAGGAUGAGUUCUUGGACUCUUUUUUGUAGAACAUAUAUUACGAUGGACUCUUUACCGGGCGUAUCCCUACCAAACAAAUCACGUUUAACACGAGCAAUACGUAGUUACGUGCUGUUCCCAAACAUACUCCUAUUUAUUCUUCGCCUUGAGUUGCUCGACAAAAUCGGCGAUCAUCAUGCUACCGGCGAAGAAACGAGCGGGGCACCACCGCAGUCCGUGGUCCGACCUCCCGCACGAUCUGCUUACAACCAUCCUCGUCCGUCUCACCGCAACCUCCCCGGCCCUUCGCGACCGCGCCCGCUUCGGCGGCGUGUGCCAGACAUGGCGUGCCGCCGAGCGCGCCCACCCGCGCCCUCCUGUGCCAUGGCUCGUCGCCCCUGGGCACUACGUCAGCCUCCACGACGCCGCCAUCUACCGCGUCCCGCUGCCCGAGGACGCCGCCGCUGCCACCUGUCGAGGUUCCUUCGGCGACUGGCUCGCCCUCGUGCCGCCGGUGUCAGGGCGCCCCUUCUUGCUCAACGCUUUCACAAAGGAGCGAAUCAGGCUGCCGCGGUGGACGAAAGAGCCGAUGGUUAAGUUUGUCCUGUCGUCCAAGCCGGAUGCCAAGGCUUGCACUGUGGCUGCCAUUGUUGAGAUUGGAGACGGCGCCUACAGGAUGAGUUGUAAGGUCGUUAUCUGCCACCUGAGGCGGGGACGACAACAAGGGCGCUCCUGGGAGAUCCUGACUAAGGCGUUCAAGCUCCAAGACAUCACCUUCUUCGAGGGGAAACUCCAUGCCCUUGACACAGAAGCCUGCCUCCAUGUCUUCCAGGAAGAAGACCUACAACAGCGCCCUCAUCAGCGGUGGAGCAUGCCACCUGCGAAGCAGCAAUUCUACGACGUCAAGCUGCACCUGGUUGUCCUCCAUGGGAGGCUGCACAUGGUCGGCAGGGGCUUAGGGACGACCCGGUGGACGACAUUCACCAACAAUAUAGGGGUCUUCGCGCUCGUCGGCGAGAUGACGAAGCCACCGGUGCCAGUCAAGGACUUUGACGGGCACGCGAUCUUUGUCGGCGACGCCUGCUGCGACGCUUUCGUAGUUGAGGCAGCUGCUUUAGGCCGCAUGAUAAGAGAGAACCAGAUUUGUUUCGUCGACGACGAGAAGAACAUGAUGUCGCUGGCCACCACCGGCCGCCGGCCUUUCCGGCUGCUGCAAUCCUACGACGUGCGCAACGGCUGCCUCCGCGCAUACGGACCCAGCACCGCCGCGGUGGGGACCUGGCGGUGCGUCACGGCACAGCGUUUCCCGCAGAGCAGCGCCAUUGGACCACCGCUGCGGGCCUCUCUGUCGAAGGCGGAGCUGCUGCUGUGGAACGUGGCCAACUGCCUGGGAGCAUGGGACCGGCCCUUAUAUACAACGCGCCAUCAGGACGAUGGCGCAGGCGUCGCCGUGACAGUGGAGAUCGAGGUGCCCAAGACAUCCAGAAUAAUGGAAGGGGAAGAGCCCCUCUUUGAGUGGAGUUUCACGCAGCAGCGGGGGUCAGCCAAGAAAGCGAAGCAGGCGGCGGCGCACGAGGCCGUCACGUUCCUGCGGAGUCGGUUUCGCAGCAUCCUAGACGACAGCCCCUGGAGCUCCGUCCCUCACUACCAUAGCCACGUCGACGAGGAGGAAGAAGCAGUCCAAGAAGACGACGCCGAAGGCGGCAGUUUGUUUGGGUAUACACAUUGGUACGGUGACAUUAACUACUAGCUAAGGUGCUCUGCUUUGGCCUUCCGUUGAGCGUCACUUGCUUUGCUCUGCAGAAACGUGUUGGGCGUGUGCAAAACAUGCGCUUGAUUGGAGAGAUCAAGAACUCGUGUUUAUGCAAUGUUAUAAAAGAGUCGGCUUGGUUUUUAAUAGGACUCCAUAGCUAUAUAUAAACAUGUCAUGCCAGUAAAAGUUUGCAUUAGUUGAGUGUAUCUAAGUCACAUGUAAAAGUUGACGACAUAGUCCGGUCCUUUCAUCACACUUAACUUCACUCCCCUUCGCCACCCGAGCUCACCUUUGGCGGUUUCCGACAUUCUUCGCCAUGGCAGGCAAUGGAUCGGACUCCGACCAGUCCGGAUCCGUUGAUUGGGAUGUCAUCCCAUAUGGGUUGGAGGAGGCAAUGUCAAUCCGCAUUGCACUCCGCCGCUCCCGGGAGGACAGCGCCCGACCGACAGACGGAUCCGUCCGCCGCGACGCCACAGCGUCGGCUCAUCGGGCGCUUGGGUCCUCUGGUGCUGGAUCCUCGCAGUACCGGCCGGAACACCUGUCCUUCCCCAUCAUCGGUCGGGCAGAGUAUGAGUGCCACCGGGAACGGGCGGCCAUACUGCGUCUUUGACCGGUACAUCCGCGAGAAGGACGGGAAGAGCGCCGGGAAGAGUAAGGGCAACCGUGGAUGAAUUCCACCGUAGCCAAACAUGCCUAAUUUUGGUAGCCCGAUGACAUGUUUAGUGUAGUGUGAUGGAGUAACCGAACGAUGUGUGUACGUCAACGUAGUUGCAUGAGUUUUUAUGGAUUUGAGAUAUGGUAACUUAGGUGUCCGGAUGUGGAUUAUAUAUUUUGAGAAGUGUCCGAUCAAUGUCCGCGGAUUUUUGAGUGGCCGGAUUUGCCAAGUCCGCCUAUAGAUGCUACAAUGUUUUUGGCUUCGGCUAAGUUUCGGUUAGAGAAGUUGUCUAACCUGUUAUCGAUGAUCAGUUAGAUGCUCUUACCCUGCAUUCAAUCUUUUUUGAUCAAUUAUAAGUGACAUAUACUUUAGGAAAAACUGACGCAUUAGUAGCAUUUAUAAUAACGAGAAUGCUAAAUUCCUGCCGACUGGCAGUUUGCAUCAGAUCCGAACGAUCCGGAUCUCGUUCAUUCGGAAUCGAAUGGCAGUUAUCGAAGCGAGAAAAAGAAAGGGGCGUGGACGAGAAUCGAACCCCCGACGUCCUUGUAGGCACGCCACCGAACUAACCAUCUCACCCAAACUUCGUAGUUGUUAAAAUUGCGAACACCCUGGAUUUAAUGCAUAGUGGUCUUUUUUUGAGAUUAAAAAUCUGAAGAAGUUGCUAAUUUGAUGGCGCAUUUAGCGGAAAGACUUCCUGAAACGUUGAUGUCCGUGAUUUUCUCUCUGGAUUAGAUCCAUCAUGAUUUUUUCUGUGUGCUAGAUCUAUUGAUAGACCCUAUUUACAGGAAUUUUUUAGUCAAGAAAAUUGAUUCUCAAUAUAGGAUUCGAACCCACAGCAAGCAGCUUACGUGAAACACUUACCACUAGUAGAAAAGGGGCCAAUGGUCCAGGCCGGUCCAGCCCAUUAGUCCCGGUUUAACCCAGAACAGGGACCAAUGAUGGCAUUGGACCCGGUUCGUGAGCCCCGGGGGCCGGCCGGGCCACGUGGGCCAUUGGUCCCGGUUGGAGGGACGAACCGGGACCAAUGGUUCUCGCUCCUGGCCCACCAUCAUUGGUCCCGGUUGGUGGCAUGAACCGGGACCAAAGGCUGCCCUUUAGUCCCGGUUCAUGCCACCAACCGGGACGAAACGGUUGGUCCUUGUUGCGGUCACAGUUUAGUCCCACCUCGCCAACUGAAGGGGAAUUAGACCGGUUUAUUUUCUUUUUUGCUAUAUUUAUUUUUUUCUUUUUAUUUCUGAGUUGUAAUAAUUCAUUAAAAAUANNNNNNNNNNNNNNNNNNNNNNNNNNNNNNNNNNNNNNNNNNNNNNNNNNNNNNNNNNNNNNNNNNNNNNNNNNNNNNNNNNNNNNNNNNNNNNNNNNNNNNNNNNNNNNNNNNNNNNNNNNNNNNNNNNNNNNNNNNNNNNNNNNNNNNNNNNNNNNNNNNNNNNNNNNNNNNNNNNNNNNNNNNNNNNNNNNNNNNNNNNNNNNNNNNNNNNNNNNNNNNNNNNNNNNNNNNNNNNNNNNNNNNNNNNNNNNNNNNNNNNNNNNNNNNNNNNNNNNNNNNNNNNNNNNNNNNNNNNNNNNNNNNNNNNNNNNNNNNNNNNNNNNNNNNNNNNNNNNNNNNNNNNNNNNNNNNNNNNNNNNNNNNNNNNNNNNNNNNNNNNNNNNNNNNNNNNNNNNNNNNNNNNNNNNNNNNNNNNNNNNNNNNNNNNNNNNNNNNNNNNNNNNNNNNNNNNNNNNNNNNNNNNNNNNNNNNNNNNNNNNNNNNNNNNNNNNNNNNNNNNNNNNNNNNNNNNNNNNNNNNNNNNNNNNNNNNNNNNNNNNNNNNNNNNNNNNNNNNNNNNNNNNNNNNNNNNNNNNNNNNNNNNNNNNNNNNNNNNNNNNNNNNNNNNNNNNNNNNNNNNNNNNNNNNNNNNNNNNNNNNNNNNNNNNNNNNNNNNNNNNNNNNNNNNNNNNNNNNNNNNNNNNNNNNNNNNNNNNNNNNNNNNNNNNNNNNNNNNNNNNNNNNNNNNNNNNNNNNNNNNNNNNNNNNNNNNNNNNNNNNNNNNNNNNNNNNNNNNNNNNUGCUUCUAUUUAUUUCUGAGUAGUUUUUUAUAUAGUUUUUUUUUCUUUUCUGCUAUAUUUAUUUUUUUUCUUUUUAUUUCUGAGUUGUAAUAAGUCAUUAAAAAUAAGCAUCUAUGCUCAUUUUUUAGUUAAGUUAAUCACAACUAUUAAAAAUAAGUCAUUAAAAAUAAAAAAGAGGCGCAAUGCUCGUUAAUUUGCUUUAAGCCUUUCGGAAUAGUGUCAGUUGCACUGCCCAUAGCUCUGUGCAGUCUACCCUAUUCCUCAAGGCUUGAAGCUAACCAACGUGCAGGUGAGCAUUGAGCCUCUUCUUCAUCGUCUCUGCACUCAGGGCUUAUAAACAGCUGCGAGUGCCUCUCGCUUGGCGAGGUGAGACUAAAAAAACAGCUGCAGAAAGAAUCAACUAAAAAACAGCUGCAGAAAAUAAAAAAUUAGACGGGUCCAUUGGUACCGGUUGGUGGUGCCAACCGGUACCAAUGCCCCUCUUUUGUACCGGUUGGUGCCACCAACCGGUACCAAUGCCCCUCUUUUGUCCCGGUUAGAGCCACCAACCGGGACCAAAGGUCUUCGUUUCCCGCCCUUUGGGCUGCCGAAAAGAGGCCUUUGGUCCCGGUUGGUGACUCCAACCGAGACAAAAGAGAGGCAUUGGUCCCGGUUUGUGGCACGAACCGGGACCAAAGCCUUUGCUAUAUAAGUAGCAGUGCCGCCCCGCCCCGACUUCGAUCUCUCCCGAUGCCGCGCGCCAUCCCCUGCCGCCACCUCGCCGUCGCCGCCCCACCCCGACGCCAUCGCCGCCCACCCUGCCNNNNNNNNNNNNNNNNNNNNNNNNNNNNNNNNNNNNNNNNNNNNNNNNNNNNNNNNNNNNNNNNNNNNNNNNNNNNNNNNNNNNNNNNNNNNNNNNNNNNNNNNNNNNNNNNNNNNNNNNNNNNNNNNNNNNNNNNNNNNNNNNNNNNNNNNNNNNNNNNNNNNNNNNNNNNNNNNNNNNNNNNNNNNNNNNNNNNNNNNNNNNNNNNNNNNNNNNNNNNNNNNNNNNNNNNNNNNNNNNNNNNNNNNNNNNNNNNNNNNNNNNNNNNNNNNNNNNNNNNNNNNNNNNNNNNNNNNNNNNNNNNNNNNNNNNNNNNNNNNNNNNNNNNNNNNNNNNNNNNNNNNNNNNNNNNNNNNNNNNNNNNNNNNNNNNNNNNNNNNNNNNNNNNNNNNNNNNNNNNNNNNNNNNNNNNNNNNNNNNNNNNNNNNNNNNNNNNNNNNNNNNNNNNNNNNNNNNNNNNNNNNNNNNNNNNNNNNNNNNNNNNNNNNNNNNNNNNNNNNNNNNNNNNNNNNNNNNNNNNNNNNNNNNNNNNNNNNNNNNNNNNNNNNNNNNNNNNNNNNNNNNNNNNNNNNNNNNNNNNNNNNNNNNNNNNNNNNNNNNNNNNNNNNNNNNNNNNNNNNNNNNNNNNNNNNNNNNNNNNNNNNNNNNNNNNNNNNNNNNNNNNNNNNNNNNNNNNNNNNNNNNNNNNNNNNNNNNNNNNNNNNNNNNNNNNNNNNNNNNNNNNNNNNNNNNNNNNNNNNNNNNNNNNNNNNNNNNNNNNNNNNNNNNNNNNNNNNNNNNNNNNNNNNNNNNNNNNNNNNNNNNNNNNNNNNNNNNNNNNNNNNNNNNNNNNNNNNNNNNNNNNNNNNNNNNNNNNNNNNNNNNNNNNNNNNNNNNNNNNNNNNNNNNNNNNNNNNNNNNNNNNNNNNNNNNNNNNNNNNNNNNNNNNNNNNNNNNNNNNNNNNNNNNNNNNNNNNNNNNNNNNNNNNNNNNNNNNNNNNNNNNNNNNNNNNNNNNNNNNNNNNNNNNNNNNNNNNNNNNNNNNNNNNNNNNNNNNNNNNNNNNNNNNNNNNNNNNNNNNNNNNNNNNNNNNNNNNNGUAAUUAAUAUGUAGUUCAUAUUUUUAGUAAGUACUAUUUUAUUUUAUUUAUAGUAAGUGCUUCAUAUAUAUAUAGUUGAACUAGCUAGUUGAUUUAAUAAACUAAUUUAUUUUACUAUAUAUAGAAGUAGUUUGUUUUUAGUAAGUAGUACUUUAUUUAUUUAUAGUAAGUGCUUAAUUAGUAGUUGAACUAGAUAGUUGAUUUAAUUAAUAAAACUACUUUAUUUAACUAUAUAUAGAAGUAGUUCCCGCAUCGACGUCGGCGAUGCCUAUCCCGCAUCCUCGUCGUCGUCGACUCGGCGGUGGAGGCUUGCUUGAUCAGGGCCAUGUUCGGGACUGGGCUCCGCCGGACUGGUAUUGGGAGCUGCUACCUUCCGGCGGACGUAGGUUGGUGAGGAGGCAGCCCGUUGUUGACCCGAUCCUUGUUUGGUGGCGAUCGUGUGGGCCAGUGACGGCGUCGAGGCUUCCGAACACCACGGAGGUGGUACGUCACCGUGUCAGCGAGGAGGACGAGCACGUCCGUUGCUACAUGGUUGCAUUGGAGGGCAGGUUCGACAAUACCUGGCAGGUUCUUCAGGGAUCUCACUAGAGCUAUGAUCCUGUGAUGGUUCCUUAUCUUUGGGUGUCCACCGCCCGCAUCGAUACCCGUCGGGCGCUACGGUUCUAGUUGUAUUUAGUGAUGCUAUAUUAGUGAUUGAAAGAUCGAGGAUGUCGCCUAGAGGGGGGGUGAAUAGGCGCUUUAAAAUAAUUACAGUUUAGGCUUGAACAAAUGCGGAAUAAACCUAGCGGUUAAUUUGUCAAGCACAAAACCUACAACAACUAGGUCACCUAUGUGCACCAACAACUUAUGCUAAGCAAGAUAAGCAACUAUGUGAUAGCAAGAUAUAUGACAAAAACAAUAUGGCUAUCACAAAGUAAAAUGCAUAAGUAAAGGGGCUCGGGUAAGAGAUAACAAAGGCACGCGGAGACGAUGAUGUAUCCCGAAGUUCACACCCUUGCGGAUACUAAUCUCCGUUUGGAGCGGUGUGGAGGCACAAUGCUCCCCAAGAAGCCACUAGAGCCACCGUAAUCUCCUCACGCCCUCGCACAAUGCAAGAUGCCGUGAUUCCACUAAGGGACCCUUAAGGGCGGUCACCUAACCCGUACAAAUGGUGACCCUUGGGGGCGGUCACCGAACCCGUACACUUUGGCAACCCUUGGGGGAGGUCACCGGUACCCGUCAAAUUGCUCGGGGCGAUCUCCACAACCUAAUUGGAGACCCCGACGCUUGCCCGGAGCUUUACACCACAAUGAUUGAGCUCCGAACACCACCAACCAUCUAGGGCACCAAGGCACCCAAGAGGAACAAGCUCUAGGGUGCCCAAACACCCAAGAAUAAUAAGCUUCUCAAACUUCACUUCCACGUAUCACCGUGGAGAACUCAAACCGAUGCAUCAAAUGCAAUGGCAAGGGCACACGGAGUGCCCAAGUCCUUCUCUCCCAAAUCCCACCAAAGCAACUAAUGCUAGGGAGGAAAAUGAGAGGAAGAACGAAAGAAGAACAUGAAGAACUCCAAGAUCUAGAUCCAAGGGGUUCCCCUCACUUAGAGGAGAAAGUGAUUGGUGGAAACGUGGAUCUAGAUCUCCUCUCUCUUUUCCCUCAAGAACUAGCAAGAAUCCAUGGAGGGAUUGAGAGUUAGCAAGCUCGAAGAAGGUCAACAAUAGGGGAAGAACACGAGCUCAAGGGAUUAGGUUCAUUGGGGAAGAAGACCCCCUUUUAUAGGACAUCCCGAAUCCAACCGUUAUGUGCUCAGGUCGUGCACAAGCGGUACUAUCGCUUGGAGGAGCGGUACUACCGCUUAGCACGGUCAAAACAGCCCAACGAGAAAGAAAACACGAGUUUUUGGUCCGGAGCGGUACUACCGCUUAGGAGCCACGGUAGUACUGCUCUGGAGCGGUACUACCGCUCAGGAGCCGCGGUAGUACCGCUCUGGAGCGGUAGUAAAAAAUUACAUCCGCUCUAGUCGCGGUAGUACCUCUGCAGCCUUUACCAAAACAGCCACAACUUUUGCAAACGGACUCCGAAUUCAACGAAACCAAGUUUGUUGGGAAGCUAAUGACAUGGGCUAACACAAUAUUGAUAGAAAUACAAAGAAUAAGAAAAUGAGAAAAGUCCCAUAAGAAAAUGGUGAGAACCCUUCACCGGAUAAGACCGGUAAAACCUCCAACACCGAAAGCAUCAUAGAAGACGCAUGCGAACUCCAUUUUUGAUGAACUCAAGCUUGUCAUCAAGAUGACCAUAAGCUCUAAGACUCACAAAGAUAACCAAACAAGAACCAAGAAACAUGAUGCAAGGAUGCAAUGGUUUGAUCUCUCUACUAACGAUACGAUCAAGCUACCAACUUGAGAGCCCCCUUUGAUAGUACGUCAAACGAUCCUAUAACUCUGUCUCCCAACUACCACCACAAUACCGGUAAAAUAGAAAAACUAUCAAGGGAAAACCUUUGCCUUGCACAUGGUCCACUUGAGCUAGAUGAAGACGAUCUUGACUCCCUCAAGUUGGACCACCUUUCUUGAUUGCGUUGGCUCGAUGAAGACUAGAUGAUUGCUCCCUCAUAAUUCACUAUGGGUGAGCCACUCUUCGGCACAUCUUCACAAGUCCAUUGACACCACAAUGGAUGGCAAGAUUCAAGCACUUGAUCUCUUCGUGAUGCUGCACUUGAACUUGCACACAGCAAUCUUGAUGACGAUCACCACUUGAUGUCAUCCUUUCCGUGGGUUGUAUGAUAUCUUCCUCUUGACGCAAGCCCAUGGAUACGUACCUAACCCCACAUACAACUCUCACAUAGACCAUGGGUUAGUACAUAAGGUGCAAUGGACAAUGCUUACCAUACCAUGGGAUCACUUGAUCCCUCUCAGUACAUCUUCUACGCUUUGUGAGUUGAUCAACUUGAUUCACUAUUGACUUAGUCUUGAUCAACCUUGAAUCUUUGCAACUCUCUUCAUUUGGAUGAUGUAUUGAAGGUAAACAUGAAUGAUCACACAACCUUCUUCUUCUUCAAGACAUGCUUGCAAUAAGCUCAACACUCGCAUGACCAAUCUUUGGAUAGUUCCUUAAUAGCACCUUGGUCAACUCAUAAAAUCCUUGAAACCAACACAUGGACUUCAAGAAAAGCCUAUGGACAAAUCCUUCAAAUAUAACUCAAGACAACCAUUAGUCCAUAGAGAUUGUCAUCAAUUACCAAAACCAAACAUGGGGGCACCGCAUGUUCUUUCAAUCUCCCCAUUUUGGUAAUUGAUGACAAUCACUUUCAAGAGAGUUUAUAUAAGGAAUUUUGCAUCACCAUGCAAUGCAACAACCAAUAGUGCAUGCGAAUGAGAUGCAAAUGCUAAGGAACAAAACCAAAGCAAGAAGAGAUAACUCUCUAAACUUCUCCACAAAACUCUCUGAAACUUCUCCCCCAUUGGCAUCGAUUGCCAAAAUGGGCGAAAAGCUUAGAAGGCCAAUAUAAAUUGUGGUCCUCCAUAAAUUUGUAUUUCUCAACAAGAGAGUGGAAUGCAAUACACAUAUCCAACUGACAAUACUUGGAGGAAGACAAACUAUAUUGAUGGUUGUUGGUGUCAAAACCGGCGGAUCUCGGGUAGGGGGUCCGAACUGUGCGUCUAGGCAGAUGGUAACAGGAGACGAGGGACACGAUGUUUUUACCCUGGUUCGGGCCCUCUUGAUGGAGGUAAAACCCUACGUCCUGCUUGAUUAAUAUUGAUGAUGUGGGUUACAAGAGUAGAUCUACCAUGAGAUCAAGGAGGCUAAACCCUAGAAGCUAGCCUAUGGUAUGAUUGUUGUUCGUCCUAUGGACUAAAGCCAUCCGGUUUAUAUAGACACCGGAGAGGGCUAGGGUUACACAGAGUCGGUUAAAAAGGUAGGAGAUCUACAUAUCCGUAUUGCCAAGCUUGCCUUCCACGCUAAGGAAAGUCCCAUCCGGACACGGGACGAGGUCUUCAAUCUUGUAUCUUCAUAGUCUUGGAGUCCGGCCGAUGAUGAUAGUUCAGCUAUCCGGACACCCCCUAGUCCGGAACUCCCUCAGUAGCCCCUGAACCAGGCUUCAAUGACGACGAGUCCGGCGCGCAUGUUGUCUUCGGCAUUGCAAGGCGGGUUCCUCCUACGAAUAAUUUAUAGAAGAUUGUGAACACCAGGAUAGUGUCCGGCUCUGCAAAAUAAUUUCCACAUACCACCGUAGAGAGAAUAAUAUUCACACAAGUUCAAUCUGCUGACGCAUUCCAUGGCGUGACGUCACACCACAACCAAGCCUUUAUUUGGAACGUUUUUAUUGUACCACUUCAGCGCGUUUAGCGAAGCGGUUUCCUUGGCACGUCCUGUCGAAGCAGAGAUCGUGUUCCCCUUAUUCCAGGAUUCUCAUCAAUACGGACGUGGGUAACCCAACCGCGCUCGUUGCCACGCCCCCUCCAUCGAAGGCGGGUUUCAAACGGUCACGGGGACGGCUCUUAGUAUUCUUCCUCUUUAUAAUGAGACCAAGGCCCGUUCUUUUUAUUCAAUCCUCUAUCGAAUCCGCCCCUCUCCCUGAGUUCCAACACCCAGGGCUCCGAGUUCAGGUACCUUCGAUCCUCGACAAUGUCCGGUCUUGAUCUACGAGGCCGGUGGAUGCCCUCCUCCAUCACGGAGGAGGACGUGCUAAAGCUGAGAGAUGCCAGGUAUUUAACCUACGAGAUUUCGCAUAGGCUGCCUGCCCGAGGGCAAGUUAUCCCAACUCCCGAGCCUGGCGAGAUCGUCGUGUUCAUGUCUCACUUCCGUCGGGGUUUAGGCUUCUCCACGGAUCCCUACAUGAGGGGGCUCAUGUUUUACUAUGGGCUGGAAUUCCACGACCUGGCUCCGGAGUCCAUCCUCCAUAUCUCAUCAUUCAUUGUCAUUUGUGAAGCCUUCCUCCGCACUACCCCUCACUUCGGCUUAUGGCUCAAAACCUUCAACAUGGAGCCGAAGAUGAUUGAGGGGCGUCAGGCAGAGUGCGGCGGGCGGUUAUAAGCUAGAGGGCCGAAGCUCCAUGGCCCAAGGGCUCUUUCCAAGAGGAGCUCGGCUUGUGGCAACAGGAGUGGUUUUAUAUCACCGCUCCCCGGGGUAGCAGGCAGAAGUCGCCGCCCGUCUUUCGCUCGGGCCCUCCACAGCAGCUGACAUCAUGGGUCAACAAGGGGCGUGACUGGGGGCCGCCCAAAGACGUUCCCCUGUUGCAAGACUGGAUUCGAGUCCUCCAAGAAAGGGAGAUCAAUCUGGUCGCAGUGGUGCAGGUCAUGUUGAUCCGGCGCCUACUGCCCUGCAAACGUCGCCCCCUCCGCCUGUGGGAAUUUAAUCCGGAGGGGCCGCGAGCUCUUCAACACUUCAUGGGUUUGACUCCCAUGGAGAUGUAUAAACUGUUCUUCGGAUCGCAAGAGACAAAUCCGGAAUUGAUCGAGGACGCUGGCCUAAGAUGCAAUCGCCCGGAUACUCAAGUAAGUAGCCUGUGUCCGAACACACCGUCCAUUUAUUUAUAGUGAGCUUGCCUUUUAACCAGCUUUCCCUGGACGAGAGUGGAUAGCGCAAGCAAAACUGAUACGGUGUCCGGCCCCCCUCCCUGAGACCAUGCAGGAUCCCGUGUUAAUCAAAAUGUUGGAGGUUGCACCUUCGAAUGAGGGCGAAGGGGGGCACGGGGAAACUGUCACCUAUGCCAAGGAGGUUUUUAGUAAGGGAGGAAUCGAGAGUCCCUCCUUCCAGGGGGAGAAGAGGACCGCUUCCGAAGACCCGGAGGCCAAGGCCUCAAAGCGAGGAAAGAAAUCUCUACCGGAAGGUCCUGCGCCGGGAAGAGCCCCGGCCGUACUGUCUCCUCGGAGGAAUCAGCCCUCUAACGAGCCGUAAGUAAAAAGGGGGAUUUAUAAUUAUUAGACACCCCUGCUUAAUGUCUAAAGGUAACCGAAGUUUUUACCUUGUAGUUCGGAUCUCAGCCCAUCUCAGCACAGCUCAUCUUCGGGAGACCUUCGUCCGGAGAUGAUGGAGAGCAAAACGCCUCCAUCUGCCGCCCCAUCGCAUGGGGCGGACGACCCUGAGGUGUCUUCGCAGAGGGUCUCCCCGAGUCCGGCGGGGCCGGAGAGUUCGGCACCCAUUGGAGUACAGCCGGUGGAGCUGCAGGAUUUGCUUAAGAGGGCGUCCAUCUCAGAAGAUCACCGCACAUUAAUGGGUAAUGUGAUUGAGAGGAUCUCGUCCGCCGAAAGCGGGUUGUAUGAGGCCGUCGGAAGUUUACUGACGGGAUUUGAGGUACGCAAAAAAUGACAUACCUGUUGACAGUUUUGCACAUGAAGUGCGCCCUGUAUAGUAGCCCCUAAGACUUGGUAUGCUGUCGAAAACGGCAGCGUGCCUAAGAUCAUAAUCUCAGUUAUUAACUGUCGCCUUUCCUAUGCAGGUGGCGGAACAUUCGGUGGCCAGCCGGACGGAUGGAUUCGCCGAGCUGAAGAAGCAACUCGACGCUGCAGAUGCGGACAUCUUGCUGGUCAAUAAACGACUUGAUGAGUCACAAGGUAUGUGAUUGCGCCGCGGUCGCUUAGUAAGGGAGCUGAUGCCCAUUCCUUACAAGUUGUAUGCUUGAUGCAGAUGGUGCUGCUGCUAUGGAAGACCUUCGAGCAGAACUUGCUCGGGCCAAGGAGCAAGCCAGAAAAAGCGAGACGGCUGCCUUGAAGGCAGCGAAAGAGCUAGAAGCCGAGAAGGCUGCUCACUGCCGGAGCAGGGAGGAGAUGGCCGGAAUGGCCAUGAAAUUGAAAGUUGCUACCGACCGCCUGGAGGUUCUUGAAGGAGAACGCCGAGCGAAGCAAGAGGACCUGAAGAAGGCCGAUGCCGAAGCCAAGGAUGCCCGUAGUGCGAUGCGGGCUAUGAAGGAGGAACUGCGUCAGGUCGGAGACAUUGUGGCUGGAAAACCCUUUAUGCUGCGUAGGAAGUUCACGGAUCCGAAGUAUGCUUAGCUGGGCCGAUUGUACGGUGCGGAGGAUCCUUAUCUGGACUUGGCGGCGAGUGCGGCUGAUGCAGUCAUGCACUUUCGAAGCCAGGAGGAUCAUGAAAUGGAAGAGCUUUUCUGGUCUCAAUUUCAUAGUCCGGAGCGUCCACUUCCGUUGAGUGAUCGGCUGGUUGAGUGGGCUGAGCUGAAUAGAUUGUCCGGACUAGCCAUGAUGGAUGUGGUCACUCAUCUGUGGCCGAAAAGGCCCAAGCCGAAGAGUUAUUUUGGCUUGUUGCAGCAAUUCCUUGGGGCAGUGCCGCAUAUUAAGGCGAUGAAGUGGUCGGCAUGCAUAGAAGGUGCACGGAUGGCUCUCGCCCGUGGUAAAACAUACUGGGCGGAGAUGGAUGCCACCGAUGUUGCAUCCCGGGGUUCGGACAAAAGUUGAUUCCCCACCGAGCAUUACUUUGAGGAAGUCCUGCAGGGCGCUCGUAUAAUAGAGUCGCAGUGCUUGAAAGAUGUUAUGUUUGAAUGACAUGUAUGAUUUCUAAGAUCAUGUUUAUAAUGCAAUGACUUUUUAUACUUGUGUGUUCAAGUAUUGAACUAUCUCCUGUGCGGCCGUAUAUAUAUAUAUAUAUAUAUAUAUAUAUAUAUAUAUAUAUAUAUAUAUAUAUAUAUAUAUAUAUGUAUAAUCUGAAAGAUGGCAGUCUUUGGCUUCAGCCCCCACGCACAUGGUGCGGGGGUGUUUGCAAAAAGAAAAUCGCUUCUUCACACUUAAUCCAACGUCUUGGUCCUUUUAAGGACGUGAUAGCGUAGCAAACUAGGCAACCGGACUAUAAUACUUUAUCACUUUCACUUAGCCAUAGGAGCUCGAAUGUGGGGCUACUAUAUAGCCCCUGAUGGCACCGCGCUUCUCCGAACUCGGGGCGCGUAUGUGCCUGACCGGGAAGCGGUCCUUCGUCAAAGCGGAGGAAUUCUAAACAUUCCAAUGGUCGACCGAGUGGUUGACCAGUCUCUCGCUAUAUCAUGAUAGUCAGUUUUCGGCUUUCUCUACUGAGGUGCUCUCCCGGCCGAACCGGGGCACAAUCGCAGUAGUUCUCCUGGUGCCGCGUUAGCCGAUGAUACGGAACGUAAGGCAGCAAAACACAGUAGCCGGGCAAACCCAACAUUUGACCAAAGACAUGAUUCGGAGCUGAUGCAUAUAAGGCCUAACUCGAGAUGCCGGACACUCCCUGAGGUGUUCGGUCUUUAUGAUAUUGGGCCGAACAAAGCCCUAAGCCCCUAGUGUCCAGGUACAGGCGGGAACUUCUGACGCGGCCGAUGCCAAAACGCCAGCCUCCUCCUCGGCUCUGGUAGGAAACCGGGGGAUGUGUAUCAACAAGAGACAGUAAGAAAGGUUUACGCAGGGUCUUAAUCUGAAAAGAAUCCUUGCAACGGGUCCCUACUGCACGUCUGCGCCUGUGUCUCCGUUGUGUUGUAUCCUGGACAGGUGUAGCACGUGCUUCAUCUGUAAAAGAGAAGGACUUAGUUUCUAAGAAAUAUCGUGCAAAAAGUGUAUCAAAAUAAAGUAUAAUUUAGAAGAUGAAGAAAGUUGAGCUUUAUUGGCUUUCAUCAUUUAUGCGCGCGCCCCCCUAAAAAAAGGGGUAUGCGGCUGGGAAGCCCCUUGCCGGACUCGUCUAACCAUGUCCGAGGUCUAAAUGACCUGUUUUUAGGGGCUUUGACCUGCAAGGUCGGAAUAAUGUGUGGCUGUCUAGGCAGCCGCACAUUCUUCGUGGUCGAGAGACACCUGGAGUUUUUAAGAAUAUUCCACGUGGACCAGGCAUUUGUAAGCGUAAGAGACGCGUAAUGUUGUAUUGCAUUAAAGCAAGCGAAAGCUUCGCGCCCCAGUAGCGCUUAAGGGCUACUGUUAAAUGGGGCGAUGGAGAGUGAGCUUUUCGCGAUGGAGGUUGUCGGAUGAACCGAACACGACCUCUAGUGGUACAGAGCCUGUAAAAUUGGCUUAAAAGGCCUGGCGUCACUCCUUUGAAGGAAGUGCUGCUAUAGCGAAUUUUGGUGGGUUCUAUCCCCAGUCUGCGGAUGGUGUCCUGGUAUAGCAGGUGCCGCGCUGCGUGUUAUCACGUGAAGUGAGUUCACUGUUUGGACUUCUAGUGGGAAAGUCUUUUGGUUUCCGGAGCGCUGCUUUUGGGUUUCGUCACUUUCACUUGGUGUGUCGAGCCCCUUGUGUUCGGCGUUAAGUCGGCCGGACUGCUUGAAGACCCAACAAUCUCUGUGGGUAUGGUUUGCAGGCUUCCCGGAGGUACCAUGUAUUUGGCACAGUCUGUCCAGAAUCUUGUUUAGGUUGGAUAGCUCGUCACUGUUAUCCUUUAAGGGCAGUGUUUUGUUGUUCGGCCGAGAGCUUUUGAAUCCGGCGUUGACCACCGUACUAUUUGGGCCAUUCUCCUUGUUCCGGCGCUGAUCUUUUUUGCGUCGUGAUUUCCCAUUUCCAUCCCUGAUUUCGGAUGUACUCGGGUCGCUGGUGCUGCAUCUAGCCAACCCGCUGUCUUCCCCAGCGCAAAAGCGGGUCAUGAGACUUGUUAGUGCGGCCAUUGUUCUUGGUUUUUCCUGGCCGAGGUGUCUGGCGAGCCAUUCGUCUCGGACGUUGUGUUUGAAGGCUGCUAAGGCUUCAGCGUCCGGACAGUCAACUAUUUGGUUCUUUUUAGUGAGGAACCUGUUCCAGAAUUUGCGUGUCCGGGCUGUUGAGUUAUGUGACUUAAAUCAUCUGCAUCCGGAGGCCGGACAUAAGUCCCCUGAAAAUUUGCUCGAAACGCAUCCUCAAGCUCUUCCCAACUCCCAAUCGUAUUUUCUGGGAGGCUUUUAAGCCAAUGCCGGGCCGGCCCUUUGAGCUUGAGGGGAAGGUAUUUUAUGGCAUGGAGAUCAUCUCCUCUUGCCAUGUGUAUGUGUAGGAUAUAAUCCUCAAUCCAGACUCCGGGGUCUGUUGUUCUGUCGUAUGCCUCUAUGUUUAUGGGUUUAAAUCCCGCUGGAAAUCCAUGAUCCAGUACCUCGUCGGUAAAACAUAGUGGGUGUGCGGCGCCCCUAUAUUUGGGUGUGCCAUUGUCUUCAAAUGCUCGGCUGGUUGUGUUACUUCCUGGAGUCUUCUUUUUUGGCCCAUACAUAGACCUGGUCGGGUUAUCCUUUUUCUGAAGAUCUUUAUGCUGAUCAUGUGCCGGCUUGUGUGUGGAGCCCCAUGUUGCUCUUGGCCUGUCAUCUGGUUGUCUAUCCGGCUAGGCGGCCCCUUUAUUUUUUGACUGCGGGGGCUCGAAGGCCUCCUCGUCAAAUUCGGGCAACAGCUUGCGCUUCGGGUAGCUCUUUGUCUGGUGAUUAGUGCCAUAUUUAUCUGCGGUGUUGAGUACUUUGCUCCAUCUCAUUCUGAGUGUGUCUUCCGCUGUUUUGAGCUUCCGCUUUUGCUUCUUCAAACUUCUUGCAGUGGCGACGAGCCUGUUAUGGAGAUUCCUAUGCUCUGGUGAUGUGAGGUCAUCUUCGUCGGGGAUGGGUUGCUUGUCCGGUUCAUGUCCGGCUGGCUGCUUGUUGACGUGUGCGUCGUCUACUGCUUUGCCCUGCUCUAGGGCCGGGUUCAUAUGGGUACCGUUUUUGUCGAUGCCGGUCUUUGGGCGGCGCUUGCGUCGCCGCUUUGUUUGUUUGUUGGGGGAGUUGUCCUUCGCCACUUCCCGUUUUUCCUCAUUGUCGCUUCCUUUUGGUGUGUCCACCAUGUAUACGUUGUGAGCUGGGGUGGCUUUUCCGUGCCCGUUAGGCGCUGGUUCUUGGUCAUCUCCGGCAUCGUCGUCCAUACCGUCGAUGUCUUCGGAGUCGUAGUCUAACAUGUUGGUUAGAUCGUCGACAGCGGCUACCAAGUGGGUGGUGGGUGGGCUUUGAAUUUCUUCGUCGUCCGCAUCCCAACCUUCCUGACCGCAGUCCGGCCAGGGCUCUCCUGAUAACGAGAGAUACUUUAGCGAACUCAAGAUGUCGCCAAAAGGUGAGUGUUGAAAGACGUCCGCUGUAGUGAACUCCAUGAUCGACGCCCAGUCAGAUUCGAUCGGGGCGGGCGCGGGAGGUUCGGAGUCACGAGCUUUAUGAGGGACGAAGUCAGUGUUCGGCUCUAUCGCCGUAGAGGUUGCAGCCCCCAAGGUGGUGUCUAGGCAUCCAUCCUCGAUCUGCGGAGCUGGCUCCGAAUUGAAGAUCGGAGUGGUUUCGAGUGCGGCCUCCAGGGUACUGUCCGGCGGCAGAGCUAAAUCAUGCCCAUCGUGACAGUACAGCACGCUCGGCUGUGGCUCGAAUCCGUCGAGGAUCAAGUCCCCGCGGAUGUCAGCCGUGAAGUUCAAAUUUCCACAUCUGACCUGACGGCCAGGGGCGUAGCCUUCGAUCUGCUCCAUCAUGCCAAGCGAAUUGGCCCGCAGUGCAAAGCCGCCGAAUACGAAGAUCUAUCCGGGGAGGAAGGUCUCACCCUGGACUGCAUCGUCGUUGAUGAUCGAAGAAGCCAUCGAGCCUAUCGGUGACGACACAGAGGAACUCUCAAUGAAAGCACCAAUGUCGGUGUCAAAACCGGCGGAUCUCGGGUAGGGGGUCCCGAACAGUGCGUCUAGGCGGAUGGUAACAGGACACGAGGGACACGAUGUUUUUACCCAGGUUCGGGCCCUCUUGAUGAAGGUAAAACCCUACGUCAUGCUUGAUUAAUAUUGAUGAUGUGGGUUACAAGAGUAGAUCUACCACGAGAUCAAGGAGGCUAAACCCUAGAAGCUAGCCUAUGGUAUGAUUGUUGUUCGUCCUAUGGACUAAAGCCAUCCGGUUUAUAUAGACACCGGAGAGGGAUAGGGUUACACAGAGUUGGUUACAAAGGUAGGAGAUCUACAUAUCCGUAUCGCCAAGCUUGCCUUCCACGCCAAGGAAAGUCCCAUCCGGACACGGGAUGAGGUCUUCAAUCUUAUAUCUUCAUAGUCUUGGAGUCCGGCCGAUGAUGAUGGUUCGGCUAUCCGGACACCCCCUAGUCCGGAACUCCCUCAAUGGCCAAAGAUUGCAACAGAAAGAUAUGCCACAAAGACAUAACAAAGAGAGACACAAGCAAUCAACGGAUAUCAAUUGAACCAACUAGACCAAUGAUCCUACAUGCCACAAGAAUAAAGAUAUUAUGAAAAGCGCAAAGGAGUGUUCUAAAGAAACUAGAGAAGCUCCCCAUGAUUUGUGCACACAUAAGAAUUUUUUGUAUUUGAAUACAAAGUGCACAAAAUAGGAUCAUAGCUCCCCCAAAAUCAAUAGAAACUCACAUCCAGUGCAAGUGAGCAUAUAGGAAACAAAGCCUAACGCUUGCAACAAGCACAUGGUUCAGCAACAUGUAAAAGAGGCAACUUAAGAAUAGGCUCAACCAAAAUGAUGUGUGUGAGUCAUGGCGAAGCACUUGAGAAGACUAAAAUUAGGAUGAGCAUUAAGCAUCAACAUAGUCUUGAAAGAAUGAGGCACACGGUGCAAGGCCUAUCAUUCCCACACACAACUGGCAAAUGGGUUCACAAGCUUACUAAUAAGCAAAAGAGAACCUAUUCUUGUGACAACCCGUGGUUAAGAUAGAUGAGGGGAGGCUCAUCAAGACGAGGGAUACCAAUUAAGAUGGCAAAAACCUCGUAAAGAUAAGCAAGAGGAAAAUAAUCUUCACCACACAAGAGUGCAACAAGAUGCAACGAUAGAGGACACACACUCAAGGCAAAAGCUUUCACGGAGCCACCAAAGAAAUAACAUAAGAAAGACAAGGUGGACGUGAAAGAAAGGAUAUCAACUAGAGAUGUAAUUUCUCUCAAGUGUAUGAGGUUCUAUGUAGACGAAAUCAUGAUGAUAUAUAUAUCUACAAAGAAGGAUGUACACCCGGAAUAGUUACAACAUGAAGGAACAAGAUAUCCACAAGGAAGCCAUAAAUAUACAAUUAAGAUAUUGCUUGAAAGCAUAGCACAUGGCUAGAUAUGGUCUUAUUGUAUAUGAAUGAAGUCCAAACACACAUCCAUCAAAGGCAUCACAACUAGCAACAAGAGAUCAUCGUUGGGAUGCAUUGAGAAAGGAAACAAGUAUCACAAGAUAUGAAAUGAAUAUCAUGCCAAGAUGCAACCUACACAAGGUUGAAUGCAAGAGGAGAAAGCAUGAAUAGAUACUUGUUACCGAGAUAUCAUUGGAAGGAUGUAGUAGAUACCAAUUGAAGGUAGAUAGUAGUUCAUUGAUCAUCCUAGCUUAACUCCAAUAAGCACAUGGUGACAACACCUUCCUUGUGAGUGAGUCGAGCAUCCAAUGCAUCUCCAACCGUUCCUACAAGGACAACACAAACUAAACGGUACCCCAAACUCAUUGGGACCAAAUAGUUAGAAACACCAAUACAUAGGACAAAUUCCACAUAAAUAUGUGCAUAUAGAUAUGGAAAUUAAUUUCAUGCACAUCUCAUCCAAUUUGAGACUUGGUGGAGUUUCCCCUAUAUAUUGGGUCAACGAAAGAAAGCAUGCCAAAUAGAAUACAUGAAGUAAAUAUGCAUGCUCAAAACUUUCAAGAACCGAUACCAAAAGACAAAGAAAUGCCAAGUGAAAAGGAUACCAAAUGGAGAAAUCAUCACUUGGAAGAUAUCAUUAAAGAUACAUCAAGGAAUGAGAUAUCCAUUGAUACACACUAAAUUAAAGAUGUCAAACUCCCAAAGAGAGGAUGGUUCCAAACAAACCAAGCUCUCAACAAAGUUUCAUGAUGGCACAAGGUACCAAAAGAAAACGGCUUGCCUUCCACCAACACACACUUGAUAAGGAUCACAAGAAGAGUGUUCUAAAGAAAAUAGGAUAGCUCCCCCACGAGUUGUGCAUUAUAGAGAAUUUCCUUUUGAAUACGAAAUGCACAAGGUGGGAUCACCACUUUCUCUAUAUCUAGAAAACACUAGACGAGAACAAGAAAUUAACAAGAUCCACAAGUGGUAUGGAAGACAAUGGGAGUUGACACAAACCUUGGAAAGAGAAAAGGCAAAUAAAAACAAAAUCCAAUGUAAAGAUGAUCAAUUAAAUUCUACCACACAUAAGUGAUUACCAAUUGUCAAAAGAAGUAUUUGGAAAUAAUUCCCGGUGGUAGAUAGCAAGGAUAUCCGACAUCAUCUUCACUCCAAACAAAAAGCAAAAUGCAACUUGUAGAGCUAACAUGCCACCUAGGAACAAGAUAAUCUACAAUAUCAAUUCUAGGUGACAAUAUCUCAAAUGUACAUAUUUUCUAGGCUUGUAAUAUGCACUUAGCAUAUUACUCCCCCAUAAUGUGAUACCAAUAAGAACUUAACAAGAGGCAAUAAGAGGAACAAACAAGAGAUAAUUAAUGGACUAUUUAGAAUUUGAAUUUCUCAUGAGAGAUAUACCACCUAGCGACUAGAUAAUCUUGUAAUAUCAAUACUAGAUGGUAUUCCUCAUGUACACACAUUUAUAGGAUUGUGAGGUGCACAAAGCACAUCACUCUCCCAAAAUGGGAUGUUCCAUUAAUCUCUCACACGAGCCAACUAGGAUACAAACAAGAAGCAUAAAGGCUCAACGCACGACAUACACGUACAUGAUGUGCAAACCAACACACACAUACUUGAUUGCUCAAGAUAAGCAAGUUGGAAUCACAACAUAUACCAACACAUGCAAGGAACAAAACCAAAACAUGCAAGGGGGGCAAGUAACUUUCAAUGUAAGCAAUUUUAAGUACAAGUUACCGCAAGGAGGCACAUUGGAUAUAAGAAAUAAACUUGAUGAUUCAAUUGACUUGGCUUGAGACAAUAAGAGUGAUGAAGUCCCCUUAAUUCUUCAUAAUGUAGCCAAGUCUCCAAUGCCCUCCAACAACACCUAUUGAUAAAGAUUGAGCUUGUUGGUCCCCAACCAAGUUGGGUCCUAAGAGGUUAGUCACAAUAGGCUUGGCAACCCAAAUGGUUCUUUUCUUGACACCACUUUGAGUACCAACAAACUUGGCAAACACAUUGUCAACCUUAUCCUUCCCAAGAGAAUAGAUAUCAUCAAUAGUAAUUGGGUUGGAUAAGUUACCACUAGUGCAUGAAGAAGUGACGUGGCCUUUCUCACGACAUAAGUAGCAACGUCUACUCUUCACUUUCUUCUCACUUGAUUUCUCAACAAGAGAAGCAUUAACUUGAUUCUUCUUGAGAAGAGGCCUUUCUUCAACUUGAGGUUGAGCAUGAGAUUCUCUGUUGGAAAAGGCAGUGCCUAGGAGGCGCUUAGGCACUCCUAGGUGCUAGGCACUGGCCAAACGCCUCGCCUAGGGCAUAAAUGGAGGUCUAGGUAGGGCAAGCAAGGAAUUGCCUACCCAAGCAAGAAAUCAUACCACAUACUGCACUGAUAUGACAAACCGGCUAUAUUCCAAUGGCAGUAGAUGGUUAUUAACUUAUUUAUGUGCCCUAAACUAAUAUCAACACCCAUAUAAUAAUCACAAAUACACUACGAGUAAAACUAUAUUACCGCCUAGGCCGCGCCUAGGGCGCUUAGGCACCGCCUAGUGUUGGGAAACGUAGUAAUUUCAAAAAAAUUCCUACGCACACGCAAGAUCAUGGUGAUGGCAUAGCAACGAGAGGGGAGAGUGUUGUCCAUGUACCCUCGUAGACCGUAAGCGGAAGCGUUAUCACAACGCGGUUGAUGUAGUCGUACGUCUUCAUGACUCGACCGAUCCAAGCACCGAACGUAUGGCACCUCCAUGUUCAGCACACGUUCAGCUCGAUGACGUUCCCCGGGCUCCAAUCCAGCAAAGUGUCGGGGAUGAGUUCUGUCAGCAUGACGGCGUGGUGACGAUGAUGAUGUUCUACCGGCGCAGGGCUUCGCCUAAACUCCGCGACAAUAUGACCGAGGUGGAAUAUGGUGGAGGGGGGCACCGCACACGGCUAAGGAAUGAUCCGUAGAUCAACUUGUGUGUACUAGGGUGCCCCCCUGCCCCCGUAUAUAAAGGAGCAAGGGGGAGGCCGGCCGGCCCCUUGGGGCGCGCCAAGGAGGAGUCCUCCUCCUAGUAGGAGUAGGACUCCCCUUUUCCUACUCCUACUAGGAGGGGGAAAGGAAGAGGGAGAGCGGGAAGGAAAGAGGGGGGCGCCACCCCCCCUCCUAGUCCAAUUCGGACCAGAGGGAGAGGGGCGCGCGGCCCACCCUGGCCGCCCCUCUCUCUUCCCACUAAGGCCCAUGUGGCCCAUUAACUCUCCCGGGGGGUUCCGGUAACCCUCCGGCACUCCGGUUUUCUCCGAAAUCACCCGGAACACUUCCGGUGUCCAAAUAUAGUCGUCCAAUAUAUCAAUCUUUAUGUCUCGAUCAUUUCGAGACUCCUCGUCAUGUCCGUGAUCACAUCCGGGACUCCGAACAAACUUCGGUACAUCAAAACUUGUAAACUCAUAAUAAAACUGUUAUCGUAACGUUAAGCGUGCGGACCCUACCGGUUCGAGAACUAUGUAGACAUGACCUAGAACUAUUCUUGGUUAAUAACCAAUAGUGGAACCUGGAUGUUCAUAUUGGUUCCUACAUAUUCUACGAAGAUCUUUAUCGGUCAAACCGCAUAACAACUUACGUUGUUCCCUUUGUCAUCGGUAUAUUACUUGCCCGAGAUUCGAUCGUCGGUAUCCAAUAACUAGUUCAAUCUCGUUACCGGCAAGUCUCUUUACUCGUUACGUAAUACAUCAUUUCAUAACUAACUCAUUAGUUACAAUGCUUGCAAGGCUUAAGUGAUGAGUAUUACCGAGAGGGCCCAGAGAUACCUCUCCGACAAUCGGAGUUACAAAACCUAAUCUCGAAUUAUGCCAACUCAACAUGUACCUUUGGAGACACCUGUAGAGCACCUUUAUAAUCACCCAGUUACAUUGUGACGUUUGGUAGCACACAAAGUGUUCCUCCGGUAAACGGGAGUUGCACAAUCUCAUAGUUGUAGGAACUUUGUAUAAGUCAUGAAGAAAGCAAUAGCAACAUACUAAACAAUCAAGUGCUAAGCUAAUGGAAUGGGUCAAGUCAAUCACAACAUUCUCCUAAUGAUGUGAUCCCAUUAAUCAAAUGACAACACAUGUCUAUGGUUAGGAAACAUAACCAUCUUUGAUUAAUGAGCUAGUCAAGUAGAGGCAUACUAGUGACACUUUGUUUGUCUAUGUAUUCACACAUGUAUCAUGUUUCCGGUUAAUACAAUUCUAGCAUGAAUAAUAAACAUUUAUCAUGAUAUGAGGAAAUAAAUAAUAACUUUAUUAUUGCCUCUAGGGCAUAUUUCCUUCAGUCUCCCACUUGCACUAGAGUCAAUAAUCUAGAUUACAUAGUAAUGAUUCUAACACCCAUGGAGUCUUGGUGUUGAUCAUGUUUUGCUCGUGAGAGAGGCUUAGUCAACGGGUCUACAACAUUCAGAUCCGUAUGUAUUUUGCAAAUCUCUAUGUCUCCCACUUGGACUUGGUCCCGAAUGGAAUUGAAGCGUCUCUUGAUGUGCUUGGUCCUCUUGUGAAAUCUGGAUUCCUUUGCCAAGGAAAUUGCACCAGUAUUGUCACAGAAGAUCUUCAUUGGUCCCGAUGCACUAGGUAUAACACCUAGAUCGGAAAUGAACUCCUUCAUCCAGACUCCUUCAUUUGCUGCUUCCGAAGCAGCUAUGUACUCCGCUUCACAUGUAGAUCCCGCCACGACGCUUUGUUUAGAACUGCACCAACUUACAGCUCCACCGUUUAACAAAAAUAUGUAUCCGGUUUGUGAUUUAGAAUCAUCCGGAUCAGUGUCAAAGCUUGCAUCGACGUAACCAUUUACGACUAGCUCUUUGUCACCUCCAUAUAUGAGAAACAUAUCCUUAGUCCUUUUCAGGUAUUUCAGGAUGUUCUUGACCGCCGUCCAGUGACCCACUCCUGGAUUACUUUCGUACCUCCCUGCCAAACUAAUAGCAAGGCACACAUCAGGUCUGGUACACAGCAUUGCAUACAUGAUAGAGCCUAUGGCUGAAGCAUAGGGAACUCCUUUCAUUUUCUCUCUAUCUUCUGCAGUGGUCGGGCAUUGAGUCUGACUCAACUUUAUACCUUGUAAUACAGGCAAGAACCCUUUCUUCGCCUGAUCCAUAUUGAACUUUUUCAACACUUUAUCAAGGUACGUGCAUUGUGAAAGUCCAAUCAAGCGUCUUGAUCUAUCUCUAUAGAUCUUAAUGCCCAAUAUGUAAGCAGCUUCACCGAGGUCUUUCAUUGAAAAACUUUUAUUCAAGUAUCCUUUUAUGCCAUUCAGAAAUUCUAUAUCAUUUCCAAUCAACAAUAUGUCAUCUACAUAUAAUAUUAGAAAUGCUACAGAGCUCCCACUCACUUUCUUGUAAAUACAGGCUUCUCCAAAAGUCUGUAUAAAACCAUAUGCUUUGAUCACACUAUCAAAGCGUUUAUUCCAACUCCGAGAGGCUUGCACCAGACCAUAGAUUGAUCGCUGGAGCUUGCACACUUUGUUAGCUCCCUUAGGAUCGACAAAACCUUCCGGUUGCAUCAUAUACAACUCUUCUUCCAGAAAUCCAUUCAGAAAUGCGGUUUUGACAUCCAUCUGCCAAAUUUCAUAAUCAUAAAAUGCGGCAAUCGCUAACAUGAUUCGGAUAGACUUAAGCAUCGCUACAGGUGAGAAACUCUCAUCGUAGUCAACCCCUUGAACUUGUCGAAAACCUUUCGCAACAAGUCGAGCUUUAUAGACAGUUACAUUACCGUCAGCGUCAGUCUUCUUCUUAAAGAUCCAUUUAUUCUCAAUGGCUUGCCGAUCAUCGGGCAAGUCAACCAAAGUCCAUACUUUGUUUUCAUACAUGGGUCCCAUCUCAGAUUUCAUGGCUUCUAGCCAUUUUGCGGAAUCUGGGCUCAUCAUCGCUUCCUCAUAGUUCGUAGGUUCAUCAUGGUCAAGUAACAUGACUUCCAGAAUAGGAUUACCGUACCACUCUAGUGCAGAUUUUAUUCUGGUAGACCUACGAGGUUCAGUAGAAACUUGAUCUGAAUUUUCAUGAUCAAUAUCAUUAUCUUCCUCACUAAUUGGUGUAGAUGUCACAGGAACUGAUUUUUGUGAUGAACUACUUUCCAAUGAGGGAGCAGACAUAGUUAUCUCAUCAAGUUCUACUUUCCUCCCACUCACUUCUUUCGAGAGAAACUCCUUUUCUAGAAAGGAUCCAUUCUUAGCAAUGAAUGUCUUGCCUUUGGAUCUGUGAUAGAAGGUGUACCCAACAGUCUCUUUUGGGUAUCCUAUGAAGACACAUUUCUCUGAUUUGGGUUUGAGCUUAUCUGGUUGAAGUUUCUUCACAUAAGCAUCGCAUCCCCAAACUUUAAGAAACGACAACUUUGGUUUCUUGCCAAACCAUGGCUCAUAAGGCGUCGUCUCAACGGAUUUUGAUGGUGCCCUAUUCAAAUGUGAAUGCAGCCGUCUCUAAAGCAUAAACCCAAAAUGAUAGCGGUAAAUCAGUAAGAGACAUCAUAGAUCGCACCAUAUCUAGUAAAGUACGAUUACGACGUUCGGACACACCAUUACGUUGUGGAGUUCCGGGUGGCAUGAGUUGCGAAACUAUUCCGCAUUGUUUCAAAUGUAAACCAAACUCGUAACUCAAAUAUUCUCCUCCACGAUCAGAUCGUAGAAACUUAAUUUUCUUGUUAUGAUGAUUUUCUACUUCACUCUGAAAUUCUUUGAACUUUUCAAAUGUUUCAGACUUGUGUUUCAUUAAGUAGAUAUACCCAUAUCUGCUCAAAUCAUCUGUGAAGGUGAGAAAAUAACGAUAUCCGCCACGUGCUUCAAUAUUCAUCGGUCCACAUACAUCUGUAUGUAUGAUUUCCAACAAAUCUGUUGCUCUCUCCAUAGUACCGGAGAACGGUGUCUUAGUCAUCUUGCCCAUGAGGCACGGUUCGCAAGUACCAAGUGAUUCAUAAUCAAGUGAUUCCAAAAGUCCAUCAGUAUGGAGUUUCUUCAUGUGCUUUACAUCGAUAUGACCUAAACGGCAGUGCCACAAAUAAGUUGCACUAUCAUUAUCAACUCUGCAUCUUUUGGCUUGGACAUUAUGAAUAUGUGUAUCACUACUAUCGAGAUUCAAUAAAAAUAGACCACUCUUCAAGGGUGCAUGACCAUAAAAGAUAUUACUCAUAUAAAUAGAAUAACCAUUAUUCUUUGAUUUAAAUGAAUAACCGUCUCACAUCAAACAAGAUCCAUAUAUAAUGUUCAUGCUCAACGCUGGCACCAAAUAACAAUUAUUCGGGUCUAAGACUAAUCCCGAAGGUAGAUGUAGAGGUAGCAUGCCGACCGCGAUCACAUCGACUUUGGAACCGUUUCCCACGCGCAUCGUCACCUCGUCCUUGGCCAGUGCUCACUUAUUCCGUAGUCCCUGUUUCAAGUUGCAAAUAUUAGCAACAGAACCAGUAUCAAAUACACAAGUGCUACUACGAGCUCUAGUUAGGUACACAUCAAUAACAUGUAUAUCACAUAUACCUUUGUUCACUUUGCCAUCCUUCUUAUCCGCCAAAUACUUGGGGCAGUUCCGCUUCCAGUGACCAGUUUGCUUGCAGUAGAAGCACUCAGUUUCAGGCUUAGGUCCAGACUUGGGUUUCUUCUCUUGAGCAGCAACUUGCUUGUUGUUCUUCUUGAAGUUCCCCUUCUUCUUCCCUUUGCCCUUUUUCUUGAAACUAGUGGUCUUGUUAACCAUCAACACUUGAUGCUCCUUCUUGAUUUCUACCUCCGCAGCCUUUAGCAUUGCGAAGAGCUCGGGAAUUGUCUUGUUCAUCCCUUGCAUAUUAUAGUUCAUCACGAAGCUCGUGUAGCUUGGUGGCAGUGAUUGGAGAAUUCUGUCAAUGACGCUAUCAUCCGAAAGAUUAACUCCCAGUUGAAUCAAGUGAUUAUUAUACCCCGGACAUUUUGAGUAUAUGCUCACUAACAGAACUAUUCUCCUCCAUCUUGCAGCUGUAGAACUUAUUGGAGACUUCAUAUCUCUCAAUCUGGGCAUUUGCUUGAAAUAUUAACUUCAACUCCUGGAACAUCUCAUAUGCUCCAUGACGUUCAAAAUGUAGUUGAAGACCCGGUUCUAAGCCGUAAAGCAUGGCACACUGAACUACAGAGUAGUCAUCAGCUUUGCUCUGCCAGACGUUCACAACAUCUGGUGUUGCACUUGCAGCAAGCCUGACACCCAGCGGUGCUUCCAGGACGUAAUUCUUCUGUGCAGCAAUGAGGAUAAUCCUCAAGUUACGGACCCAGUCCGUGUAAUUACUACCAUCAUAUUUUAACUUUGCUUUCUCAAGGAAUGCAUUAAAAUUCAACGAAACAACAGCAUGAGCCAUCUAUCUACAACAAACAUAGACAAGCAAAAUACUAUCAGGUACUAAGUUCAUGAUAAAUUUAAGUUCAAUUAAUCAUAUUACUUAAGAACUCCCACUUAGAUAGAUAUCUCUCUAGUCAUCUAAGUGAUUACGUGAUCCAAAUCAACUAAACCAUAACCGAUCAUCACGUGAGAUGGAGUAGUUUUCAAUGGUGAACAUCACUAUGUUGAUCAUAUCUACUAUAUGAUUCACGCUCGACCUUUCGGUCUCUGUGUUCUGAGGCCAUAUCUGCAUAUGCUAGGCUCGUCAAGUAUAACCUGAAUAUUCUGCGUGUGCAAAACUGGCUUGCACCCGUUGUAGAUGGACGUAGAGCUUAUCACACCCGAUCAUCACGUGGUGUCUGGGCACGACGAACUUUGGCAACGGUGCAUAUUCAGGGAGAACACUCCUUGAUAAUUUUUAGUGAGAGAUCAUCUUAAAAUGCUACCGUCAAUCAAAGCAAGAUAAGAUGCAUAAAAGAUAAACAUCACAUGCAAUCAAUAUAAGUGAUAUGAUAUGGCCAUCAUCAUCUUGUGCUUGUGAUCUCCAUCUCCGAAGCACCGUCGUGAUCACCAUCGUCACUGGCGCGGCACCUUGAUCUUCAUCGUAGGAUCGUUGUCGUUUACGCCAUCUAUUGCUUCUACGACUAUCGCUACCGCUUAGUGAUAAAGUAAAGCAAUUAUAGGGCGUUUGUGUUUCAUACAAUAAAGCGACAACCAUAUGGCUCCUGCCAGUUGCCGAUAACUUCGGUUACAAAACAUGAUCAUCUCAUACAAUAAAUAUAGCAUCACGUCUUGACCAUAUCACAUCACAACAUGCCCUGCAAAAACAAUUUAGACGUCCUCUACUUUGUUGUUGCAAGUUUUACGUGGCUGCUACGGGCUUAGCAAGAACCGUUCUUACCUACGCAUCAAAACCACAACGAUAGUUCGUCAAGUUAGUGUUGUUUUAACCUUCGCAAGGACCGGGCGUAGCCACACUCGGUUCAACUAAAGUUGGAGAAACUGACACCCGCCAGCCACCUGUGUGCAAAGCACGUCGGUAGAACCAGUCUCGCGUAAGCGUACGCGUAAUGUCGGUCCGGACCGCUUCAUCCAACAAUACCGCUGAACCAAAGUAUGACAUGCUCGUAAGCAGUAUGACUUGUAUUGCCCACAACUCACUUGUGUUCUACUCGUGCAUAUGACAUCUACGCAUAAAACCUAGGCUCGGAUGCCACUAUUGGGGAACGUAGUAAUUUCAAAAAAAUUCCUAUGCACACGCAAGAUCAUGGUGAUGGCAUAGCAACGAGAGGGGAGAGUGUUGUCUACGUACCCUCGUAGACCGUAAGCGGAAGCGUUAUCACAACGCGGUUGACAUAGUCAUACGUCUUCACGACUUGACCGAUCCAAGCACCGAACGUACGGCACCUCCGUGUUCAGCACACGUUCAGCUCGAUGACGUUCCCCGGGCUCCAAUCCAGCAAAGCGUCGGGGAUGAGUUCCGUCAGCACGACGGCAUGGUGACGAUGAUGAUGUUCUACCGGCGCAGGGCUUCACCUAAACUCCGCGACGAUAUGACCGAGGUGGAAUAUGGUGGAGGGGGGCACCGCACACGGCUAAGGAACGAUCCGUAGAUCAACUUGUGUGUACUAGGGUGCCCCCUGCCCCCGUAUAUAAAGGAGCAAGGGGGAGGCCGGCCGGCCCCUUGGGGCGCGCCAAGGGGGAGGAGUCCUCCUCCUAGUAGGAGUAGGACUCCCCUUUUCCUACUCCUACUAGGAGGGGGAAAGGAAGGGGGAGAGGGGGAAGGAAAGAGGGGGGCGCCGCCCCCCCCCCCUCCUAGUCCAAUUCGGACCAGAGGGAGAGGGGGCACGCGGCCCACCCUGGCUGCCCCUCUCUCUUCCCACUAAGGCCCAUGUGGCCCAUUAACUCUCCCUGGGGGGUUCCGGUAACCCUCCGGCACUCCGGUUUUCUCCGAAAUCACCCGGAACACUUCCGGUGUCCGAAUAUAGUCGUCCAAUAUAUCAAUCUUUAUGUCUCGAUCAUUUCAAGACUCCUCGUCAUGUCUGUGAUCACAUCCGGGACUCCAAACAAACUUCGGUACAUCAAAACUUGUAAGCUCAUAAUAAAACUGUCAUCAUAACGUUAAACUUGUAGACAUGACCUAGAACUAUUCUCGGUCAAUAACCAAUAGUGGAACCUGGAUGUUCAUAUUGGUUCCUACAUAUUCUACGAAGAUCUUUAUCGGUCAAACCGCAUAACAACAUACGUUAUUCCCUUUGUCAUCGGUAUGUUACUUGCCCGAGAUUCGAUCGUCGGUAUCCAAUACCUAGUUCAAUCUCAUUACCGGCAAGUCCCUUUACUCGUUACAUAAUACAUCAUUUCAUAACUAACUCAUUAGUUACAAUGCUUGCAAGGCUUAAGUGAUGAGUAUUACCGAGAGGGCCCAGAGAUACCUCUCCGACAAUCGGAGUGACAAAACCUAAUCUCGAAUUAUGCCAACUCAACAUGUACCUUUGGAGACACCUGUAGAGCACCUUUAUAAUCACCCAGUUACGUUGUGACGUUUGGUAGCACACAAAGUGUUCCUCCGGUAAACGGGAGUUGCACAAUCUCAUAGUUGUAGGAACUUUGUAUAAGUCAUGAAGAAAGCAAUAGCAACAUACUAAACGAUCAAGUGCUAAGCUAACGGAAUGGGUCAAGUCAAUCACAACAUUCUCCUAAUGAUGUGAUCCCAUUAAUCAAAUGACAACACAUGUCUAUAGUUAGGAAACAUAACCAUCUUUGAUUAAUGAGCUAGUCAAGUAGAGGCAUACUAGUGACACUUUGUUUGUCUAUGUAUUCACACAUGUAUCAUGUUUCCGGUUAAUACAAUUCUAGCAUGAAUAAUAAACAUUUAUCAUGAUAUGAGGAAAUAAAUAAUAACUUUAUUAUUGCCUCUAGGGCAUAUUUCCUUCACCUAGGCACUAGGCGAAGGCCAACCGCCUCGCUUACGCCUACCGCUUUUUCCAACCUUGAUGAGAUUGAACUUGUGCCCUCUUCCCUUGUUGCUUGACACUAAUGGCCUUCUUCUUCAAUGGGCAAGAUCUAACAUGAUGCCCUUCUACUUUGCACUUGAAGCAAACAAUCUUGGCCGAAUUCUUGACUUGUUUUUGGCCCUUCCUUUUGUUCAUCUUGGACUUCUUCUUCUUAUUGGAGUUGAAUCCAAGUCCACCUUUGUCAUCGGGGGAUUUUUGCACACUCAAGAUAUUGUUGAGUGUGGAUUUCCCUUGAUGACUCUUUUCCAAGUCUUUCUUCAAAGAAGUGACUUGGGCCUUGAGCUCUUUGAUUUCCUCUACAUGGUUAGUCUCAACACAAGUACUAGAGGAAGUAUAAGCUUCAUCGUUAGAGCAACAAGGCAAGGAAAGCAAUUCAUCACAAGAUGUACCAACAUUGUGAGUAGAUGAAUUACAAGGACUAGCACAUGGCAAUAUACUAUUUUGACUAGAAGUAGUGCUAGUAUCCACAUGAGGCUCAAUCAUGGCCUCAUGAGCUAUCUUUAGCACACUAUGGGAUACUAGAAGAUCAUCAGGAGAGCUUGAGAGCUUUUCAUGACUUUCUUCCAAUUUCCCAUAAUUGCUAGAUAGCACCUCCAGUUGAGCCCGUAGCUCAACAUUCUCCUUCAAAAUGGAUGCUUCACAAGUAAUAGAAUUAGUAGCACAAGCAUCAUCAUUAACAACAAGAGGAGAAGGCAACUUGGCAACCUCUUUUAAAUAAGAGGCUUCAAGUUGGGCAUGAGACUCGGUGAGUUUGAUGAGCUCACCCUUGAUGAAUCUUGAGCCAUUUUCGAGGUGCUCAAAAUCCUCAAGGAGUCUAGCAUGAUAAACUUCAAGCUUAGCAUUUUUAGUUUUGAAAUCGUUGGCCACAUCAAGAGCUCUAUCAUGAGAUUCCCUCACUCUAGAUAAUUCUAGAGCAAAAGUCUCCUCAAGAGAUUUGGAGGUGGUUUGUUCAUGUUCAAGAGCUUGAGAUAGCUCCACGAUCUCAUUUGCGUAAUCACGCCCAUGAGCUUCCAUUUUCUCAAUGGUGACCUCAUGCUCCUCGAGAUGAGAUUCCAACUCCUCAAUAUAUUUGUUGCCCUCAAUGGCAAUGGACAUAAUUUCCAUGAAGUUGGAACAAGCAAUUUUAGUUUUAUGAAGAGCUUUAAAAAUCAUCUCCCCCUUAGUUUUUAAGGAGGCAACAUUAUCAUUCUCUUCAUCAUCAUCCUCAUCAUCAUUAGCAUCAACAUCAUCAUCAAGAGACAUAUUGGGGUACAAAGUAGGAGAUACCUUUGAUGCCUUAGCCAUAAGGCAAAAAGCAAUAGAUGAUGAUGUAGGAUCCCUUGAGGCACCAUUAAACACCACAUCUUGUUCCAUGGAGUGUUCGGUUUCCUCUACAUUGUUAGCACAAUAAUUCGAGGAAAUAGAUGCAUUUUUAUCAUGGCAACAAGACAUAGCAAGCAUAUCAUCAUGCGAUUUAGUCAAGCAAUUUCUACAUGAUAUGCAAGGACUAUCAACACAAGCAUGUGAAACAUUUGGAGUGCUCGAAGUGUUAAAGCCCAAAGAAGGAGCAUUACAAUAAUAUAGUGAUGAAGGAUCAUCCACAAUAAGCAUACUAUCACCAUUGCAAUGACCAACACUACUCACCAUAUCAUUACCUUGUGGCAAACCACAUGUAGGUGAAGUAGAAGAAGUUGAGAAGACUAUACGACCGGAGGUGGAGGGGGAACAAUCAUCCCAAAUAUUGGACACACCAUAUUUAUCUUGAAGCUUUGUCCACAACUCAUGAGCAUCCCGGAACGGCAUGAGUUGAAAAAUAACUACAUUGCUCAAAGCAUCAAAAAGCACAUUAGAAGCUUGAGCAUUGAGAUAAGAGUUUUUCUCAUCCUCUAAAGAUAAUCUUUGGGGAUCCUUUGGAGGAGAAAAACCCAUAUCUACAAUUCGCUCUAAAUUUGGGUCCAUGAGCCUAAAGAGAUUAAGCAUGCGAAUUACCCAAACAUCAAAAUUUGUGCCAUCGAAACUAAGUGUGUCAGAGAAUCCUAAUCCCCUAGUAGACAUCUUUACACUCUAGGCGGUUAAGCCUAAAAAAGAGAGACGAGGCUCUGAUACCAAUUGAAAGAUCGAGGAUGUCGCCUAGAGGGGGGGCUGAAUAGGCGCUUUAAAAUAAUUACGGUUUAGGCUUGAACAAAUGCGGAAUAAACCUAGCGGUUAAUUUGUCAAGCACAAAACCUACAACAAAUAGGUCACCUAUGUGCACCAACAACUUAUGCUAAGCAAGAUAAGCAACUAUGUGAUAGCAAGAUAUAUGACAAAAACAAUAUGGCUAUCACAAAGUAAAGUGCAUAAGUAAAGGGGCUCGGGUAAGAGAUAACCGAGGCACGCGGAGACGACGAUGUAUCCCGAAGUUCACACCCUUGCGGAUGCUAAUCUCCGUUUGGAGCGGUGUGGAGGCACAAUGCUCCCCAAGAAGCCACUAGGGCCACCGUAAUUUCCUCACGCCCUCGCAGAAUGCAAGAUGUCGUGAUUCCACUAAGGGGCCCUUGAGGGCGGUCACCGAACCCGUACAAAUGGCGACCCUUGGGGGCGGUCACCGAACCCGUACACUUUGGAAACCCUUGGGGGCGGUCAUCCGUACCCGUCAAAUUGCUCGGGGCGAUCUCCACAACCUAAUUGGAGACCCCGACGCUUGCCCGGAGCUUUACACCACAAUGAUUGAGCUCCGAACACCACCAACCGUCUAGGGCACCAAGGCACCCAAGAGGAACAAGCUCUAGGGUGCCCAAACACCCAAGAGUAAUAAGCUUCUCAAACUUCACUUCCACGUAUCACCGUGGAGAACUCAAACUGAUGCACCAAAUGCAAUGGCAAGGGCACACGGAGUGCCCAAGUCCUUCUCUCCCAAAUCCCACCAAAGCAACUAAUGCUAGGGAGGAAAAUGAGAGAAAGAACGAAAGAAGAACACGAAGAACUCCAAGAUCUAGAUCCAAGGGGUUCCCCUCACUUAGAGGAGAAAGUGAUUGGUGGAAACGUGGAUCUAGAUCUCCUCUCUCUUUUCCCUCAAGAACUAGCAAGAAUCCAUGGAGGGAUUGAGAGUUAGCAAGCUCGAAGAAGGUCAACAAUGGGGGAAGAACACGAGCUCAAGGGAUUAGGUUCAUUGGGGAAGAAGACCCCCUUUUAUAGGACCUCCCGAAUCCAACCAUUAUGUGCUCAGGUCGUGCACAAGCGGUACUACCGCUUGGAGGAGCGGUACUACCGCUUAGCACGGUCAAAACAGCCCAACGAGAGAGAAAACACGAGUUUUUGGUCCGGAGCGGUACUACCACUUAGGAGCCAUGGUAGUACUUCUCUGGAGCGGUACUACCGCUCAGGAGCCGCGGUAGUACCGCUCUAGAGCGGUAGUAAAAAAUUACAUCCGCUCUAGUCACGGUAGUACCGCUGCAGCCUUUACCAAAACAGCCACAACUUUUGCAAACGGACUCCGAAUUCAAUGAAACCAAGUUUGUUGGAAAGCUAACGACAUGGGAUAACACAAUAUUGAUAGAAAUAUCAAGAAUAAGAAAAUGAGAAAGGUCUUAUAAGAAAAUGGUGAGAACCCUUCAUCGGAUAAGACCGGUAAAACCUCCAACACCGAAAACAUCAUAGAAGACGCAUGCGAACUCCGUUUUCGAUGAACUCAAGCUUGUCAUCAAGAUGACCAUAAGCUCUAAGACUCACAAAUAUAACCAAACAAGAACCAAGAAACAUGAUGCAAGGAUGCAAUGGUUUCAGCUCUCUACUAACGAUACGAUCAAGCUACCAACUUGAGAGCCCCCCUUGAUAGUACGUCAAACGAUCCUAUAACUCAGUCUCCCAACUACCACCACAAGACCGGUAAAAUAGAAAACCUAUCAAGGGAAAAACUUUGCCUUGCACAUGGUCCACUUGAGCUUGAUGAAGACGAUCUUGACUCCCUCAAGUUGGACCACCUUUCUUGAUUGCGUUGGCUCGAUGAAGACUAGAUGAUUGCUCCCCCAUAAUUCACUAUGGGUGAGCCACUCUUCGGCACAUCUUCACAAGUCCAUUGACACCACAAUGGAUGGCAAGAUUCAAGCACUUGAUCUCUUCGUGAUGCUCCACUUGAACUUGCACACGGCAAUCUUGAUGACAAUCACCACUUGAUGUCAUCCUUUCCAUGGGUUGUAUGAUAUCUUCCUCUUGACGCAAGCCCAUGGAUACAUACCUAACCCCACAUACAACUCUCACAUAGACCAUGGGUUAGUACAUAAAGUGCAAUGGACAAUGCUUACCAUACCAUGGGAUCACUUGAUCCCUCUCGGUACAUCUUCUAUGCUUUGUGAGUUGAUCAACUUGAUUCACUAUUGACUUAGUCUUGAUCAACCUUGAAUCUUUGCAACUCUCUUCAUUUGGACGAUGUAUUGAAGGUAAACAUGAAUGAUCACACAACCUUCUUCUUCAAGACAUGCUUGCAAUAAGCUCAACACUCGCAUGAUCAAUCUUUGGAUAAUUCCUUAAUAGCACCUUGUUCAACUCAUAAACUCCUUGAAACCAACACAUGGACUUCAAGAAAAGCCUAUGGACAAAUCCUUCAAAUAUAACUCAAGACAACCAUUAGUCCAUAGAGAUUGUCAUCAAUUACCAAAACCAAACAUGGGGGCACCGCAUGUUCUUUCAGUGAUAAUAUUCGACGAUGUACGGACACCAAGAGAUGAUGUACUUUUGCUUAUAAUUAUUGAAUGCAUGCUAAUUUGAAUACUACUUUAUUUUAUGAUUUGGUUUUGCUUAUUUUAUGAUUUGAUUUUGCUUAUUGAAUGCUCAUAUCGGAUAAGUUCUCCUUCAUUCCCGUGUGCUAGACAAUUCGAUGUAAUAAUGCACUCGGGAAUGAAAGGAGGAGCUACGUACAUCACCGAUAGUCAACCCAUGAUUAAUAAUCUAGUUUAAUAUUAGAAUUAUGAACAUAGGCCGGAAAUGUCGUACUCGGACGACGAAAACCGUCCGGGGGAGUGCGACUAGUGCCACGACGACCGAGGUAUCUGCGACAGGUUCAUUGAGCUGGACGAAGAUCGUCGCUUCAGCAUUAAGCUCGAGGAGACCUUCGAUGUUCAUACGGUACGCAACCGACGACAAUAGUUUUUUUUGUAAUUAAUCAUGACUUCAACUAUUUUAAUCAUGACAACAUUUUUCAUCUUUUCCAAUUCGACUAGCUUAUCCCAUGCUUUGCAAGACGCUAUGUCUUGGAGAGGAUGGGUUUUAAAGACCAUGAAAGUUUCGAAACCAAAAACAUUAUCCUAAGUACCCAUCAUGGUGUGGAUUUUCAAGUAAAGUUGUACAAUGCUCAAAGUGUAACCCAUUUUGGUUGCAAAAAUUGGGAAGCACUUUGCAAGAUAUAUGGUCUUGAUGACGGUAUGCUUGUCACCAUGGAUCUUGGUGAUCCUACAAUCGAGCAAGAGAGACCUUAGAUUUGGGUCCUUGUGGAUACACCUCCAAUUCUUCCCCCAUGUGAGCUUAACAUAAUUAUUAAGUAAUUUAUAUUGUUUAUUUCAAAAUAGUUUACAACUUAUCUCCAUUGACAGCUUAUUUUCAUUCUUCAAAGAAUGUGCGAAAGAUGGUAGACAGAACCUACUACACCGAAGGCUCCGAAUUAACUUAUCAGGAGAAAAAUCAUCUGGUCGCAUUUUGGACUGAUCUUGAGAAUUACAAUAUCUACAAUCAAACUCCUCAACAUUAUGGUCAAUACGUGCCACUAGUGCACGUGUUGAACUACGGUAACUACCAUGGAGAUACCCUGGUAAGAUUAUUUUUUACUAUUACAACAUCUGUGCAUCUUUUUGCACACUUCUAAAACUAGUACAUUAUUGCUAACUACGAAGUUAUUACUAUGUUUUUCAACAGAUAAUCCCGAAUGAUUGUGUGCCUCAUCUGAUGUAUACGCAUGGUAGCCUUCAUGUUUUGAACAUACAACCAGGUCGUCCUACAAAUCUCAACUAUCCAUACCGGAUUUCUAAAAGAAGUGGAGACAUAACAAUCAAAGAAUGGAAAAAAUGUAUGGACAGUCGUAAGGAGCUUCUUGGAAGCAACAAGCAGCGAAGGGCAAGAAUUGGAGACAGGAUGAUCGCCAUUCUUCAUAAUGGAGAGUCAGGGUCUAUAUUGUUUUAUGCUAUUUUACCUUAAGGUUGUUUAGGUCCUACCUGAUACUAAUGAUCAUGUGCUAAGAACAAUUAUGUAGGGUUGGGUUCGAUGACUAUGAGGAUGAGGAUCGUAUGACUUAUUAUUAAUAACGAGUAGAAGUUGUAUGAUGAUGCAUGAUAUUAGUAGGACUUGUUAUUAUAUAUGAUGAUGUAUGAUGCGAGCAUGCAUGAGCAUGUUAUAUCAGCGGGUGAAAUGAACAUAGCAGCAGCGUUGAUAAACCAAGGACGAAGAUAUAAGAGAGGACACUUCUCUCUAUUAGCUAGCUAAUAACAACCUAAAAAUAACCCCCAAAACCCCUAAAGCAGCCACUUUUGGAAAAAAAAAGCAUGGACUUUUGGUCCCGGUUGGUGCCACCAACCGGGACCAAAGGCCCCCCUGACUGGGCUCGAUGGACCGGCCACGUGGAGGCACAUCUGUCCCGGUUCGUGUUUGAACCGGGACUAAUGGGUGGAGGUAUUUGUAACAACCCAUUAGUCCCGGUUCAUGAAUCGGGACUAAAGGCUCUUUCGAACCGGGACUAAUUGGUGUUUUUCUACUAGUGUACUAGCCAGCUCAAUUAGAUUAAUUGUUGUGUAAAAGGAAGCACGUCGCACUCUUUUGACCAUUCCACGAUGUUUUCUUUUUCUCUCUUCUUUGAGGAAUCUCCAUCACUCUCUCGUCCCCCUAUUUCUUUCUUAUUCGUAUUUAUCUUUACGUAAACACGCAAUGACGAUGAUUCAUAGGAAAUAAUCUUAGAUCGAGAAAGAAAUGUAUAAUCAAUGAUCUGAUUUCUGAAAAUGAUACUUUAGUGUGCACUUGAUUUGAGAGGGAUUGGGUAGAUUAGGAAUCUCCAACGUCUGUCCUCCCGCAUUUAACUUUUGAAGAAUGGACAAGAUGCACCAUCCCACAACAUGGUUAUUAUGUAGUUACCGGGCUAGAUGUACUAUAGUUACCAACAUGAUUACUAUGUAGUUAUCGGCCUAAAUGUACUAUAGUUAUCAACAUGGUUAUUACGGAGUUACCAUGCUCGAUGGACUAUAGUUAUCAACAUGGGCUACAUGCGGUAGAAUACACCCCCCCGGUAGCUUAUGUGUAAAUAGCAUGAUAAUUUACACAUCCCAGACCUGAUAACUCAUUCACAAACAUUGAUUACUUUUACCCGAGGAAAAAAAGUUGUUUGAAACCAUCCCCUCGUAGCUUAUGUGUAAGAAGCAUGAUAAUUUACACACCACGGACCUGAUAGACUAUGCACAAACACCGUGAUAAUUUUGACCUGAGAGAAAAAAGUUGUUAAGAACAUUUCUGAUAACUUACGCGUAAAUAAAAUGCUAAUGUAUGCACCGUAGAGUUGAUUAUUCACAUACAAAUGUCGUGUUUACUUUUUGAACCGGGUGAAAAAGUUGUGGAAAACAUACCCCGAUAACUUCUACCUAAAUAGCAUGGUAACAUACACACCUCGGCGUGAUAACUCACGCAAAAACACCGUGGUAACUUUGAUCAAGAGAAAAAGUAGUUGUUGAUACCAUACCCCCAAUAAUUUCCACGGAAAUAGCAUGUUAAUAUACUCAUUGCGGACAUGGUAACUUGCGCACAAACAUCACGACAACUUUUACCAAGAGAGUUUUUUGUUUGAAACCAUACCCUUGGUAAAUUUUGUGGAAAUAACAUGGUAAUAUAUGCACCAUAGACAUGAUAACUAAACAUACACCCGAUAAUUUUUGUGUAAAUAACAUGAUGAUGUAUCAUCGCAGACUUGAUAACUAAUAUUUUAUGUUUAAACACCAUGGUGUCUUUCAUCCAAGGGGAAAAAGUUUUUGAAACAUUUCACCGGUAAUUUCUAUGUUAAAUUAUCAUACUUUCCCAUGCUUUUAACCUUCUUGUACUGUAGUUACCAGCCUUAUCAUGGUAUAGUUAUCAUGUUACUCAGACCAUAGUUAUCACGCUGGUCAUUGCCAAAGUUACCAAGCCAAACUUUAUUUUUUCUUUUGAUAUGGCAGAAAUAAGAAAGGUUCAAAUAACAUUGUCAUUCUACAAAAGACAACAACAAAAGGUGGCUUAGUUGGUUAUUAGGCUCAAUAGGUAUUACAUAGACCUGGGUUUGAAUCCUCUUUCAAGCACUUUUAUUUUCUUUUCAUAUUAUGCAGCGAAAAACCAGAAAAAAUCACUAGCAAUUUACUACAAUUUUUGAGAGAAGGAAAAAAAUCAGUGGAAGCGGGAGAAACGACGCAGCGGGACGAGCUGAAGGAUCGAUCGAAGGUUGUGCAGAUGUGCGGAUCUGUUGCUAAUCACGAGUCGACUGAUGGUUAGCACAGUCCUUAUAAUAAUGAAAUACAUGGGUUUGGUCUAUUUUGUUUGGUUUUCGUUCCAUGCCGACAAUUCCAGCUUUCAUCUUCCAAAGCAAACAAGACGACUUUUGCAAGCGGAGAGAACGUGUUUCGGGGACUAUCCCCCGCACGUGUGUCAUCACUUCUACCUCGAGAACAAGCUGAGACGUGGCAUCCCGGACGCGUCCAGUAGCUGCACACGUCCGGCCUCUCUUUAAUGGGGAGUCACUAGUCACCGGCUCCCGCCGGCCAGCCCACUCAUGCCCGCACACGUAGUGCCUCCGGCGAUCAUAUCCCCUCGCCGCAGACGGCUUAUAAAUUGGGCCUCGUGCUGCACCUGCUUCCACAACCACAAGGUGCAGCUAAGUGAUCAAGUGAGCAAGACAACACACCAGAUUUCUAAGGGAAUCAAGAUCAGCAUCUGUGCAAGAUGGAGCACGGCCAGGCGACUAACCGCGUCGACGAGUACGGCAACCCGGUGGCCGGACAUGGCGUCGGCACCGGCAUGGGGGCGCACGGCGGCGUGGGCACCGGCGCGGCCGCUGGUGGGCAUUUCCAGCCCACGAGGGAGGAGCACAAGGCCGGAGGGAUCCUGCAGCGCUCCGGCAGCUCUAGUAGCUCCAGCUCGGUGCGUGUACAUACACUUCUUGCUUGUUGCUAACACUAGUUGUAAUUUGCAUUUUCCCGUUUAAAUGCAUCAACGACUGAAUUUUCUCGUUCGUCGUGAUAGUCUGAGGAUGAUGGCAUGGGCGGGAGGAGGAAGAAGGGCAUCAAGGGGAAGAUCAAGGAGAAGCUCCCCGGUGGCCAUGGCGACCAGCAACAGACCGCUGGCACCUAUGGGCAGCAGGGUCACACCGGAAUGACCGGCACCGGGGCGCAUGGUACAGCAGCCACUGGCGGCACCUACGGGCAGCAAGGACACACCGGAGUGACCGGCACGGGGACGCACGGCACCGACGGCACUGGCGAAAAGAAGGGCAUCAUGGACAAGAUCAAGGAGAAGCUGCCCGGACAGCACUGAGCGCGGCCCGCGGCAGCUACUUGAGAGUUGGGGUGCCGAGCUGGCCACCUUUGCAGAAUAAUAAGAUGGAGAUACAGUAGAACUUCCCGAAAUAAAGUGAGCUAGCUCACUCGUAAUAUCCGAGUUCUGAGUUUAGUGGACUUGAAUUUGGGUUGCUUGCUUGUAUUUGUAUGUACCCGGGACGUUUUGCACUCUGUACUUCGAUGUGUGAUUUUUUUUUGGUUGCAUUGUGUAUUUAUUAUAUGGGGAUAUACUGCAUUAUAUUUUGGUCUUUACUUGAGCUUUCUAUGUUAUUGCAUUUUUCGAAAUUUUGUGAGACAUAUUGUACAUUGCAUGGUAAAAUGUUUUAAGAGAAUUUGGAGCAUUCUAGGCAAUUGUUGAAAUUUUUUGGAAGUAUCAAAAAAUAAGGCACACCAAAAAUACACAUACAGAUCUUGAUUUUACUAACUCGGAGGAUGUUGCAUGCGCCGUGGAUCAUAAAUGAACGGCACUGUCGGAGAUCAACAAAACAGAGUGCAUAGCCACCAAAGAAAAAUCCCCACCGCCGAAAGUUUUCCUCUAUGCUCGAGCUCACAUGCACACUGAUGAAUAGUAAAAUAUGAAUAAAUUUAAAAAAUUCUGAAUUUUUUUACACGCUGAUGAAUGUUUUACCUACAUGCAAAAAUUCGUAAUGCAAUGAUAUUUGUGGAGGUCAGGGUUAUAAAAAUAAAAUCAAUGCUCUAAAAUUAGUCUUUCUGGAGCAUUUGAUUUUUUUACCAGACCCUAAUGAAAGUGAUUUCAUCACGAAAAAUUGCACGCAUGUUUAUUAAAAAGGGGCAGAGUUUUUACAUUUUUUUUUAUUUUACUGUUUAUACAGGUGCAUAUAAGCUCGAGAUUAGAAGCUCCAUGUCCACCCACCACUUAAUUCAUUCAUACACAAACUUUUAUUUUAAUACGCACAAAUGUGCUACUUUAUACUCUCCCGUCUCAAAAUAAAUGUCUCAACUUUGUACUAGUUUUGAUACAAAAUUGUAUUAAGGUUAAGACACUUAUUUUGGAACAGAGUGGGUAUUAAAAAAAAGAGAGGGGAUAAACAGCCCCUUCACGAUGAGAUUACAUAGUUCUUACAUACACUCAACUCCACGUCUAACUCAAUCCAUCGCUAAGGGCAUCUCCAGCCGUUGGCCCCCCAUGAGGAGCAAAAUAUCGCCCCUGGGAACGCACCGGCGCUAAACCGCGCACUGGGGGCGUGUUGUCCCCCAGUCACGGCGCCCAUGGGUAGUCAAAGAAGUCCAAAACGACUCAAUUUUAACACAAACGGCGGCGAGUUCAAACUUAAAUUUAAACAUAUUUCGUCCAAACUUAAACAUAUUUUACAAAAAAGAAAGAAACUACCGCGGGCUACCCCCGCCGUCUCCCUCGCCGCCCGCCUCGUCGCACGCCCACGCGGUUCUACAUGCCGAGGAGGCUGUAGAACCGCGUGUAGUCACCGUCGUCAUCGCCGUCGUCGUCGUCGUCGCCGCCCCCACCUACGCCUCCGUCGUCCCUGCUGCAUCCCUCCCCCGGUUGGGGCGGCGGGUUGGACGGUCCGGGGGCGGCGUCGUCGUCGUCGUCGCUGUCGAGGACCACGACGCCGUGCUCGUCCUCGCGCCCACGCUUGCGGGCGGCGAUCUCCUCCAGGGCCCGGUGCUGCCGGACCGUCUCGUCGCGGAGGUAGUCCUCCCGCGCCCACCGCAUGGCGUCCUCGUAGGAGAAGCCGCGCCGGGCUAUCUCCUCGUACUCCGCGGGGAGGCCCGGCUCCGGCUUGGGCUCGACGAGGACGAAGCGGCCGGUGGGUGGCGGGGCGUUGGCGCCGAUGCGGACGCCGGAACUGCGGGUGCGCGAGCUGACCGGCAUACCCUGGGGCUUCGGCUUGACGGGGCGGAGGCAGGGCGAGCCGCCGGACGAGGAGGAGGACCCCCCGGUCUCCAUGCGCCUCGGGGUCCAGGAGCUUCCCCGGCGGUGUGAGAAGGAAGGGGGGUCGGGGUACUCGAGGCGCGGCGUGUUGCCGCCCUCGAUGUACUCGAGGACAGCCUCCAACAUGCUCCCGGGCACGCCCCACCACCGACGCCGGCCGGCGGCGUUGAGCCUGCCGGAGGGCACGACGCCGUUGGUGGCCUCGAGCUGCUGGGCGUGACGGCGGCGGAAGUACGGUUCCCAGAGCGGGCUGUCGGGGACGUACCUUGGCCCCUCCCUCGCUGCACGCGGCAGGUUCGAGCGGAUGCGUGCGAUCUCCGCACGCUGCGCCGCGCCGGCGGGUACCGGGGGCACCGGCACGCCGCCCGCGCUGAUCCUUCACGCCCUCGGCACUCGCAUGUCCGGCGGAACCGGGUUCUCGGCCUCGUAAAGGAGGCGAGCCUCGUCUUCAUGAAGAUGGCAGCGGCCGAAGCCGUUCGCCGCCGCGCCGUCGCCUGGGAAGCGUUCGGCCAUGGGUGUGAAAGAGAGGAGAGGAGAGGAAGGAACGACGACGGCGGGAGAGUCUGCGAGCCGACGAGUGCGUCGGGGCGCGGCAUAUAUAGGCCGAGGCGCCGCCCACGCGUGUGCCACCGUGUGUACGCGUCACGGGCGAGGGAGGGCGAGGGACGCGCGUCGUUCGGUCUUCACUGCGCCGCCCAUGAGGCAUCAAUGGCGCAGGCUGACCGGCGCGGCAGCGCGCGGCAGCUUUGACAUUGAUUCUCCGCGGGAAACGAGGCGAUGCGGACGACGGAGAGCCGAGAAGAGAGCCGUGUCGCUGACGCGGCGGGCCCGCGGCUUUUUCGCGCCAAAACAGUUCGCCCGGCGCCCCCGGGCGCCCCCCAGCGCGCCGGGUUCGGGCUGGGUCCGCCGGNNNNNNNNNNNNNNNNNNNNNNNNNNNNNNNNNNNNNNNNNNNNNNNNNNNNNNNNNNNNNNNNNNNNNNNNNNNNNNNNNNNNNNNNNNNNNNNNNNNNNNNNNNNNNNNNNNNNNNNNNNNNNNNNNNNNNNNNNNNNNNNNNNNNNNNNNNNNNNNNNNNNNNNNNNNNNNNNNNNNNNNNNNNNNNNNNNNNNNNNNNNNNNNNNNNNNNNNNNNNNNNNNNNNNNNNNNNNNNNNNNNNNNNNNNNNNNNNNNNNNNNNNNNNNNNNNNNNNNNNNNNNNNNNNNNNNNNNNNNNNNNNNNNNNNNNNNNNNNNNNNNNNNNNNNNNNNNNNNNNNNNNNNNNNNNNNNNGCUAUUUUCGGUCCAAGCCGGCGAAAAUCGGGCUCCUGGGGGCGCGACUGGGCCGUUUUUUCGGCGCCAGCGCGGACAAAACGCCUGGGGGGGCCUUCCUGGGGGCGCGGCUGGAGAUGCCCUAACUCCUCGCGUCACUACCCAUUGUUAGCGCUACUAGGAAACUAUCCAUGUCCGCUUUGACAAUGCCUGCCGUCUUCCAUGAUCUACACUUGACCUCUAUUCUAUGAAUUACGCUUUCCAAAGACGAUGUGGCACCAUCGAAUACGACCCCGUUGCGAUGCUUCCAUUCAAGAACAACAACCGAUCCAGUAAUUGUUGGGGAACGUAGUAAUUUCAAAAAUUUCCUACGCACACGCAAGAUCAUGGUGAUGGCAUAGCAACGAGAGGGGAGAGUGUUGUCCACGUACCCUCGUAGACCGUAAGCGGAAGCGUUAUGACAACGCGGUUGAUGUAGUCGUACGUCUUCACGAUUCGACCGAUCCAAGCACCGAACGUACGGCACCUUCGUGUUCAGCACACGUUCAGCUCGAUGACGUUCCCCGGGCUCCAAUCCAGCAAAGCGUCGGGGAUGAGUUCCGUCAGCAUGACGGCGUGGUGACGAUGAUGAUGUUCUACCGGCGCAGGGCUUCGCCUAAACUCCGCGACGAUAUGACCGAGGUGGAAUAUGGUGGAGGGGGGCACCGCACACGGCUAAGGAACGAUCCGUAGAUCAACUUGUGUGUCUAUGGGGUGCCCUUGCCUCCGUAUAUAAAGGAGUGGAGGAGGGGGAGGGCCGGCGCUCUCUAUGGCGCGCCCUAGGGGAGUCCUACUCCCACCGGGAGUAGGAUUCCCUCUUUCCUAGUAGAACUAGGAACCCUUCCAUGUAGUAGGAGUAGGAGAGAAGGAAAGGGAAGAGAGAAGGAGAAGGAAGGAAGGGGGCGCCCCCCCCUCCCUAGUCCAAUUCGGACUAGUCCAAGGGGAGGGGUGCGGCCACCCUUUUGGCCCUUUCUCUCCUUUCCCUUAUGGCCCAAUGAGGCCCAAUACGAAUUCCCGUAACUCUCCGGUACUCCGAAAAAUAACCGAAUCACUCGGAACCUUUCCGAACUCCGAAUAUAGUCGUCCAAUAUAUCGAUUUUUACGUCUCGACCAUUUCGAGACUCCUCGUCAUGUCCCCGAUCUCAUCCGGGAUUCUGAACUCCUUCGGUACAUCAAAACUCAUAAAUUCAUAAUAAAACUGUCAUCGUAACGUUAAGCGUGCGGACCCUACGGGUUCGAGAACUAUAUAGACAUGACCUAGAACUAUUCUCGGUCAAUAACCAAUAGUGGAACCUGGAUGUUCAUAUUGGUUCCUACAUAUUCUACGAAGAUCUUUAUCGGUCAAACCGCAUAACAACAUACGUUGUUCCCUUUGUCAUCGGUAUGUUACUUGCCCGAGAUUCGAUCGUCGAUAUCCAAUACCUAGUUCAAUCUCGUUACCGGCAAGUCUCUUUACUCGUUCCGUAAUACAUCAUUUCGUAACUAACUCAUUAGUUACAAUGCUUGCAAGGCUUAAGUGAUGAGUAUUACCGAGAGGGCCCAGAGAUACCUCUCCGACAAUCGGAGUGACAAAACCUAAUCUCGAAUUAUGCACUCAACAUGUACCUUUGGAGACACCUGUAGAGCAUCUUUAUAAUCACCCAGUUACGUUGUGACGUUUGGUAGCACACAAAGUGUUCCUCCGGUAAACGGGAGUUGCACAAUCUCAUAGUUGUAGGAACUUUGUAUAAGUCAUGAAGAAAGCAGUAGCAACAUACUAAACGAUCGUGUGCUAAGCUAACGGAAUGGGUCAAGUAAAUCACAUCAUUCUCCUAAUGAUGUGAUCCCGUUAAUCAAAUGACAACUCUUUUGUCCAUGGCUAGGAAACUUAACCAUCUUUGAUUCACGAGCUAGUCAAGUAGAGGCAUACUAGUGACACUAUGUUUGUCUAUGUAUUCACACAUGUAUUAUGUUUUCGGUUAAUACAAUUCUAGCAUGAAUAAUAAACAUUUAUCAUGAAAUAAGGAAAUAAAUAAUAACUUUAUUAUUGCCUCUAAGGCAUAUUUCCUUCAGUCUCCCACUUGCACUAGAGUCAAUAAUCUAGUUCACAUCACCAUGUGAUUUAACACCAAUAUUUACAUCUGUAUGUGAUUAAUACCCAUAGUUCACAUCAUCAUGUGAUCAACGCCCAAAGAGUUUACUAGAGUCAAUAAUCUAGUUCACAUGGCUAUGUGAUUGACACCCAAAGAGUACUAAGGUAUGAUCAUGUUUUGCUCAUGAGAGAAGUUUAGUCAACGGGUCUGUCACAUUCAGAGCCGUAUGUAUUUUGCAAAUAUUCUAUGUCCACAAUGCUCUGCACGGAGCUACUCUAGCUAAUUGCUCCCACUUUCAAUAUGUAUCCAGAUUGAGACUUAGAUUCAUCUGGAUUGUUGUAAAAGCUUGCAUCGUUGUAACUUUUUACGACUUGCUCUUUUAUCACCUCCAUAAUCGAGAAACGUCUCCUUAGUCCUCACUAAGGAUAUUCUUGACCGCUGUUCUAGUGAUCUACUUUUAGAUCAAAAUUGUAUUCCUUUGCCAAACUCAGAGCAAGGUAUACAAUAGGUAUAGUACACAGCAUAGCAUACUUUAUAGAACCUAUGACUGAGGCAUAGGGAAUGACUGUUCAUUCUUUUCUAUUUUCUGCCAUGGUCGGGUAUUGAGUCUUACUCAACUUCACACCUUGCAACACAGGCAAGAACGCUUUCUUUGACUGUUCAUUUUGAACUACUUCAAAAUCUUGUCAAGGUGUGUAUUCAUUGAAAAAUCAUAUCAAGCGUCUUGAUCUAUCUCUAUAGAUCUUGAUGCUCAAUGUGUAAGCAGCUUUACCGAGGUCCUUCUUCGAAAAACUCCUUUCAAAUACUCCUUUAUGCUUUACAGAAUAAUUCUACAUUAUUUCCGAUCAACAUAUGUCAUUCACAUAUACUUAUCAGAAAUGUUGUAUUGCUUCCACUCACUUUCUUGUAAAUACAGGCUUCACCGCAAGUCUGUAUAAAAGUAUAUGCUUUGAUCAAUUUAUCAAAGCGUAUAUUCCAACUCCGAGAUGCUUGCACCAGUCCAUAGAUGAAUCGCUGGAGCUUGCACAUUUUGUUCAAUUAAUCAUAUUACUUAAGAACUCCCACUUAGAUAGAUAUCUCUCUAGUCAUCUAAGUGAUUACGUGAUCCAAAUCAACUAAACCAUAACCGAUCAUCACGUGAGAUGGAGUAGUUUUCAAUGGUGAACAUCACUAUGUUGAUCAUAUCUACUAUAUGAUUCACGCUCGACCUUUCGGUCUCUGUGUUCUGAGGCCAUAUCUGCAUAUGCUAGGCUCGUCAAGUAUAACCUGAAUAUUCUGCGUGUGCAAAACUGGCUUGCACCCGUUGUAGAUGGACGUAGAGCUUAUCACACCCGAUCAUCACGUGGUGUCUGGGCACGACGAACUUUGGCAACGGUGCAUAUUCAGGGAGAACACUCCUUGAUAAUUUUUAUUGAGAGAUCAUCUUAAAAUGCUACCGUCAAUCAAAGCAAGAUAAGAUGCAUAAAAGAUAAACAUCACAUGCAAUCAAUAUAAGUGAUAUGAUAUGGCCAUCAUCAUCUUGUGCUUGUGAUCUCCAUCUCCGAAGCACCGUCGUGAUCACCAUCGUCACUGGCGCGGCACCUUGAUCUUCAUCGUAGGAUCGUUGUCGUUUACGCCAUCUAUUGCUUCUACGACUAUCGCUACCGCUUAGUGAUAAAGUAAAGCAAUUACAGGGCGUUUGUGUUUCAUACAAUAAAGCGACAACCAUAUGGCUCCUGCCAGUUGCCGAUAACUUCGGUUACAAAACAUGAUCAUCUCAUACAAUAAAUAUAGCAUCACGUCUUGACCAUAUCACAUCACAACAUGCCCUGCAAAAACAAGUUAGACGUCCUCUACUUUGUUGUUGCAAGUUUUACGUGGCUGCUACGGGCUUAGCAAGAACCGUUCUUACCUACGCAUCAAAACCACAACGAUAGUUCGUCAAGUUAGUGUUGUUUUAACCUUCGCAAGUACCGGGCGUAGCCACACUCGGUUCAACUUAAGUUGGAGAAACUGACACCCGCCAGCCACCUGUGUGCAAAGCACGUCGGUAGAACCAGUCUCGCGUAAGCGUACGCGUAAUGUCGGUCCGGACCGCUUCAUCCAACAAUACCGCUGAACCAAAGUAUGACUUGUAUUGCCCACAACUCACUUGUGUUCUACUCGUGCAUAUGACAUCUACGCAUAAAACCUAGGCUCGGAUGCCACUGUUGGGGAACGUAGUAAUUUCAAAAAAAUUCCUAUGCACACGCAAGAUCAUGGUGAUGGCAUAGCAACAAGAGGGGAGAGUGUUGUCCACGUACCCUCGUAGACCGUAAGCGGAAGAGUUAUCACAACGCGGUUGAUGUAGUCAUACGUCUUCACGACUCGACCGAUCCAAGCACCGAACAUACGGCACCUCCGUGUUCAGCACACGUUCAGCUCGAUGACGUUCCCCGGGCUCCAAUCCAGCAAAGCGUCGGGGAUGAGUUCCGUCAGCACGACGGCAUGGUGAUGAUGAUGAUGUUCUACCGGCGCAGGGCUUCGCCUAAACUCCGCGACGAUAUGACCGAGGUGGAAUAUGGUGGAGGGGGGCACCGCACACGGCUAAGGAAUGAUCCGUAGAUCAACUUGUGUGUACUAGGGUGCCCCCUGCCCCCGUAUAUAAAGGAGCAAGGGGGAGGUCGGCCGGCCCCUUGGGGCGCGCCAAGGGGGAGGAGUUCUCCUCCUAGUAGGAGUAGGACUCCCCUUUUCCUACUCCUACUAGGAGGGGGAAAGGAAGGGGGAGAGGGGGAAGGAAAGAGGGGGGCGCCGCCCCCCCCCCUCCUAGUCCAAUUCGGACCAGAGGGAGAGGGGGCACGCGGCCCACCCUGGCCGCCCCUCUCUCUUCCCACUAAGGCCCAUGUGGCCCAUUAACUCUCCCGGGGGGGUUUCGGUAACCCUCCGGCACUCCGGUUUUCUCCGAAAUCACCCGGAACACUUCCGGUGUCCGAAUAUAGUCGUCCAAUAUAUCAUUCUUUAUGUCUCGAUCAUUUCAAGACUCCUCGUCAUGUCUGUGAUCACAUCCGGGACAACAAACAAACUUCGGUACAUCAAAACUUGUAAGCUCAUAAUAAAACUGUCAUCGUAACGUUAAGCGUGCGGACCCUACGGGUUCGAGAACUAUGUAGACAUGACCUAGAACUAUUCUCGGUCAAUAACCAAUAGUGGAACCUGGAUGUUCAUAUUGGUUCCUACAUAUUCUACGAAGAUCUUUAUCGGUCAAACCGCAUAACAACAUACGUUAUUCCCUUUGUCAUCGGUAUGUUACUUGCCCGAGAUUCGAUCGACGGCAUCCAAUACCUAGUUCAAUCUCAUUACCGGCAAGUCCCUUUACUCGUUACAUAAUACAUCAUUUCAUAACUAACUCAUUAGUUACAAUGCUUGCAAGGCUUAAGUGAUGAGUAUUACCGAGAGGGCCCAGAGAUACCUCUCCGACAAUCGGAGUGACAAAACCUAAUCUCAAAUUAUGCCAACUCAACAUGUACCUUUGGAGACACCUGUAGAGCACCUUUAUAAUCACCCAGUUACGUUGUGACGUUUUGUAGCACACAAAGUGUUCCUCCGGUAAACGGGAGUUGCACAAUCUCAUAGUUGUAGGAACUUUGUAUAAGUCAUGAAGAAAGCAAUAGCAACAUACUAAACGAUCAAGUGCUAAGCUAACGGAAUGGGUCAAGUCAAUCACAACAUUCUCCUAAUGAUGUGAUCCCAUUAAUCAAAUGACAACACAUGUCUAUAGUUAGGAAACAUAACCAUCUUUGAUUAAUGAGCUAGUCAAGUAGAGGCAUACUAGUGACACUUUGUUUGUCUAUGUAUUCACACAUGUAUCAUGUUUCCGGUUAAUACAAUUCUAGCAUGAAUAAUAAACAUUUAUCAUGAUAUGAGGAAAUAAAUAAUAACUUUAUUAUUGCCUCUAGGGCAUAUUUCCUUCACCUAGGCACUAGGCGAAGGCCAACCGCCUCGCUUACGCCUACCGCUUUUUCCAACCUUGAUGAGAUUGAACUUGUGCCCUCUUCCCUUGUUGCUUGACACUAAUGGCCUUCUUCUUCAAUGGGCAAGAUCUAACAUGAUGCCCUUCUACUUUGCACUUGAAGCAAACAAUCUUGGCCGAAUUCUUGACUUGUUUUUGGCCCUUCCUUUUGUUCAUCUUGGACUUCUUCUUCUUAUUGGAGUUGAAUCCAAGUCCACCUUUGUCAUCGGGGGAUUUUUGCACACUCAAGAUAUUGUUGAGUGUGGAUUUCCCUUGAUGACUCUUUUCCAAGUCUUUCUUCAAAGAAGUGACUUGGGCCUUGAGCUCUUUGAUUUCCUCUACAUGGUUAGUCUCAACACAAGUACUAGAGGAAGUAUAAGCUUCAUAGUUAGAGCAACAAGGCAAGGAAAGCAAUUCAUCACAAGAUGUACCAACAUUGUGAGUAGAUGAAUUACAAGGACUAGCACAUGGCAAUAUACUAUUUUGACUAGAAGUAGUGCUAGUAUCCACAUGAGGCUCAAUCAUGGCCUCAUGAGCUAUCUUUAGCACACUAUGGGAUACUAGAAGAUCAUCAGGAGAGCUUGAGAGCUUUUCAUGACUUUCUUCCAAUUUCCCAUAAUUGCUAGAUAGCACCUCCAGUUGAGCCCGUAGCUCAACAUUCUCCUUCAAAAUGGAUGCUUCACAAGUAAUAGAAUUAGUAGCACAAGCAUCAUCAUUAACAACAAGAGGAGAAGGCAACUUGGCAACCUCUUUUAAAUAAGAGGCUUCAAGUUGGGCAUGAGACUCGGUGAGUUUGAUGAGCUCACCCUUGAUGACCCUUGAGCCAUUUUCGAGGUGCUCAAAAUCCUCAAGGAGUCUAGCAUGAUAAACUUCAAGCUUAGCAUUUUUAGUUUUGAAAUCGUUGGCCACCUCAAGAGCUCUAUCAUGAGAUUCCCUCACUCUAGAUAAUUCUAGAGCAAAAGUCUCCUCAAGAGAUUUGGAGGUGGUUUGUUCAUGUUCAAGAGCUUGAGAUAGCUCCACGAUCUCAUUUGCGUAAUCAUGCCCAUGAGCUUCCAUUUUCUCAAUGGUGACCUCAUGCUCCUCGAGAUGAGAUUCCAACUCCUCAAUAUAUUUCUUGCCCUCAAUGGCAAUGGACAUAAUUUCCAUGAAGUUGGAACAAGCAAUUUUAUUUUUAUGAAGAGCUUUAAAAAUAAUCUCCCCCUUAGUUUUUAAGGAGGCAACAUUAUCAUUCUCUUCAUCAUUAUCCUCAUCAUCAUUAGCAUCAACAUCAUCAUCAAGAGACAUAUUGGGGUACAAAGUAGGAGAUACCUUUGAUGCCUUAGCCAUAAGGCAAAAAGCAAUAGAUGAUGAUGUAGGAUCCCUUGAGGCACCAUUAAACACCACAUCUUGUUCCAUGGAGUGUUCGGUUUCCUCUACAUUGUUAGCACAAUAAUUCGAGGAAAUAGAUGCAUUUUUAUCAUGGCAACAAGACAUAGCAAGCAUAUCAUCAUGCGAUUUAGUCAAGCAAUUUCUACAUGAUAUGCAAGGACUAUCAACACAAGCAUGUGAAACAUUUGGAGUGCUCGAAGUGUUAAAGCCCAAAGAAGGAGCAUUACAAUAAUAUAGUGAUGAAGGAUCAUCCACAAUAAGCAUACUAUCACCAUUGCAAUGACCAACACUACUCACCAUAUCAUUACCUUGUGGCAAACCACAUGUAGGUGAAGUAGAAGAAGUUGAGAAGACUAUACGACCGGAGGUGGAGGGGGAACAAUCAUCCCAAAUAUUGGACACACCAUAUUUAUCUUGAAGCUUUGUCCACAACUCAUGAGCAUCCCGGAACGACAUGAGUUGAAAAAUAACUACAUUGCUCAAAGCAUCAAAAAGCACAUUAGAAGCUUGAGCAUUGAGAUAAGAGUUUUUCUCAUCCUCUAAAGAUAAUCUUUGGGGAUCCUUUGGAGGAGAAAAACCCAUAUCUACAAUUCGCUCUAAAUUUGGGUCCAUGAGCCUAAAGAGAUUAAGCAUGCGAAUUACCCAAACAUCAAAAUUUGUGCCAUCGAAACUAAGAGUGUCAGAGAAUCCUAAUCCCCUAGUCGACAUCUUUACACUCUAGGCGGUUAAGCCUAACAAAGAGAGACGAGGCUCUGAUACCAAUUGAAAGAUCGAGGAUGUCGCCUAGAGGGGGGGCUGAAUAGGCGCUUUAAAAUAAUUACGGUUUAGGCUUGAACAAAUGCGGAAUAAACCUAGCGGUUAAUUUGUCAAGCACAAAACCUACAACAAAUAGGUCACCUAUGUGCACCAACAACUUAUGCUAAGCAAGAUAAGCAACUAUGUGAUAGCAAGAUAUAUGACAAAAACAAUAUGGCUAUCACAAAGUAAAGUGCAUAAGUAAAGGGGCUCGGGUAAGAGAUAACCGAGGCACGCGGAGACGACGAUGUAUCCCGAAGUUCACACCCUUGCGGAUGCUAAUCUCCGUUUGGAGCGGUGUGGAGGCACAAUGCUCCCCAAGAAGCCACUAGGGCCACCGUAAUCUCCUCACGCCCUCGCAGAAUGCAAGAUGUCGUGAUUCCACUAAGGGGCCCUUGAGGGCGGUCACCGAACCCGUACAAAUGGCGACCCUUGGGGGCGGUCACCGAACCCGUACACUUUGGCAACCCUUGGGGGCGGUCACCGGUACCCGUCAAAUUGCUCGGGGCGAUCUCCACAACCUAAUUGGAGACCCCGACGCUUGCCCGGAGCUUUACACCACAAUGAUUGAGCUCCGAACACCACCAACCGUCUAGGGCACCAAGGCACCCAAGAGGAACAAGCUCUAGGGUGCCCAAACACCCAAGAGUAAUAAGCUUCUCAAACUUCACUUCCACGUAUCACCGUGGAGAACUCAAACUGAUGCACCAAAUGCAAUGGCAAGGGCACACGGAGUGCCCAAGUCCUUCUCUCCCAAAUCCCACCAAAGCAACUAAUGCUAGGGAGGAAAAUGAGAGAAAGAACGAAAGAAGAACACGAAGAACUCCAAGAUCUAGAUCCAAGGGGUUCCCCUCACUUAGAGGAGAAAGUGAUUGGUGGAAACGUGGAUCUAGAUCUCCUCUCUCUUUUCCCUCAAGAACUAGCAAGAAUCCAUGGAGGGAUUGAGAGUUAGCAAGCUCGAAGAAGGUCAACAAUGGGGGAAGAACACGAGCUCAAGGGAUUAGGUUCAUUGGGGAAGAAGACCCCCUUUUAUAGGACCUCCCGAAUCCAACCAUUAUGUGCUCAGGUCGUGCACAAGCGGUACUACCGCUUGGAGGAGCGGUACUACCGCUUAGCACGGUCAAAACAGCCCAACGAGAGAGAAAACACGAGUUUUUGGUCCGGAGCGGUACUACCACUUAGGAGCCAUGGUAGUACUUCUCUGGAGCGGUACUACCGCUCAGGAGCCGCGGUAGUACCGCUCUAGAGCGGUAGUAAAAAAUUACAUCCGCUCUAGUCACGGUAGUACCGCUGCAGCCUUUACCAAAACAGCCACAACUUUUGCAAACGGACUCCGAAUUCAAUGAAACCAAGUUUGUUGGAAAGCUAACGACAUGGGAUAACACAAUAUUGAUAGAAAUAUCAAGAAUAAGCAAAUGAGAAAGGUCUUAUAAGAAAAUGGUGAGAACCCUUCAUCGGAUAAGACCGGUAAAACCUCCAACACCGAAAACAUCAUAGAAGACGCAUGCGAACUCCGUUUUCGAUGAACUCAAGCUUGUCAUCAAGAUGACCAUAAGCUCUAAGACUCACAAAGAUAACCAAACAAGAACCAAGAAACAUGAUGCAAGGAUGCAAUGGUUUGAGCUCUCUACUAACGAUACGAUCAAGCUACCAACUUGAGAGCCCCCCUUGAUAGUACGUCAAACGAUCCUAUAACUCAGUCUCCCAACUACCACCACAAGACCGGUAAAAUAGAAAACCUAUCAAGGGAAAACCUUUGCCUUGCACAUGGUCCACUUGAGCUUGAUGAAGACGAUCUUGACUCCCUCAAGUUGGACCACCUUUCUUGAUUGCGUUGGCUCGAUGAAGACUAGAUGAUUGCUCCCCCAUAAUUCACUAUGGGUGAGCCACUCUUCGGCACAUCUUCACAAGUCCAUUGACACCACAAUGGAUGGCAAGAUUCAAGCACUUGAUCUCUUCGUGAUGCUCCACUUGAACUUGCACACGGCAAUCUUGAUGACAAUCACCACUUGAUGUCAUCCUUUCCAUGGGUUGUAUGAUAUCUUCCUCUUGACGCAAGCCCAUGGAUACAUACCUAACCCCACAUACAACUCUCACAUAGACCAUGGGUUAGUACAUAAAGUGCAAUGGACAAUGCUUACCAUACCAUGGGAUCACUUGAUCCCUCUCGGUACAUCUUCUAUGCUUUGUGAGUUGAUCAACUUGAUUCACUAUUGACUUGGUCUUGAUCAACCUUGAAUCUUUGCAACUCUCUUCAUUUGGACGAUGUAUUGAAGGUAAACAUGAAUGAGCACACAACCUUCUUCUUCAAGACAUGCUUGCAAUAAGCUCAACACUCGCAUGAUCAAUCUUUGGAUAAUUCCUUAAUAGCACCUUGGUCAACUCAUAAACUCCUUGAAACCAACACAUGGACUUCAAGAAAAGCCUAUGGACAAAUCCUUCAAAUAUAACUCAAGACAACCAUUAGUCCAUAGAGAUUGUCAUCAAUUACCAAAACCAAACAUGGGGGCACCGCAUGUUCUUUCAGUGAUAAUAUUCGACGAUGUACGGACACCAAGAGAUGAUGUACUUUUGCUUAUAAUUAUUGAAUGCAUGCUAAUUUGAAUACUACUUUAUUUUAUGAUUUGGUUUUGCUUAUUUUAUGAUUUGAUUUUGCUUAUUGAAUGCUCAUAUCGGAUAAGUUCUCCUUCAUUCCCGUGUGCUAGACAAUUUGAUGUAAUAAUGCACUCGGGAAUGAAAGGAGGAGCUACGUACAUCACCGAUAGUCAACCCAUGAUUAAUAAUCUAGUUUAAUAUUAGAAUUAUGAACAUAGGCCGGAAAUGUCGUACUCGGACGACGAAAACCGUCCGGGGGAGUGCGACUAGUGCCACGACGACCGAGGUAUCUGCGACAGGUUCAUUGAGCUGGACGAAGAUCGUCGCUUCAGCAUUAAGCUCGAGGAGACCUUCGAUGUUCAUACGGUACGCAACCGACGACAAUAGUUUUUUUUGUAAUUAAUCAUGACUUCAACUAUUUUAAUCAUGACAACAUUUUUCAUCUUUUCCAAUUCGACUAGCUUAUCCCAUGCUUUGCAAGACGCUAUGUCUUGGAGAGGAUGGGUUUUAAAGACCAUGAAAGUUUCGAAACCAAAAACAUUAUCCUAAGUACCCAUCAUGGUGUGGAUUUUCAAGUAAAGUUGUACAAUGCUCAAAGUGUAACCCAUUUUGGUUGCAAAAAUUGGGAAGCACUUUGCAAGAUAUAUGGUCUUGAUGACGGUAUGCUUGUCACCAUGGAUCUUGGUGAUCCUACAAUCGAGCAAGAGAGACCUUAGAUUUGGGUCCUUGUGGAUACACCUCCAAUUCUUCCCCCAUGUGAGCUUAACAUAAUUAUUAAGUAAUUUAUAUUGUUUAUUUCAAAAUAGUUUACAACUUAUCUCCAUUGACAGCUUAUUUUCAUUCUUCAAAGAAUGUGCGAAAGAUGGUAGACAGAACCUACUACACCGAAGGCUCCGAAUUAACUUAUCAGGAGAAAAAUCAUCUGGUCGCAUUUUGGACUGAUCUUGAGAAUUACAAUAUCUACAAUCAAACUCCUCAACAUUAUGGUCAAUACGUGCCACUAGUGCACGUGUUGAACUACGGUAACUACCAUGGAGAUACCCUGGUAAGAUUAUUUUUUACUAUUACAACAUCUGUGCAUCUUUUUGCACACUUCUAAAACUAGUACAUUAUUGCUAACUACGAAGUUAUUACUAUGUUUUUCAACAGAUAAUCCCGAAUGAUUGUGUGCCUCAUCUGAUGUAUACGCAUGGUAGCCUUCAUGUUUUGAACAUACAACCAGGUCGUCCUACAAAUCUCAACUAUCCAUACCGGAUUUCUAAAAGAAGUGGAGACAUAACAAUCAAAGAAUGGAAAAAAUGUAUGGACAGUCGUAAGGAGCUUCUUGGAAGCAACAAGCAGCGAAGGGCAAGAAUUGGAGACAGGAUGAUCGCCAUUCUUCAUAAUGGAGAGUCAGGGUCUAUAUUGUUUUAUGCUAUUUUACCUUAAGGUUGUUUAGGUCCUACCUGAUACUAAUGAUCAUGUGCUAAGAACAAUUAUGUAGGGUUGGGUUCGAUGACUAUGAGGAUGAGGAUCGUAUGACUUAUUAUUAAUAACGAGUAGAAGUUGUAUGAUGAUGCAUGAUAUUAGUAGGACUUGUUAUUAUAUAUGAUGAUGUAUGAUGCGAGCAUGCAUGAGCAUGUUAUAUCAGCGGGUGAAAUGAACAUAGCAGCAGCGUUGAUAAACCAAGGACGAAGAUAUAAGAGAGGACACUUCUCUCUAUUAGCUAGCUAAUAACAACCUAAAAAUAACCCCCAAAACCCCUAAAGCAGCCACUUUUGGAAAAAAAAGCAUGGACUUUUGGUCCCGGUUGGUGCCACCAACCGGGACCAAAGGCCCCCCUGACUGGGCUCGAUGGACCGGCCACGUGGAGGCACAUCUGUCCCGGUUCGUGUUUGAACCGGGACUAAUGGGUGGAGGUAUUUGUAACAACCCAUUAGUCCCGGUUCAUGAACCGGGACUAAAGGCUCUUUCGAACCGGGACUAAUUGGUGUUUUUCUACUAGUGUACUAGCCAGCUCAAUUAGACUAAUUGUUGUGUAAAAGGAAGCACGUCGCACUCUUUUGACCAUUCCACGAUGUUUUCUUUUUCUCUUUUCUUUGAGGAAUCUCCAUCACUCUCUCGUCCCCCUAUUUCUUUCUUAUUCGUAUUUAUCUUUACGUAAACACGCAAUGACGAUGAUUCAUAGGAAAUAAUCUUAGAUCGAGAAAGAAAUGUAUAAUCAAUGAUCUGAUUUCUGAAAAUGAUACUUUAGUGUGCACUUGAUUUGAGAGGGAUUGGGUAGAUUAGGAAUCUCCAACGUCUGUCCUCCCGCAUUUAACUUUUGAAGAAUGGACAAGAUGCACCAUCCCACAACAUGGUUAUUAUGUAGUUACCGGGCUAGAUGUACUAUAGUUACCAACAUGAUUACUAUGUAGUUAUCGGCCUAAAUGUACUAUAGUUAUCAACAUGGUUAUUACGGAGUUACCAUGCUCGAUGGACUAUAGUUAUCAACAUGGGCUACAUGCGGUAGAAUACACCCCCCCCCGGUAGCUUAUGUGUAAAUAGCAUGAUAAUUUACACAUCCCAGACCUGAUAACUCAUUCACAAACAUUGAUUACUUUUACCCGAGGAAAAAAAGUUGUUUGAAACCAUCCCCUCGUAGCUUAUGUGUAAGAAGCAUGAUAAUUUACACACCACGGACCUGAUAGACUAUGCACAAACACCGUGAUAAUUUUGACCUGAGAGAAAAAAGUUGUUAAGAACAUUUCUGAUAACUUACGCGUAAAUAAAAUGCUAAUGUAUGCACCGUAGAGUUGAUUAUUCACAUACAAAUGUCGUGUUUACUUUUUGAACCGGGUGAAAAAGUUGUGGAAAACAUACCCCGAUAACUUCUACCUAAAUAGCAUGGUAACAUACACACCUCGGCGUGAUAACUCACGCAAAAACACCGUGGUAACUUUGAUCAAGAGAAAAAGUAGUUGUUGAUACCAUACCCCCAAUAAUUUCCACGGAAAUAGCAUGUUAAUAUACUCAUUGCGGACAUGGUAACUUGCGCACAAACAUCACGACAACUUUUAGCAAGAGAGUUUUUUGUUUGAAACCAUACCCUUGGUAAAUUUUGUGGACAUAACAUGGUAAUAUAUGCACCAUAGACAUGAUAACUAAACAUACACCCGAUAAUUUUUGUGUAAAUAACAUGAUGAUGUAUCAUCGCAGACUUGAUAACUAAUAUUUUAUGUUUAAACACCAUGGUGUCUUUCAUCCAAGGGGAAAAAGUUUUUGAAACAUUUCACCGGUAAUUUCUAUGUUAAAUUAUCAUACUUUCCCAUGCUUUUAACCUUCUUGUACUGUAGUUACCAGCCUUAUCAUGGUAUAGUUAUCAUGUUACUCAGACCAUAGUUAUCACGCUGGUCAUUGCCAAAGUUACCAAGCCAAACUUUAUUUUUUCUUUUGAUAUGGCAGAAAUAAGAAAGGUUCAAAUAACAUUGUCAUUCUACAAAAGACAACAACAAAAGGUGGCUUAGUUGGUUAUUAGGCUCAAUAGGUAUUACAUAGACCUGGGUUUGAAUCCUCUUUCAAGCACUUUUAUUUUCUUUUCAUAUUAUGCAGCGAAAAACCAGAAAAAAUCACUAGCAAUUUACUACAAUUUUUGAGAGAAGGAAAAAAAUCAGUGGAAGCGGGAGAAACGACGCAGCGGGACGAGCUGAAGGAUCGAUCGAAGGUUGUGCAGAUGUGCGGAUCUGUUGCUAAUCACGAGUCGACUGAUGGUUAGCACAGUCCUUAUAAUAAUGAAAUACAUGGGUUUGGUCUAUUUUGUUUGGUUUUCGUUCCAUGCCGACAAUUCCAGCUUUCAUCUUCCAAAGCAAACAAGACGACUUUUGCAAGCGGAGAGAACGUGUUUCGGGGACUAUCCCCGCACGUGUGUCAUCACUUCUACCUCGAGAACAAGCUGAGACGUGGCAUCCCGGACGCGUCCAGUAGCUGCACACGUCCGGCCUCUCUUUAAUGGGGAGUCACUAGUCACCGGCUCCCGCCGGCCAGCCCACUCAUGCCCGCACACGUAGUGCCUCCGGCGAUCAUAUCCCCUCGCCGCAGACGGCUUAUAAAUUGGGCCUCGUGCUGCACCUGCUUCCACAACCACAAGGUGCAGCUAAGUGAUCAAGUGAGCAAGACAACACACCAGAUUUCUAAGGGAAUCAAGAUCAGCAUCUGUGCAAGAUGGAGCACGGCCAGGCGACUAACCGCGUCGACGAGUACGGCAACCCGGUGGCCGGACAUGGCGUCGGCACCGGCAUGGGGGCGCACGGCGGCGUGGGCACCGGCGCGGCCGCUGGUGGGCAUUUCCAGCCCACGAGGGAGGAGCACAAGGCCGGAGGGAUCCUGCAGCGCUCCGGCAGCUCUAGUAGCUCCAGCUCGGUGCGUGUACAUACACUUCUUGCUUGUUGCUAACACUAGUUGUAAUUUGCAUUUUCCCGUUUAAAUGCAUCAACGACUGAAUUUUCUCGUUCGUCGUGAUAGUCUGAGGAUGAUGGCAUGGGCGGGAGGAGGAAGAAGGGCAUCAAGGGGAAGAUCAAGGAGAAGCUCCCCGGUGGCCAUGGCGACCAGCAACAGACCGCUGGCACCUAUGGGCAGCAGGGUCACACCGGAAUGACCGGCACCGGGGCGCAUGGUACAGCAGCCACUGGCGGCACCUACGGGCAGCAAGGACACACCGGAGUGACCGGCACGGGGACGCACGGCACCGACGGCACUGGCGAAAAGAAGGGCAUCAUGGACAAGAUCAAGGAGAAGCUGCCCGGACAGCACUGAGCGCGGCCCGCGGCAGCUACUUGAGAGUUGGGGUGCCGAGCUGGCCACCUUUGCAGAAUAAUAAGAUGGAGAUACAGUAGAACUUCCCGAAAUAAAGUGAGCUAGCUCACUCGUAAUAUCCGAGUUCUGAGUUUAGUGGACUUGAAUUUGGGUUGCUUGCUUGUAUUUGUAUGUACCCGGGACGUUUUGCACUCUGUACUUCGAUGUGUGAUUUUUUUUUGGUUGCAUUGUGUAUUUAUUAUAUGGGGAUAUACUGCAUUAUAUUUUGGUCUUUACUUGAGCUUUCUAUGUUAUUGCAUUUUUCGAAAUUUUGUGAGACAUAUUGUACAUUGCAUGGUAAAAUGUUUUAAGAGAAUUUGGAGCAUUCUAGGCAAUUGUUGAAAUUUUUUGGAAGUAUCAAAAAAUAAGGCACACCAAAAAUACACAUACAGAUCUUGAUUUUACUAACUCGGAGGAUGUUGCAUGCGCCGUGGAUCAUAAAUGAACGGCACUGUCGGAGAUCAACAAAACAGAGUGCAUAGCCACCAAAGAAAAAUCCCCACCGCCGAAAGUUUUCCUCUAUGCUCGAGCUCACAUGCACACUGAUGAAUAGUAAAAUAUGAAUAAAUUUAAAAAAUUCUGAAUUUUUUUACACGCUGAUGAAUGUUUUACCUACAUGCAAAAAUUCGUAAUGCAAUGAUAUUUGUGGAGGUCAGGGUUAUAAAAAUAAAAUCAAUGCUCUAAACUUAGUCUUUCUGGAGCAUUUGAUUUUUUUACCAGACCCUAAUGAAAGUGAUUUCAUCACGAAAAAUUGCACGCAUGUUUAUUAAAAAGGGGCAGAGUUUUUACAUUUUUUUUUAUUUUACUGUUUAUACAGGUGCAUAUAAGCUCGAGAUUAGAAGCUCCAUGUCCACCCACCACUUAAUUCAUUCAUACACAAACUUUUAUUUUAAUACGCACAAAUGUGCUACUUUAUACUCUCCCGUCUCAAAAUAAAUGUCUCAACUUUGUACUAGUUUUGAUACAAAAUUGUAUUAAGGUUAAGACACUUAUUUUGGAACAGAGUGGGUAUUAAAAAAAAGAGAGGGGAUAAACAGCCCCUUCACGAUGAGAUUACAUAGUUCUUACAUACACUCAACUCCACGUCUAACUCAAUCCAUCGCUAAGGGCAUCUCCAGCCGUUGGCCUCCCAUGAGGGGCAAAAUAUCGCCCCUGGGAACGCACCGGCGCUAAACCGCGCACUGGGGGCGUGUUGCCCCCCAGUCACGGCGCCCAUGGGUAGUCAAAGAAGUCCAAAACGACUCAAUUUUAACACAAACGGCGGUGAGUUCAAACUUAAAUUUAAACAUAUUUCGUCCAAACUUAAACAUAUUUUACAAAAAAGAAAGAAACUACCGCGGGCUACCCCCGCCGUCUCCCUCGCCGCCCGCCUCGUCGCACGCCCACGCGGUUCUACAUGCCGAGGAGGCUGUAGAACCGCGUGUAGUCACCGUCGUCAUCGCCGUCGUCGUCGUCGUCGCCGCCCCCACCUACGCCUCCGUCGUCCCUGCUGCAUCCUUCCCCCGGUUGGGGCGGCGGGUUGGACGGUCCGGGGGCGGCCUCGUCGUCGUCGUCGCUGUCGAGGACCACGACGCCGUGCUCGUCCUCGCGCCCACGCUUGCGGGCGGCGAUCUCCUCCAGGGCCCGGCGCUGCCGGACCGUCUCGUCGCGGAGGUAGUCCUCCCGCGCCCACCGCAUGGCGUCCUCGUAGGAGAAGCCGCGCCGGGCUAUCUCCUCGUACUCCGCGGGGAGGCCCGGCUCCGGCUUGGGCUCGACGAGGACGAAGCGGCCGGUGGGUGGCGGGGCGUUGGCGCCGAUGCGGACGCCGGAACUGCGGGUGCGCGAGCUGACCGGCAUACCCUGGGGCUUCGGCUUGACGGGGCGGAGGCAGGGCGAGCCGCCGGACGAGGAGGAGGACCCCCCGGUCUCCAUGCGCCUCGGGGUCCAGGAGCUUCCCCGGCGGUGUGAGAAGGAAGGGGGGUCGGGGUACUCGAGGCGCGGCGUGUUGCCGCCCUCGAUGUACUCGAGGACAGCCUCCAACAUGCUCCCGGGCACGCCCCACCACCGACGCCGGCCGGCGGCGUUGAGCCUGCCGGAGGGCACGACGCCGUUGGUGGCCUCAAGCUGCUGGGCGUGACGGCGGCGGAAGUACGGUUCCCAGAGCGGGCUGUCGGGGACGUACCUUGGCCCCUCCCUCGCUGCACGCGGCAGGUUCGAGCGGAUGCGUGCGAUCUCCGCACGCUGCGCCGCGCCGGCGGGUACCGGGGGCACCGGCACGCCGCCCGCGCUGAUCCUUCACGCCCUCGGCACUCGCAUGUCCGGCGGAACCGGGUUCUCGGCCUCGUAAAGGAGGCGAGCCUCGUCUUCAUGAAGAUGGCAGCGGCCGAAGCCGUUCGCCGCCGCGCCGUCGCCUGGGAAGCGUUCGGCCAUGGGUGUGAAAGAGAGGAGAGGAGAGGAAGGAACGACGACGGCGGGAGAGUCUGCGAGCCGACGAGUGCGUCGGGGCGCGGCAUAUAUAGGCCGAGGCGCCGCCCACGCGUGUGCCACCGUGUGUACGCGUCACGGGCGAGGGAGGGCGAGGGACGCGCGUCGUUCGGUCUUCACUGCGCCGCCCAUGAGGCAUCAAUGGCGCAGGCUGACCGGCGCGGCAGCGCGCGGCAGCUUUGACAUUGAUUCUCCGCGGGAAACGAGGCGAUGCGGACGACGGAGAGCCGAGAAGAGAGCCGUGUCGCUGACGCGGCGGGCCCGCGGCUUUUUCGCGCCAAAACAGUUCGCCCGGCGCCCCCGGGCGCCCCCCAGCGCGCCGGGUUCGGGCUGGGUCCGCCGGNNNNNNNNNNNNNNNNNNNNNNNNNNNNNNNNNNNNNNNNNNNNNNNNNNNNNNNNNNNNNNNNNNNNNNNNNNNNNNNNNNNNNNNNNNNNNNNNNNNNNNNNNNNNNNNNNNNNNNNNNNNNNNNNNNNNNNNNNNNNNNNNNNNNNNNNNNNNNNNNNNNNNNNNNNNNNNNNNNNNNGCUAUUUUCGGUCCAAGCCGGCGAAAAUCGGGCUCCUGGGGGCGCGACUGGGCCGUUUUUUCGGCGCCAGCGCGGACAAAACGCCUGGGGGGGCCUUCCUGGGGGCGCGGCUGGAGAUGCCCUAACUCCUCGCGUCACUACCCAUUGUUAGCGCUACUAGGAAACUAUCCAUGUCCGCUUUGACAAUGCCUGCCGUCUUCCAUGAUCUACACUUGACCUCUAUUCUAUGAAUUACGCUUUCCAAAGACGAUGUGGCACCAUCGAAUACGACCCCGUUGCGAUGCUUCCAUUCAAGAACAACAACCGAUCCAGUAAUUGUUGGGGAACGUAGUAAUUUCAAAAAUUUCCUACGCACACGCAAGAUCAUGGUGAUGGCAUAGCAACGAGAGGGGAGAGUGUUGUCCACGUACCCUCGUAGACCGUAAGCGGAAGCGUUAUGACAACGCGGUUGAUGUAGUCGUACGUCUUCACGAUUCGACCGAUCCAAGCACCGAACGUACGGCACCUUCGUGUUCAGCACACGUUCAGCUCGAUGACGUUCCCCGGGCUCCAAUCCAGCAAAGCGUCGGGGAUGAGUUCCGUCAGCAUGACGGCGUGGUGACGAUGAUGAUGUUCUACCGGCGCAGGGCUUCGCCUAAACUCCGCGACGAUAUGACCGAGGUGGAAUAUGGUGGAGGGGGGCACCGCACACGGCUAAGGAACGAUCCGUAGAUCAACUUGUGUGUCUAUGGGGUGCCCUUGCCUCCGUAUAUAAAGGAGUGGAGGAGGGGGAGGGCCGGCGCUCUCUAUGGCGCGCCCUAGGGGAGUCCUACUCCCACCGGGAGUAGGAUUCCCUCUUUCCUAGUAGAACUAGGAACCCUUCCAUGUAGUAGGAGUAGGAGAGAAGGAAAGGGAAGAGAGAAGGAGAAGGAAGGAAGGGGGCGCCCCCCCCCUCCCUAGUCCAAUUCGGACUAGUCCAAGGGGAGGGGUGCGGCCACCCUUUUGGCCCUUUCUCUCCUUUCCCGUAUGGCCCAAUGAGGCCCAAUACGAAUUCCCGUAACUCUCCGGUACUCCAAAAAAUAACCGAAUCACUCGGAACCUUUCCGAACUCCGAAUAUAGUCGUCCAAUAUAUCGAUUUUUACGUCUCGACCAUUUCGAGACUCCUCGUCAUGUCCCCGAUCUCAUCCGGGACUCCGAACUCCUUCGGUACAUCAAAACUCAUAAAUUCAUAAUAAAACUGUCAUCGUAACGUUAAGCGUGCGGACCCUACGGGUUCGAGAACUAUGUAGACAUGACCUAGAACUAUUCUCGGUCAAUAACCAAUAGUGGAACCUGGAUGUUCAUAUUGGUUCCUACAUAUUCUACGAAGAUCUUUAUCGGUCAAACCGCAUAACAACAUACGUUGUUCCCUUUGUCAUCGGUAUGUUACUUGCCCGAGAUUCGAUCGUCGAUAUCCAAUACCUAGUUCAAUCUCGUUACCGGCAAGUCUCUUUACUCGUUCCGUAAUACAUCAUUUCGUAACUAACUCAUUAGUUACAAUGCUUGCAAGGCUUAAGUGAUGAGUAUUACCGAGAGGGCCCAGAGAUACCUCUCCGACAAUCGGAGUGACAAAACCUAAUCUCGAAUUAUGCACUCAACAUGUACCUUUGGAGACACCUGUAGAGCAUCUUUAUAAUCACCCAGUUACGUUGUGACGUUUGGUAGCACACAAAGUGUUCCUCCGGUAAACGGGAGUUGCACAAUCUCAUAGUUGUAGAAACUUUGUAUAAGUCAUGAAGAAAGCAGUAGCAACAUACUAAACGAUCGUGUGCUAAGCUAACGGAAUGGGUCAAGUAAAUCACAUCAUUCUCCUAAUGAUGUGAUCCCGUUAAUCAAAUGACAACUCUUUUGUCCAUGGCUAGGAAACUUAACCAUCUUUGAUUCACGAGCUAGUCAAGUAGAGGCAUACUAGUGACACUAUGUUUGUCUAUGUAUUCACACAUGUAUUAUGUUUUCGGUUAAUACAAUUCUAGCAUGAAUAAUAAACAUUUAUCAUGAAAUAAGGAAAUAAAUAAUAACUUUAUUAUUGCCUCUAAGGCAUAUUUCCUUCAGUCUCCCACUUGCACUAGAGUCAAUAAUCUAGUUCACAUCACCAUGUGAUUUAACACCAAUAUUUACAUCUGUAUGUGAUUAAUACCCAUAGUUCACAUCAUCAUGUGAUCAACGCCCAAAGAGUUUACUAGAGUCAAUAAUCUAGUUCACAUGGCUAUGUGAUUGACACCCAAAGAGUACUAAGGUAUGAUCAUGUUUUGCUCAUGAGAGAAGUUUAGUCAACGGGUCUGUCACAUUCAGAGCCGUAUGUAUUUUGCAAAUAUUCUAUGUCCACAAUGCUCUGCACGGAGCUACUCUAGCUAAUUGCUCCCACUUUCAAUAUGUAUCCAGAUUGAGACUUAGAGUCAUCUGGAUUGUUGUAAAAGCUUGCAUCGUUGUAACUUUUUACGACUUGCUCUUUUAUCACCUCCAUAAUCGAGAAACGUCUCCUUAGUCCUCACUAAGGAUAUUCUUGACCGCUGUUCUAGUGAUCUACUUUUAGAUCAAAAUUGUAUUCCUUUGCCAAACUCAGAGCAAGGUAUACAAUAGGUAUAGUACACAGCAUAGCAUACUUUAUAGAACCUAUGACUGAGGCAUAGGGAAUGACUGUUCAUUCUUUUCUAUUUUCUGCCAUGGUCGGGUAUUGAGUCUUACUCAACUUCACACCUUGCAACACAGGCAAGAACGCUUUCUUUGACUGUUCAUUUUGAACUACUUCAAAAUCUUGUCAAGGUGUGUAUUCAUUGAAAAAUCUUAUCAAGCGUCUUGAUCUAUCUCUAUAGAUCUUGAUGCUCAAUGUGUAAGCAGCUUUACCGAGGUCCUUCUUCGAAAAACUCCUUUCAAAUACUCCUUUAUGCUUUACAGAAUAAUUCUACAUUAUUUCCGAUCAACAUAUGUCAUUCACAUAUACUUAUCAGAAAUGUUGUAUUGCUUCCACUCACUUUCUUGUAAAUACAGGCUUCACCGCAAGUCUGUAUAAAAGUAUAUGCUUUGAUCAAUUUAUCAAAGCGUAUAUUCCAACUCCGAGAUGCUUGCACCAGUCCAUAGAUGAAUCGCUGGAGCUUGCACAUUUUGUUCAAUUAAUCAUAUUACUUAAGAACUCCCACUUAGAUAGAUAUCUCUCUAGUCAUCUAAGUGAUUACGUGAUCCAAAUCAACUAAACCAUAACCGAUCAUCACGUGAGAUGGAGUAGUUUUCAAUGGUGAACAUCACUAUGUUGAUCAUAUCUACUAUAUGAUUCACGCUCGACCUUUCGGUCUCUGUGUUCUGAGGCCAUAUCUGCAUAUGCUAGGCUCGUCAAGUAUAACCUGAAUAUUCUGCGUGUGCAAAACUGGCUUGCACCCGUUGUAGAUGGACGUAGAGCUUAUCACACCCGAUCAUCACGUGGUGUCUGGGCACGACGAACUUUGGCAACGGUGCAUAUUCAGGGAGAACACUCCUUGAUAAUUUUUAUUGAGAGAUCAUCUUAAAAUGCUACCGUCAAUCAAAGCAAGAUAAGAUGCAUAAAAGAUAAACAUCACAUGCAAUCAAUAUAAGUGAUAUGAUAUGGCCAUCAUCAUCUUGUGCUUGUGAUCUCCAUCUCCGAAGCACCGUCGUGAUCACCAUCGUCACUGGCGCGGCACCUUGAUCUUCAUCGUAGGAUCGUUGUCGUUUACGCCAUCUAUUGCUUCUACGACUAUCGCUACCACUUAGUGAUAAAGUAAAGCAAUUACAGGGCGUUUGUGUUUCAUACAAUAAAGCGACAACCAUAUGGCUCCUGCCAGUUGCCGAUAACUUCGGUUACAAAACAUGAUCAUCUCAUACAAUAAAUAUAGCAUCACGUCUUGACCAUAUCACAUCACAACAUGCCCUGCAAAAACAAGUUAGACGUCCUCUACUUUGUUGUUGCAAGUUUUACGUGGCUGCUACGGGCUUAGCAAGAACCGUUCUUACCUACGCAUCAAAACCACAACGAUAGUUCGUCAAGUUAGUGUUGUUUUAACCUUCGCAAGUACCGGGCGUAGCCACACUCGGUUCAACUUAAGUUGGAGAAACUGACACCCGCCAGCCACCUGUGUGCAAAGCACGUCGGUAGAACCAGUCUCGCGUAAGCGUACGCGUAAUGUCGGUCCGGACCGCUUCAUCCAACAAUACCGCUGAACCAAAGUAUGACUUGUAUUGCCCACAACUCACUUGUGUUCUACUCGUGCAUAUGACAUCUACGCAUAAAACCUAGGCUCGGAUGCCACUGUUGGGGAACGUAGUAAUUUCAAAAAAAUUCCUAUGCACACGCAAGAUCAUGGUGAUGGCAUAGCAACGAGAGGGGAGAGUGUUGUCCACGUACCCUCGUAGACCGUAAGCGGAAGAGUUAUCACAACGCGGUUGAUGUAGUCAUACGUCUUCACGACUCGACCGAUCCAAGCACCGAACGUACGGCACCUCCGUGUUCAGCACACGUUCAGCUCGAUGACGUUCCCCGGGCUCCAAUCCAGCAAAGCGUCGGGGAUGAGUUCCGUCAGCACGACGGCAUGGUGAUGAUGAUGAUGUUCUACCGGCGCAGGGCUUCGCCUAAACUCCGCGACGAUAUGACCGAGGUGGAAUAUGGUGGAGGGGGGCACCGCACACGGCUAAGGAAUGAUCCGUAGAUCAACUUGUGUGUACUAGGGUGCCCCCUGCCCCCGUAUAUAAAGGAGCAAGGGGGAGGUCGGCCGGCCCCUUGGGGCGCGCCAAGGGGGAGGAGUUCUCCUCCUAGUAGGAGUAGGACUCCCCUUUUCCUACUCCUACUAGGAGGGGGAAAGGAAGGGGGAGAGGGGGAAGGAAAGAGGGGGGCGCCGCCCCCCCCCUCCUAGUCCAAUUCGGACCAGAGGGAGAGGGGGCACGCGGCCCAUCCUGGCCGCCCCUCUCUCUUCCCACUAAGGCCCAUGUGGCCCAUUAACUCUCCCGGGGGGGUUUCGGUAACCCUCCGGCACUCCGGUUUUCUCCGAAAUCACCCGGAACACUUCCGGUGUCCGAAUAUAGUCGUCCAAUAUAUCAUUCUUUAUGUCUCGAUCAUUUCAAGACUCCUCGUCAUGUCUGUGAUCACAUCCGGGACAACAAACAAACUUCGGUACAUCAAAACUUGUAAGCUCAUAAUAAAACUGUCAUCGUAACGUUAAGCGUGCGGACCCUACGGGUUCGAGAACUAUGUAGACAUGACCUAGAACUAUUCUCGGUCAAUAACCAAUAGUGGAACCUGGAUGUUCAUAUUGGUUCCUACAUAUUCUACGAAGAUCUUUAUCGGUCAAACCGCAUAACAACAUACGUUAUUCCCUUUGUCAUCGGUAUGUUACUUGCCCGAGAUUCGAUCGNNNNNNNNNNNNNNNNNNNNNNNNNNNNNNNNNNNNNNNNNNNNNNNNNNNNNNNNNNNNNNNNNNNNNNNNNNNNNNNNNNNNNNNNNNNNNNNNNNNNNNNNNNNNNNNNNNNNNNNNNNNNNNNNNNNNNNNNNNNNNNNNNNNNNNNNNNNNNNNNNNNNNNNNNNNNNNNNNNNNNNNNNNNNNNNNNNNNNNNNNNNNNNNNNNNNNNNNNNNNNNNNNNNNNNNNNNNNNNNNNNNNNNNNNNNNNNNNNNNNNNNNNNNNNNNNNNNNNNNNNNNNNNNNNNNNNNNNNNNNNNNNNNNNNNNNNNNNNNNNNNNNNNNNNNNNNNNNNNNNNNNNNNNNNNNNNNNNNNNNNNNNNNNNNNNNNNNNNNNNNNNNNNNNNNNNNNNNNNNNNNNNNNNNNNNNNNNNNNNNNNNNNNNNNNNNNNNNNNNNNNNNNNNNNNNNNNNNNNNNNNNNNNNNNNNNNNNNNNNNNNNNNNNNNNNNNNNNNNNNNNNNNNNNNNNNNNNNNNNNNNNNNNNNNNNNNNNNNNNNNNNNNNNNNNNNNNNNNNNNNNNNNNNNNNNNNNNNNNNNNNNNNNNNNNNNNNNNNNNNNNNNNNNNNNNNNNNNNNNNNNNNNNNNNNNNNNNNNNNNNNNNNNNNNNNNNNNNNNNNNNNNNNNNNNNNNNNNNNNNNNNNNNNNNNNNNNNNNNNNNNNNNNNNNNNNNNNNNNNNNNNNNNNNNNNNNNNNNNNNNNNNNNNNNNNNNNNNNNNNNNNNNNNNNNNNNNNNNNNNNNNNNNNNNNNNNNNNNNNNNNNNNNNNNNNNNNNNNNNNNNNNNNNNNNNNNNNNNNNNNNNNNNNNNNNNNNNNNNNNNNNNNNNNNNNNNNNNNNNNNNNNNNNNNNNNNNNNNNNNNNNNNNNNNNNNNNNNNNNNNNNNNNNNNNNNNNNNNNNNNNNNNNNNNNNNNNNNNNNNNNNNNNNNNNNNNNNNNNNNNNNNNNNNNNNNNNNNNNNNNNNNNNNNNNNNNNNNNNNNNNNNNNNNNNNNNNNNNNNNNNNNNNNNNNNNNNNNNNNNNNNNNNNNNNNNNNNNNNNNNNNNNNNNNNNNNNNNNNNNNNNNNNNNNNNNNNNNNNNNNNNNNNNNNNNNNNNNNNNNNNNNNNNNNNNNNNNNNNNNNNNNNNNNNNNNNNNNNNNNNNNNNNNNNNNNNNNNNNNNNNNNNNNNNNNNNNNNNNNNNNNNNNNNNNNNNNNNNNNNNNNNNNNNNNNNNNNNNNNNNNNNNNNNNNNNNNNNNNNNNNNNNNNNNNNNNNNNNNNNNNNNNNNNNNNNNNNNNNNNNNNNNNNNNNNNNNNNNNNNNNNNNNNNNNNNNNNNNNNNNNNNNNNNNNNNNNNNNNNNNNNNNNNNNNNNNNNNNNNNNNNNNNNNNNNNNNNNNNNNNNNNNNNNNNNNNNNNNNNNNNNNNNNNNNNNNNNNNNNNNNNNNNNNNNNNNNNNNNNNNNNNNNNNNNNNNNNNNNNNNNNNNNNNNNNNNNNNNNNNNNNNNNNNNNNNNNNNNNNNNNNNNNNNNNNNNNNNNNNNNNNNNNNNNNNNNNNNNNNNNNNNNNNNNNNNNNNNNNNNNNNNNNNNNNNNNNNNNNNNNNNNNNNNNNNNNNNNNNNNNNNNNNNNNNNNNNNNNNNNNNNNNNNNNNNNNNNNNNNNNNNNNNNNNNNNNNNNNNNNNNNNNNNNNNNNNNNNNNNNNNNNNNNNNNNNNNNNNNNNNNNNNNNNNNNNNNNNNNNNNNNNNNNNNNNNNNNNNNNNNNNNNNNNNNNNNNNNNNNNNNNNNNNNNNNNNNNNNNNNNNNNNNNNNNNNNNNNNNNNNNNNNNNNNNNNNNNNNNNNNNNNNNNNNNNNNNNNNNNNNNNNNNNNNNNNNNNNNNNNNNNNNNNNNNNNNNNNNNNNNNNNNNNNNNNNNNNNNNNNNNNNNNNNNNNNNNNNNNNNNNNNNNNNNNNNNNNNNNNNNNNNNNNNNNNNNNNNNNNNNNNNNNNNNNNNNNNNNNNNNNNNNNNNNNNNNNNNNNNNNNNNNNNNNNNNNNNNNNNNNNNNNNNNNNNNNNNNNNNNNNNNNNNNNNNNNNNNNNNNNNNNNNNNNNNNNNNNNNNNNNNNNNNNNNNNNNNNNNNNNNNNNNNNNNNNNNNNNNNNNNNNNNNNNNNNNNNNNNNNNNNNNNNNNNNNNNNNNNNNNNNNNNNNNNNNNNNNNNNNNNNNNNNNNNNNNNNNNNNNNNNNNNNNNNNNNNNNNNNNGCCCAUGAGCUUCCAUUUUCUCAAUGGUGACCUCAUGCUCCUCGAGAUGAGAUUCCAACUCCUCAAUAUAUUUCUUGCCCUCAAUGGCAAUGGACAUAAUUUCCAUGAAGUUGGAACAAGCAAUUUUAUUUUUAUGAAGAGCUUUAAAAAUAAUCUCCCCCUUAGUUUUUAAGGAGGCAACAUUAUCAUUCUCUUCAUCAUUAUCCUCAUCAUCAUUAGCAUCAACAUCAUCAUCAAGAGACAUAUUGGGGUACAAAGUAGGAGAUACCUUUGAUGCCUUAGCCAUAAGGCAAAAAGCAAUAGAUGAUGAUGUAGGAUCCCUUGAGGCACCAUUAAACACCACAUCUUGUUCCAUGGAGUGUUCGGUUUCCUCUACAUUGUUAGCACAAUAAUUCGAGGAAAUAGAUGCAUUUUUAUCAUGGCAACAAGACAUAGCAAGCAUAUCAUCAUGCGAUUUAGUCAAGCAAUUUCUACAUGAUAUGCAAGGACUAUCAACACAAGCAUGUGAAACAUUUGGAGUGCUCGAAGUGUUAAAGCCCAAAGAAGGAGCAUUACAAUAAUAUAGUGAUGAAGGAUCAUCCACAAUAAGCAUACUAUCACCAUUGCAAUGACCAACACUACUCACCAUAUCAUUACCUUGUGGCAAACCACAUGUAGGUGAAGUAGAAGAAGUUGAGAAGACUAUACGACCGGAGGUGGAGGGGGAACAAUCAUCCCAAAUAUUGGACACACCAUAUUUAUCUUGAAGCUUUGUCCACAACUCAUGAGCAUCCCGGAACGACAUGAGUUGAAAAAUAACUACAUUGCUCAAAGCAUCAAAAAGCACAUUAGAAGCUUGAGCAUUGAGAUAAGAGUUUUUCUCAUCCUCUAAAGAUAAUCUUUGGGGAUCCUUUGGAGGAGAAAAACCCAUAUCUACAAUUCGCUCUAAAUUUGGGUCCAUGAGCCUAAAGAGAUUAAGCAUGCGAAUUACCCAAACAUCAAAAUUUGUGCCAUCGAAACUAAGAGUGUCAGAGAAUCCUAAUCCCCUAGUCGACAUCUUUACACUCUAGGCGGUUAAGCCUAACAAAGAGAGACGAGGCUCUGAUACCAAUUGAAAGAUCGAGGAUGUCGCCUAGAGGGGGGGCUGAAUAGGCGCUUUAAAAUAAUUACGGUUUAGGCUUGAACAAAUGCGGAAUAAACCUAGCGGUUAAUUUGUCAAGCACAAAACCUACAACAAAUAGGUCACCUAUGUGCACCAACAACUUAUGCUAAGCAAGAUAAGCAACUAUGUGAUAGCAAGAUAUAUGACAAAAACAAUAUGGCUAUCACAAAGUAAAGUGCAUAAGUAAAGGGGCUCGGGUAAGAGAUAACCGAGGCACGCGGAGACGACGAUGUAUCCCGAAGUUCACACCCUUGCGGAUGCUAAUCUCCGUUUGGAGCGGUGUGGAGGCACAAUGCUCCCCAAGAAGCCACUAGGGCCACCGUAAUCUCCUCACGCCCUCGCAGAAUGCAAGAUGUCGUGAUUCCACUAAGGGGCCCUUGAGGGCGGUCACCGAACCCGUACAAAUGGCGACCCUUGGGGGCGGUCACCGAACCCGUACACUUUGGCAACCCUUGGGGGCGGUCACCGGUACCCGUCAAAUUGCUCGGGGCGAUCUCCACAACCUAAUUGGAGACCCCGACGCUUGCCCGGAGCUUUACACCACAAUGAUUGAGCUCCGAACACCACCAACCGUCUAGGGCACCAAGGCACCCAAGAGGAACAAGCUCUAGGGUGCCCAAACACCCAAGAGUAAUAAGCUUCUCAAACUUCACUUCCACGUAUCACCGUGGAGAACUCAAACUGAUGCACCAAAUGCAAUGGCAAGGGCACACGGAGUGCCCAAGUCCUUCUCUCCCAAAUCCCACCAAAGCAACUAAUGCUAGGGAGGAAAAUGAGAGAAAGAACGAAAGAAGAACACGAAGAACUCCAAGAUCUAGAUCCAAGGGGUUCCCCUCACUUAGAGGAGAAAGUGAUUGGUGGAAACGUGGAUCUAGAUCUCCUCUCUCUUUUCCCUCAAGAACUAGCAAGAAUCCAUGGAGGGAUUGAGAGUUAGCAAGCUCGAAGAAGGUCAACAAUGGGGGAAGAACACGAGCUCAAGGGAUUAGGUUCAUUGGGGAAGAAGACCACCUUUUAUAGGACCUCCCGAAUCCAACCAUUAUGUGCUCAGGUCGUGCACAAGCGGUACUACCGCUUGGAGGAGCGGUACUACCGCUUAGCACGGUCAAAACAGCCCAACGAGAGAGAAAACACGAGUUUUUGGUCCGGAGCGGUACUACCACUUAGGAGCCAUGGUAGUACUGCUCUGGAGCGGUACUACCGCUCAGGAGCCGCGGUAGUACCGCUCUAGAGCGGUAGUAAAAAAUUACAUCCGCUCUAGUCACGGUAGUACCGCUGCAGCCUUUACCAAAACAGCCACAACUUUUGCAAACGGACUCCGAAUUCAAUGAAACCAAGUUUGUUGGAAAGCUAACGACAUGGGAUAACACAAUAUUGAUAGAAAUAUCAAGAAUAAGCAAAUGAGAAAGGUCUUAUAAGAAAAUGGUGAGAACCCUUCAUCGGAUAAGACCGGUAAAACCUCCAACACCGAAAACAUCAUAGAAGACGCAUGCGAACUCCGUUUUCGAUGAACUCAAGCUUGUCAUCAAGAUGACCAUAAGCUCUAAGACUCACAAAGAUAACCAAACAAUAACCAAGAAACAUGAUGCAAGGAUGCAAUGGUUUGAGCUCUCUACUAACGAUACGAUCAAGCUACCAACUUGAGAGCCCCCCUUGAUAGUACGUCAAACGAUCCUAUAACUCAGUCUCCCAACUACCACCACAAGACCGAUAAAAUAGAAAACCUAUCAAGGGAAAAACUUUGCCUUGCACAUGGUCCACUUGAGCUUGAUGAAGACGAUCUUGACUCCCUCAAGUUGGACCACCUUUCUUGAUUGCGUUGGCUCGAUGAAGACUAGAUGAUUGCUCCCCCAUAAUUCACUAUGGGUGAGCCACUCUUCGGCACAUCUUCACAAGUCCAUUGACACCACAAUGGAUGGCAAGAUUCAAGCACUUGAUCUCUUCGUGAUGCUCCACUUGAACUUGCACACGGCAAUCUUGAUGACAAUCACCACUUGAUGUCAUCCUUUCCAUGGGUUGUAUGAUAUCUUCCUCUUGACGCAAGCCCAUGGAUACAUACCUAACCCCACAUACAACUCUCACAUAGACCAUGGGUUAGUACAUAAAGUGCAAUGGACAAUGCUUACCAUACCAUGGGAUCACUUGAUCCCUCUCGGUACAUCUUCUAUGCUUUGUGAGUUGAUCAACUUGAUUCACUAUUGACUUAGUCUUGAUCAACCUUGAAUCUUUGCAACUCUCUUCAUUUGGACGAUGUAUUGAAGGUAAACAUGAAUGAUCACACAACCUUCUUCUUCAAGACAUGCUUGCAAUAAGCUCAACACUCGCAUGAUCAAUCUUUGGAUAAUUCCUUAAUAGCACCUUGGUCAACUCAUAAACUCCUUGAAACCAACACAUGGACUUCAAGAAAAGCCUAUGGACAAAUCCUUCAAAUAUAACUCAAGACAACCAUUAGUCCAUAGAGAUUGUCAUCAAUUACCAAAACCAAACAUGGGGGCACCGCAUGUUCUUUCAGUGAUAAUAUUCGACGAUGUACGGACACCAAGAGAUGAUGUACUUUUGCUUAUAAUUAUUGAAUGCAUGCUAAUUUGAAUACUACUUUAUUUUAUGAUUUGGUUUUGCUUAUUUUAUGAUUUGAUUUUGCUUAUUGAAUGCUCAUAUCGGAUAAGUUCUCCUUCAUUCCCGUGUGCUAGACAAUUUGAUGUAAUAAUGCACUCGGGAAUGAAAGGAGGAGCUACGUACAUCACCGAUAGUCAACCCAUGAUUAAUAAUCUAGUUUAAUAUUAGAAUUAUGAACAUAGGCCGGAAAUGUCGUACUCGGACGACGAAAACCGUUCGGGGGAGUGCGACUAGUGCCACGACGACCGAGGUAUCUGCGACAGGUUCAUUGAGCUGGACGAAGAUCGUCGCUUCAGCAUUAAGCUCGAGGAGACCUUCGAUGUUCAUACGGUACGCAACCGACGACAAUAGUUUUUUUUGUAAUUAAUCAUGACUUCAACUAUUUUAAUCAUGACAACAUUUUUCAUCUUUUCCAAUUCGACUAGCUUAUCCCAUGCUUUGCAAGACGCUAUGUCUUGGAGAGGAUGGGUUUUAAAGACCAUGAAAGUUUCGAAACCAAAAACAUUAUCCUAAGUACCCAUCAUGGUGUGGAUUUUCAAGUAAAGUUGUACAAUGCUCAAAGUGUAACCCAUUUUGGUUGCAAAAAUUGGGAAGCACUUUGCAAGAUAUAUGGUCUUGAUGACGGUAUGCUUGUCACCAUGGAUCUUGGUGAUCCUACAAUCGAGCAAGAGAGACCUUAGAUUUGGGUCCUUGUGGAUACACCUCCAAUUCUUCCCCCAUGUGAGCUUAACAUAAUUAUUAAGUAAUUUAUAUUGUUUAUUUCAAAAUAGUUUACAACUUAUCUCCAUUGACAGCUUAUUUUCAUUCUUCAAAGAAUGUGCGAAAGAUGGUAGACAGAACCUACUACACCGAAGGCUCCGAAUUAACUUAUCAGGAGAAAAAUCAUCUGGUCGCAUUUUGGACUGAUCUUGAGAAUUACAAUAUCUACAAUCAAACUCCUCAACAUUAUGGUCAAUACGUGCCACUAGUGCACGUGUUGAACUACGGUAACUACCAUGGAGAUACCCUGGUAAGAUUAUUUUUUACUAUUACAACAUCUGUGCAUCUUUUUGCACACUUCUAAAACUAGUACAUUAUUGCUAACUACGAAGUUAUUACUAUGUUUUUCAACAGAUAAUCCCGAAUGAUUGUGUGCCUCAUCUGAUGUAUACGCAUGGUAGCCUUCAUGUUUUGAACAUACAACCAGGUCGUCCUACAAAUCUCAACUAUCCAUACCGGAUUUCUAAAAGAAGUGGAGACAUAACAAUCAAAGAAUGGAAAAAAUGUAUGGACAGUCGUAAGGAGCUUCUUGGAAGCAACAAGCAGCGAAGGGCAAGAAUUGGAGACAGGAUGAUCGCCAUUCUUCAUAAUGGAGAGUCAGGGUCUAUAUUGUUUUAUGCUAUUUUACCUUAAGGUUGUUUAGGUCCUACCUGAUACUAAUGAUCAUGUGCUAAGAACAAUUAUGUAGGGUUGGGUUCGAUGACUAUGAGGAUGAGGAUCGUAUGACUUAUUAUUAAUAACGAGUAGAAGUUGUAUGAUGAUGCAUGAUAUUAGUAGGACUUGUUAUUAUAUAUGAUGAUGUAUGAUGCGAGCAUGCAUGAGCAUGUUAUAUCAGCGGGUGAAAUGAACAUAGCAGCAGCGUUGAUAAACCAAGGACGAAGAUAUAAGAGAGGACACUUCUCUCUAUUAGCUAGCUAAUAACAACCUAAAAAUAACCCCCAAAACCCCUAAAGCAGCCACUUUUGGAAAAAAAAAGCAUGGACUUUUGGUCCCGGUUGGUGCCACCAACCGGGACCAAAGGCCCCCCUGACUGGGCUCGAUGGACCGGCCACGUGGAGGCACAUCUGUCCCGGUUCGUGUUUGAACCGGGACUAAUGGGUGGAGGUAUUUGUAACAACCCAUUAGUCCCGGUUCAUGAAUCGGGACUAAAGGCUCUUUCGAACCGGGACUAAUUGGUGUUUUUCUACUAGUGUACUAGCCAGCUCAAUUAGAUUAAUUGUUGUGUAAAAGGAAGCACGUCGCACUCUUUUGACCAUUCCACGAUGUUUUCUUUUUCUCUUUUCUUUGAGGAAUCUCCAUCACUCUCUCGUCCCCCUAUUUCUUUCUUAUUCGUAUUUAUCUUUACGUAAACACGCAAUGACGAUGAUUCAUAGGAAAUAAUCUUAGAUCGAGAAAAAAAUGUAUAAUCAAUGAUCUGAUUUCUGAAAAUGAUACUUUAGUGUGCACUUGAUUUGAGAGGGAUUGGGUAGAUUAGGAAUCUCCAACGUCUGUCCUCCCGCAUUUAACUUUUGAAGAAUGGACAAGAUGCACCAUCCCACACCAUGGUUAUUAUGUAGUUACCGGGCUAGAUGUACUAUAGUUACCAACAUGAUUACUAUGUAGUUAUCGGCCUAAAUGUACUAUAGUUAUCAACAUGGUUAUUACGGAGUUACCAUGCUCGAUGGACUAUAGUUAUCAACAUGGGCUACAUGCGGUAGAAUACACCCCCCCGGUAGCUUAUGUGUAAAUAGCAUGAUAAUUUACACAUCCCAGACCUGAUAACUCAUUCACAAACAUUGAUUACUUUUACCCGAGGAAAAAAAGUUGUUUGAAACCAUCCCCUCGUAGCUUAUGUGUAAGAAGCAUGAUAAUUUACACACCACGGACCUGAUAGACUAUGCACAAACACCGUGAUAAUUUUGACCUGAGAGAAAAAAGUUGUUAAGAACAUUUCUGAUAACUUACGCGUAAAUAAAAUGCUAAUGUAUGCACCGUAGAGUUGAUUAUUCACAUACAAAUGUCGUGUUUACUUUUUGAACCGGGUGAAAAAGUUGUGGAAAACAUACCCCGAUAACUUCUACCUAAAUAGCAUGGUAACAUACACACCUCGGCGUGAUAACUCACGCAAAAACACCGUGGUAACUUUGAUCAAGAGAAAAAGUAGUUGUUGAUACCAUACCCCCAAUAAUUUCCACGGAAAUAGCAUGUUAAUAUACUCAUUGCGGACAUGGUAACUUGCGCACAAACAUCACGACAACUUUUACCAAGAGAGUUUUUUGUUUGAAACCAUACCCUUGGUAAAUUUUGUGGAAAUAACAUGGUAAUAUAUGCACCAUAGACAUAAUAACUAAACAUACACCCGAUAAUUUUUGUGUAAAUAACAUGAUGAUGUAUCAUCGCAGACUUGAUAACUAAUAUUUUAUGUUUAAACACCAUGGUGUCUUUCAUCCAAGGGGAAAAAGUUUUUGAAACAUUUCACCGGUAAUUUCUAUGUUAAAUUAUCAUACUUUCCCAUGCUUUUAACCUUCUUGUACUGUAGUUACCAGCCUUAUCAUGGUAUAGUUAUCAUGUUACUCAGACCAUAGUUAUCACGCUGGUCAUUGCCAAAGUUACCAAGCCAAACUUUAUUUUUUCUUUUGAUAUGGCAGAAAUAAGAAAGGUUCAAAUAACAUUGUCAUUCUACAAAAGACAACAACAAAAGGUGGCUUAGUUGGUUAUUAGGCUCAAUAGGUAUUACAUAGACCUGGGUUUGAAUCCUCUUUCAAGCACUUUUAUUUUCUUUUCAUAUUAUGCAGCGAAAAACCAGAAAAAAAUCACUAGCAAUUUACUACAAUUUUUGAGAGAAGGAAAAAAAUCAGUGGAAGCGGGAGAAACGACGCAGCGGGACGAGCUGAAGGAUCGAUCGAAGGUUGUGCAGAUGUGCGGAUCUGUUGCUAAUCACGAGUCGACUGAUGGUUAGCACAGUCCUUAUAAUAAUGAAAUACAUGGGUUUGAUCUAUUUUGUUUGGUUUUCGUUCCAUGCCGACAAUUCCAGCUUUCAUCUUCCAAAGCAAACAAGACGACUUUUGCAAGCGGAGAGAACGUGUUUCGGGGACUAUCCCCCGCACGUGUGUCAUCACUUCUACCUCGAGAACAAGCUGAGACGUGGCAUCCCGGACGCGUCCAGUAGCUGCACACGUCCGGCCUCUCUUUAAUGGGGAGUCACUAGUCACCGGCUCCCGCCGGCCAGCCCACUCAUGCCCGCACACGUAGUGCCUCCGGCGAUCAUAUCCCCUCGCCGCAGACGGCUUAUAAAUUGGGCCUCGUGCUGCACCUGCUUCCACAACCACAAGGUGCAGCUAAGUGAUCAAGUGAGCAAGACAACACACCAGAUUUCUAAGGGAAUCAAGAUCAGCAUCUGUGCAAGAUGGAGCACGGCCAGGCGACUAACCGCGUCGACGAGUACGGCAACCCGGUGGCCGGACAUGGCGUCGGCACCGGCAUGGGGGCGCACGGCGGCGUGGGCACCGGCGCGGCCGCUGGUGGGCAUUUCCAGCCCACGAGGGAGGAGCACAAGGCCGGAGGGAUCCUGCAGCGCUCCGGCAGCUCUAGUAGCUCCAGCUCGGUGCGUGUACAUACACUUCUUGCUUGUUGCUAACACUAGUUGUAAUUUGCAUUUUCCCGUUUAAAUGCAUCAACGACUGAAUUUUCUCGUUCGUCGUGAUAGUCUGAGGAUGAUGGCAUGGGCGGGAGGAGGAAGAAGGGCAUCAAGGGGAAGAUCAAGGAGAAGCUCCCCGGUGGCCAUGGCGACCAGCAACAGACCGCUGGCACCUAUGGGCAGCAGGGUCACACCGGAAUGACCGGCACCGGGGCGCAUGGUACAGCAGCCACUGGCGGCACCUACGGGCAGCAAGGACACGCCGGAGUGACCGGCACGGGGACGCACGGCACCGACGGCACUGGCGAAAAGAAGGGCAUCAUGGACAAGAUCAAGGAGAAGCUGCCCGGACAGCACUGAGCGCGGCCCGCGGCAGCUACUUGAGAGUUGGGGUGCCGAGCUGGCCACCUUUGCAGAAUAAUAAGAUGGAGAUACAGUAGAACUUCCCGAAAUAAAGUGAGCUAGCUCACUCGUAAUAUCCGAGUUCUGAGUUUAGUGGACUUGAAUUUGGGUUGCUUGCUUGUAUUUGUAUGUACCCGGGACGUUUUGCACUCUGUACUUCGAUGUGUGAUUUUUUUUUGGUUGCAUUGUGUAUUUAUUAUAUGGGGAUAUACUGCAUUAUAUUUUGGUCUUUACUUGAGCUUUCUAUGUUAUUGCAUUUUUCGAAAUUUUGUGAGACAUAUUGUACAUUGCAUGGUAAAAUGUUUUAAGAGAAUUUGGAGCAUUCUAGGCAAUUGUUGAAAUUUUUUGGAAGUAUCAAAAAAUAAGGCACACCAAAAAUACACAUACAGAUCUUGAUUUUACUAACUCGGAGGAUGUUGCAUGCGCCGUGGAUCAUAAAUGAACGGCACUGUCGGAGAUCAACAAAACAGAGUGCAUAGCCACCAAAGAAAAAUCCCCACCGCCGAAAGUUUUCCUCUAUGCUCGAGCUCACAUGCACACUGAUGAAUAGUAAAAUAUGAAUAAAUUUAAAAAAUUCUGAAUUUUUUUACACGCUGAUGAAUGUUUUACCUACAUGCAAAAAUUCGUAAUGCAAUGAUAUUUGUGGAGGUCAGGGUUAUAAAAAUAAAAUCAAUGCUCUAAAAUUAGUCUUUCUGGAGCAUUUGAUUUUUUUACCAGACCCUAAUGAAAGUGAUUUCAUCACGAAAAAUUGCACGCAUGUUUAUUAAAAAGGGGCAGAGUUUUUACAUUUUUUUUUAUUUUACUGUUUAUACAGGUGCAUAUAAGCUCGAGAUUAGAAGCUCCAUGUCCACCCACCACUUAAUUCAUUCAUACACAAACUUUUAUUUUAAUACGCACAAAUGUGCUACUUUAUACUCUCCCGUCUCAAAAUAAGUGUCUCAACUUUGUACUAGUUUUGAUACAAAAUUGUAUUAAGGUUAAGACACUUAUUUUGGAACAGAGUGGGUAUUAAAAAAGAGAGAGGGGAUAAACAGCCCCUUCACGAUGAGAUUACAUAGUUCUUACAUACACUCAACUCCACGUCUAACUCAAUCCAUCGCUAAGGGCAUCUCCAGCCGUUGGCCCCCCAGGAGGGGCAAAAUAUCGCUCCCUGGGGACGCACCGGCGCUAAACCGCGCACUGGGGGCGUGUUGCCCCCCAGUCGCGGCGCCCAUGGGUAGUCAAAGAAGUCCAAAACGACUCAAUUUUAACACAAACGGCGGCGAGUUCAAACUUAAAUUUAAACAUAUUUCGUCCAAACUUAAACAUAUUUUACAAAAAAAAAGAAACUACCGCGGGCUACCCCCGCCGUCUCCCUCGCCGCCCGCCUCGUCGCACGCCCACGCGGUUCUACAUGCCAAGGAGGCUGUAGAACCGCGUGUAGUCACCGUCGUCAUCGCCGUCGUCGUCGUCGUCGCCGCCCCCACCUACGCCUCCGCCGUCCCUGCUGCAUCCCUCCCCCGGUUGGGGCGGCGGGUUGGACGGUCCGGGGGCGGCGGCGUCGUCGUCGUCGCUGUCGAGGACCACGACGCCGUGCUCGUCCUCGCGCCCACGCUUGCGGGCGGCGAUCUCCUCCAGGGCCCGGCGCUGUCGGACCGUCUCGUCGCGGAGGUAGUCCUCCCACGCCCACCGCAUGGCGUCCUUGUAGGAGAAGCCGCGCCGGGCUAUCUCCUCGUACUCCGCGGGGAGGCCCGGCUCCGGCUUGGGCUCGACGAGGACGAAGCGGCCGGUGGGUGGCGGGGCGUUGGCGCCGAUGCGGACGCCGGAACUGCGGGUGCGCGAGCUGACCGGCAUACCCUGGGGCUUCGGCUUGACGGGGCGGAGGCAGGGCGAGCCACCGGACGAGGAGGAGGACCCCCCGGUCUCCAUGCGCCUCGGGGUCCAGGAGCUUCCCCGGCGGUGUGAGAAGGAAGGGGGGUCGGGAUACUCGAGGCGCGGCGUGUUGCCGCCCUCGAUGUACUCGAGGACAGCCUCCAACAUGCUCCCGGGCACGCCCCACCACCGACACCGGCCGGCGGCGUUGAGCCUGCCGGAGAGCACGACGCCGUUGGUGGCCUCGAGCUGCUGGGCGUGACGGCGGCGGAAGUACGGUUCCCAGAGCGGGCUGUCGGGGACGUACCUUGGCCCCUCCCUCGCCGCACGCGGCAGGUUCGAGCGGAUGCGUGCGAUCUCCGCACGCCGCGCCACGCCCGCGGGUACCGUGGGCACCGGCACGCCGCCCGCGCUGAUCCUCCACGCCCCCGGCACUCGCAUGUCCGGCGGAACCGGGUACUCGGCCUCGUAAAGGAGGCGAGCCUCGUCUUCAUGAAGAUGGCAGCGGCCGAAGCCGUUCGCCGCUGCGCCGUCGCCUGGGAAGCGUUCGGCCAUGGGUGUGAAAGAGAGGAGAGGAGAGGAAGGAACGACGAUGGCGGGAGAGUGUGCGAGCCGACGAGUGCGUCGGGGCGCGGCAUAUAUAGGCCGAGGCGCCGCCCACGCGCGUGCCACCGUGUGUACGCGUCACAGGCGAGGGAGGGCGAGGGACGCGCGUCGUUCGGUCUUCACUGCGCCGCCCAUGAGGCAUCAAUGGCGCAGGUUGACCGGCGCGGCAGCGCGCGGCAGCUUUGACAUUGAUUCUCCGCGGGAAACGAGGCGAUGCGGACGACGGAGAGCCGAGAAGAGAGCCGUGUCGCUGACGCGGCGGGCCCACGGCUUUUUCGCGCCAAAACAGUUCGCCCGGCGCCCCCGGGCGCCCCCCAGCGCGCCGGGUUCGGGCUGGGUCCGCCGGCGCUAUUUUCGGCCCAAGCCGGCGAAAAUCGGGCUCCUGGGGGCGCGACUGGGCCGUUUUUUCGGCGCCAGCGCGGACAAAACGCCUGGGGGGGCCUUCCUGGGGGCGCGGCUGGAGAUGCCCUAACUCCUCGCGUCACUACCCAUUGUUAGCGCUACUAGGAAAAUAUCCAUGUCCGCUUUGACACUGCCUGCCGUCUUCCAUGAUCUACACUUGACCUCUAUUAUAUGAAUUACGCUUUCCAAAGACGGUGUGGCACCAUCGAAUACGACCCCGUUGCGAUGCUUCCAUUCAAGAACAACCACUGAUCCAGUAAUUGUUGGGGAACGUAGUAAUUUCAAAAUUUUCCUACGCACACGCAAGAUCAUGGUGAUGGCAUAGCAACGAGAGGGGAGAGUGUUGUCCACGUACCCUCGUAGACCGUAAGCGGAAGCGUUAUGACAACGCGGUUGAUGUAGUCGUACGUCUUCACGAUUCGACCGAUCCAAGCACCGAACGUACGGCACCUUCGUGUUCAGCACACGUUCAGCUCGAUGACGUUCCCCGGGCUCCAAUCCAGCAAAGCGUCGGGGAUGAGUUCCGUCAGCACGACGGCGUGGUGACGAUGAUGAUGUUCUACCGGCGCAGGGCUUCGCCUAAACUCCGCGACGAUAUGACCGGGGUGGAAUAUGGUGGAGGGGGGCACCGCACACGGCUAAGGAACGAUCCGUAGAUCAACUUGUGUGUCUAUGGGGUGCCCUUGCCUCCGUAUAUAAAGGAGUGGAGGAGGGGGAGGGCCGGCGCUCUCUAUGGCGCGCCCUAGGGUAGUCCUACUCCCACCGGGAGUAGGAUUCCCUCUUUCCUAGUAGAACUAGGAACCCUUCCAUGUAGUAGGAGUAGGAGAGAAGGAAAGGGAAGAGAGAAGGAGAAGGAAGGAAGGGGCGCCCCCCCCCCCUCCCUAGUCCAAUUCGGACUAGUCCAAGGGGAGGGGUGCGGCCACCCUUUUGGCCCUUUCUCUCCUUUCCCGUAUGGCCCAAUGAGGCCCAAUACGAAUUCCCGUAACUCUCCGGUACUCCGAAAAAUAACCGAAUCACUCGGAACCUUUUCGAACUCCGAAUAUAGUCGUCCAAUAUAUCGAUUUUUAUGUCUCGACCAUUUCGAGACUCCUCGUCAUGUCCCCGAUCUCAUCCGGGACUCCGAACGCCUUCGGUACAUCAAAACUCAUAAAUUCAUAAUAAAACUGUCAUCGUAACGUUAAGCGUGCGGACCCUACGGGUUCGAGAACUAUGUAGACAUGACCUAGAACUAUUCUCGGUCAAUAACCAAUAGUGGAACCUGGAUGUUCAUAUUGGUUCCUAUAUAUUCUACGAAGAUCUUUAUCGGUCAAACCGCAUAACAACAUACGUUGUUCCCUUUGUCAUCGGUAUGUUACUUGCCCGAGAUUCGAUCGUCGAUAUCCAAUACCUAGUUCAAUCUCGUUACCGGCAAGUCUCUUUACUCGUUCCGUAAUACAUCAUUUCGUAACUAACUCAUUAGUUACAAUGCUUGCAAGGCUUAAGUGAUGAGUAUUACCGAGAGGGCCCAGAGAUACCUCUCCGACAAUCGGAGUGACAAAACCUAAUCUCGAAUUAUGCACUCAACAUGUACCUUUGGAGACACCUGUAGAGCAUCUUUAUAAUCACCCAGUUACGUUGUGACGUUUGGUAGCACACAAAGUGUUCCUCCGGUAAACGGGAGUUGCACAAUCUCAUAGUUGUAGGAACUUUGUAUAAGUCAUGAAGAAAGCAGUAGCAACAUACUAAACGAUCGUGUGCUAAGCUAACGGAAUGGGUCAAGUCAAUCACAUCAUUCUCCUAAUGAUGUGAUCCCGUUAAUCAAAUGACAACUCUUUUGUCCAUGGCUAGGAAACUUAACCAUCUUUGAUUCACGAGCUAGUCAAAUAGAGGCAUACUAGUGACACUAUGUUUGUCUAUGUAUUCACACAUGUAUUAUGUUUCCGAUUAAUACAAUUCUAGCAUGAAUAAUAAACAUUUAUCAUGAAAUAAGGAAAUAAAUAAUAACUUUAUUAUUGCCUCUAGGGCAUAUUUCCUUCAGUCUCCCACUUGCACUAGAGUCAAUAAUCUAGUUCACAUCACCAUGUGAUUUAACACCAAUAUUUACAUCUGUAUGUGAUUAAUACCCAUAGUUCACAUCAUCAUGUGAUCAACGCCCAAAGAGUUUACUAGAGUCAAUAAUCUAGUUCACAUGGCUAUGUGAUUGACACCCAAAGAGUACUAAGGUAUGAUCAUGUUUUGCUCAUGAGAGAAGUUUAGUCAACGGGUAUGUCACAUUCAGAGCCGUGUGUUUUGCAAAUAUUCUAUGUCCACAAUGCUCUGCACGGAGCUACUCUAACUAAUUGCUCCCACUUUCAAUAUGUAUCCAGAUUGAGACUUAGAGUCAUCUGGAUUGUUGUAAAAGCUUGCAUCGUUGUAACUUUUUACGACUUGCUCUUUUAUCACCUCCAUAAUCAAGAAACGUCUCCUUAGUCCUCACUAAGGAUAUUCUUGAGCGCUGUUCUAGUGAUCUACUGCUAGAUCAAAAUUGUAUUCCUUUGCCAAACUCAGAGCAAGGUAUACAAUAGGUAUAGUACACAGCAUAGCAUACUUUAUAGAACCUAUGACUGAGGCAUAGGGAAUGACUGUUCAUUCUUUUCUAUUUUCUGCCAUGGUCGGGUAUUGAGUCUUACUCAACUUCACACCUUGCAACACAGGCAAGAACUCUUUCUUUGACUGUUCCAUUUUGAACUACUUCAAAAUCUUGUCAAGGUGUGUAUUCAUUGAAAAAUCUUAUCAAGCGUCUUGACCUAUCUCUAUAGAUCUUGAUGCUCAAUGUGUAAGCAGCUUUACCGAGGUCCUUCUUCGAAAAACUCCUUUCAAAUACUCCUUUAUGCUUUACAGAAUAAUUCUACAUUAUUUCCGAUCAACAUAUGUCAUUCACAUAUACUUAUCAGAAAUGUUGUAUUGCUUCCACUCACUUUCUUGUAAAUACAGGCUUCACCGCAAGUCUGUAUAAAAGUAUAUGCUUUGAUCAAUUUAUCAAAGCGUAUAUUCCAACUCCGAGAUGCUUGCACCAGUCCAUAGAUGAAUCGCUAGAGCUUGCACAUUUUGUUAGCACCUUUAGGAUUGACAAAACCUUCUGGUUGCAUCAUAUACAACUCUUCUAUAAUAAAUCCAUUAAGGAAUGCAGUUUUGACAUUCUUUUGCCAGAUUUCAUAAAAUGUGGGGAUUGCUAACAUGAUUCGGACAGACUUAAGCAUCGAUACGAGUGAGAAAAUCUCAUCGUAUUCAACACCUUGAACUUGUCGAAAAACCUUUUUGCGACAAGUCGAGCUUUAGAUAGUAACACUACUAUCAGCAUCUAUCUUCCUCUUGAAGAUCCAUUUAUACAAUAUGGCUUGCCGAUCAUCGGGCAACUCCACCAAAGUCCACACUUUGUUCUCAUACAUGGAUCCCAUCUCAGAUUUCAUGGCCUCAAGCCAUUUUGCGGAAUCUGGGCUCAUCAUCGCUUCCUCAUAGUUCGUAGGUUCAUCAUGGUCUAGCAACAUGACUUCCACAAUAGGAUUACCGUACCACUCUGGUGCGUACCGUACUCUGGAAUACCUACGAGAUUCUGUAGUAACUUGAUCUGAAGUUACAUGAUCAUCAUCAUUAGCUUCCUCACUAAUUGGUGUAGUAGUCACAGGAACAGAUUUCUGUGAUGAACUACUUUCCAAUAAGGGAGAAGGUACAAUUACCUUAUCAAGUUCUACUUUCCUUCCACUCACUUCUUUCGAGAGAAACUCCUUCUCUAGAUAGGAUCCAUUCUUAGCAACGAAUGUCUUGCCUUCGGAUCUGUGAUAGAAGGUGUACCCAACAUUUUGGGUAUCCUAUGAAGAUGCACUUUUCCGAUUUGGGUUCAAGCUUAUCAUGUUGAAACUUUUUCACAUAAGCAUCACAACCCAAACUUUAAGAAAUGACAACUUUGGUUUCUUGCUAAACCAUAAUUCAUAUGGUGUCGUCUCAACAGAUUUUAUAUGGUGCCCUUUUAACGUGAAUGCAGCUGUCUCUAAUGCAUAACCCCAAAACGAUAAUGGUAAAUCAGUAAGAGACAUCAUAGAUCGCACCAUAUCCAAUAAAGUGCGGUUACGACGUUCGGACACACCAUAACGUUGUGGUGUUCCAGGUGGCAUGAGGUGUGAAACUAUUCCACAUUGUUUUAAUUGAAGACCAAACUCGUAACUCAAAUAUUCGUCUCCGCGAUCAGAUCGCAUAAACUUUAUUUUCUUGUUACGAUGAUUUUUCCACUUCACUCUGAAAUUCUUUGAACCUUUCAACUAUUUCAGACUUAUGUUUCAUCAAGUAGAUAUACCCAUAUCUGCUCAAAUCAUCUUGUGAAGGUCAGAAAAUAACGAUACUUGUCAUGAGCAUCAACACUCAUUGGAUCGCAUACAUCGAUAUGUAUUAUUUCCAAUAAGUCAGUAGCUUGUUCCAUUGUUCCGGAGAACGGAGUUUUAGUCAUCUUGUCCAAAAGGCACGGUUCGCAAGCAUCAAAUGAUUCAUAACCAAGUGAUUCCGAAAAUCCAUCUUUAUGGAGUUUCUUCAUGCGCUUUACACCGAUAUGACCCAAACGGCAGUGCCACAAAUAGGUUGCACUAUCAUUAUUAACUUUGCAUCUUUUGGCAUCAAUAUUAUGAAUAUGUGUAUCACUACGAUCGAGAUCCAACAAACUAUUUUCAUUGGGUGUAUAACCAUUGAAGGUCUUAUUCAUGUAAACAGAAUAACAAUUAUUCUUUAACUUCAAAUGAAUAACUGUAUCACAAUAAACAUGAUCAAAUCAUAUUCAUGCUCAACGCAAACGCUAAAUAACAUUUAUUUAGGUUUAACACUAAUCCCGAAAGUAUAGGGAGUGUGUGAUGAUGAUCAUAUCAAUCUUGGAACUAUUUCCAACACUCAUCGUCACUUCCCCUCAACUAGUCUCUGUUUAUUCUGUAACUCCUGUUUCGAGUUACUAAUCUUAGUAACCGAACAAGUAUCAAAUACUCAGGGGCUACUAUAAACACUAGUAAGGCACACAUCAAUAACCUGUAUAUCAAAUAUACCCUUGUUCACUUUGCCAUCCUUCUUAUCCACCAAAUAUUCAGGGCAUUUCCGCUUCCAGUGACCAUUUCCUUUGCAGUGUAAGCACUCAGUUUCAGGCUUUGGUCCAGCUUUGGUCUUCUUCACGGGAGUGACAACUUGCUUGCCAUUCUGCUUGAAGUUUCCUUUCUUUCCCUUUGCCCUUUUCUUGAAACUAGUGAUCUUGUCCACCAUCAACACUUUGAUGUUUUUCUUUGAUUUCUACCUUCGUCAAUUUUAGCAUCACGAAUAGCUUGGGAAUCAUUUUUGUCAUCCCUUGCAUUAUAGUUCAUCACGAAGUUCUACUAACUUGGUGGUGGUGACUAGAGAAUUCUGUCAAUCACUAUCUUAUCUGGAAGAUUAACUCCCACUUGAUUCAAGCGAUUGUAGUACCCAGACAAUCUGAGCACAUGCUCACUAGUUGAGCGAUUCUCCUCCUCUUUUAGCUAUAGAACUUGUUGGAGACUUCAUAUCUCUCAACUCGGGUAUUUGCUUGAAAUAUUAACUUCAACUCCUGGAACAUCUCAUAUGGUCCAUGACGUUCAAAACGUUUUUGAAGUCCUGAUUCUAAGCCAUAAAGCAUGGUGCACAAAACUAUCAAGUAGUCAUCAUAUUGAGCUAGCCAGACGUUCAUGACGUCUGCAUCUGCUCAUGCAAUAGGUCUGUCACCUAGCGGUGCAUUAAGGACAUAAUUCUUCUGUGCAGCAAUGAGGAUAAACCUCAGAUCACGGAUCCAAUCCGCAUCAUUGCUACUAACAUCUUUCAACUCAAUUUUCCCUAGAAACAUAUCAAAAUAAACAUAUGAAAGCAACAACGCAAGCUAUUGAUCUACAACAUAAUUUGCAAAAUACUACCAGGACUAAGUUCAUAAUAAAUUAAAGUUCAAUUAAUCAUAUUACUUAAGAACUCCCACUUAGACAGACAUCUCUCUAGUCAUCUAAGUGAUCACGUGAUCCAAAUCAACUAAACCAUAACCGAUCAUCACGUGAGAUGGAGUAGUUUUCAAUGGUGAACAUCACUAUGUUGAUCAUAUCUACUAUAUGAUUCACGCUCGACCUUUCGGUCUCCGUGCUCCGAGGCCAUAUCUGCAUAUGCUAGGCUCGUCAAGUUUAACCUGAGCAUUCCGCGUGUGCAAAACUGGCUUGCACCCGUUGUAGAUGGACGUAGAGCUUAUCACACCCGAUCAUCACGUGGUGUCUGGGCACGACGAACUUUGGCAACGGUGCAUACUCAGAGAGAACACUUCUUGAUAAUUAGUGAGAGAUCAACUUAAAAUGCUACCGUCAAUCAAAGCAAGAAUAAGAUGUAUAAUAGAUAAACAUCAUAUGCAAUCAAAAUAUGUGACAUGAUAUGGCCAUGAUCAUCUUGCGCCUUUGAUCUCCAUCUCCAAAGUACUGUCAUGAUCUCUAUCGUCACCGGCACGACACCAUGAUCUUCAUCAUCUUGAUCUAUAUCAAUGUGUCAUCACAUGGUUGUCUCACCAACUAUUGCUCUUGCAACUAUUGCUAUCGUAUAGUGAUAAAGUAAAGCAAUUAUUUGGCACUUGCAUCUUAUGCAACAAAGAGACAUCCAUAGUGCUUCUGCCAGUUGCCGAUAACUUUAACAAAACAUGAUCAUAUCAUACAACAACUUAUAUCUUAUCACGUCUUGACCAUAUCACAUCACAACAUGCCCUGCAAAAACAAGUUAGACGUCCUCUACUUUGUUGUUGCAAAUUUUAUGUGGCUACUACGGGCUGAGCAAGAACCGUUCUUACCUACGCAUCAAAACAAUAACGAUAGUUCGUCAAGUUAGUGUUGUUUUAACCUUCGCAAGGACCGGGCGUAGCCACACUCGGUUCAACUAAAGUUGGAGAAACUGACACCCGCUAGCCACAUGUGUGCAAAGCACGGCGGUAGAACCAGUCUCGCGUAAGCGUACGCGUAAUGUCGGUCCGGGCCGCUUCAUCCAACAAUGCCGCCAAACCAAAGUAUGACAUGCUGGUAAGCAGUAUGACUUAUAUCGCCCACAACUCACUUGUGUUCUACUCGUGCAUAUAACAUCAAACCAUAAAACCUGGCUCUGAUACCACUGUUGGGGAACGUAGUAAUUUCAAACAUUUCCUACGCACACGCAAGAUCAUGGUGAUGGCAUAGCAACGAGAGGGGAGAGUGUUAUCCACGUACCCUCGUAGACCGUAAGCGGAAGCAUUAUGACAACGCGGUUGAUGUAGUCGUACGUCUUCACGAUUCGACCGAUCCAAGCACCGAACGUACGGCACCUCCGUGUUCAGCACACGUUCAGCUCAAUGACAUUCCCCGGGCUCCAAUCCAGCAAAGCGUCGGGGAUGAGUUCCGUCAGCACGACGGCGUGGUGACGAUGAUGAUGUUCUACCGGCGCAGGGCUUCGCCUAAACUCCGCGACGAUAUGACCGAGGUGGAAUAUGGUGAAGGGGGGCACCGCACACGGCUAAGGAACGAUCCGUAGAUCAACUUGUGUGUCUAUGGGGUGCCCCUGCCCCCGUAUAUAAAGGAGUGGAGGAGGGGGAGGGCCGGACCUCUCUAUGGCGCGCCCUAGGGGAGUCCUACUCCCACCGGGAGUAGGAUUCCCCCUUUCCUAGUAGAACUAGGAACCCUUCCAUGUAGUAGGAGUAGGAGAGAAGGAAAGGGAAGAGAGAAGGAGAAGGAAGGAAGGGGGCGCCCCCCUCCCUAGUCCAAUUCGGACUAGUCCAAGGGGAGGGGUGCGGCCACCCUUUUGGCCCUUUCUCUCCUUUCCCGUAUGGCCCAAUGAGGCCCAAUACGAAUUCCCGUAACUCUCCGGUACUCCGAAAAAUAACCGAAUCACUCGGAACCUUUCCGAACUCCGAAUAUAGUCGUCCAAUAUAUCGAUCUUUACGUCUCGACCAUUUCGAGACUCCUCGUCAUGUCCCCGAUCUCAUCCGGGACUCUGAACUCCUUCGGUACAUCAAAACUCAUAAACUCAUAAUAAAACUGUCAACGUAACGUUAAGCGCGCGGACCCUACGGGUUCAAGAACUAUGUAGACAUGACCUAGAACUAUUCUUGGUCAAUAACCAAUAAUGGAACCUGGAUGUUCAUAUUGGUUCCUACAUAUUCUAUGAAGAUCUUUAUCAGUCAAACCGCAUAACAACAUAUGUUGUUCCCUUUGUCAUCGGUAUGUUAUUUGCCCGAGAUUCGAUCGUCGGUAUCCAAUACCAAGUUCAAUCUCGUUACCGGCAAGUCUCUUUACUCGUUCCGUAAUACAUCAUUUCGUAACUAACUCAUUAGUUACAAUGCUUGCAAGGCUUAAGUGAUGAGUAUUACCGAGAGGGCCCAGAGAUACCUCUCCGACAAUCGGAGUGACAAAACCUAAUCUCGAAUUAUGCCAACUCAACAUGUACCUUUGGAGACACCUGUAGAGCACCUUUAUAAUCACCCAGUUACGCUGUGACGUUUGGUAGCACACAAAGUGUUCCUCCGGUAAACGGAAGUUGCACAAUCUCAUAGUUGUAGGAACUUUGUAUAAGUCAUGAAGAAAGCAGUAGCAACAUACUAAACGAUCGUGUGCUAAGCUAACGGAAUGGGUCAAGUCAAUCACAUCAUUCUCCUAAUGAUGUGAUCCCGUUAAUCAAAUGACAACUCUUUUGUCCAUGGCUAGGAAACUUAACCAUCUUUGAUUCACGAGCUAGUCAAGUAGAGGCAUACUAGUGACACUAUGUUUGUCUAUGUAUUCACACAUGUAUUAUGUUUCCGGUUAAUACAAUUCUAGCAUGAAUAAUAAACAUUUAUCAUGAAAUAAGAAAAUAAAUAAUAACUUUAUUAUUGCCUCUAGGGCAUAUUUCCUUCAGUAAUUUCCUAAAUUAAGAGUAUGCAUCCCAUAAUUUCAUCCAUCAUGCAACUCAACAAAAAGCUCGUCUCGCUGCACCUCCACCAUGCAACGUGCGUCACUAUCCACCCUACACCUUAGAAGGGGCAGUGCUCCAACGCUCCUUGAGAUACCCUUAGUGAAGCCACGAUCUCCUUUGUCCAAACCCGAUGAAUGCCUGGUAAUUUGUCCAUGUCACAAAAGACUACAGAACGAAGUUGACUAACUUGUACUAGCAAAGUCGCCCCCGAAUGGGCCAUCCAAUGGACCAACCCAAUAGACCGCUCUAGACGUCUGGGUUGUGCAAGACAGGUCCGGGCCAGACCAGGCCAACCAAUUUCCAUAUUUACUGAACAGGGUUACGAUUUUCAAUGCAUGCAUAUUUUCAUGGACAUGCAAUGAACAUCCAUGAGGUGUAAAUAUGAAUUUGAUAUUACUCGACCAUGUAUACCUGACCCAUUACGAUUUGAUGAAAAAAACUAGCUGCAAAAAAAUAAAUUUAAUCUCCUCCCCCCUCCGUUGCAGCCAUCGCUCCAGUGUCGUGAGGCGGAGGGGUAUCCAUUCCUUUCUCGAUUGUGCUUGGUCUGGUGUUGUUGAGGAGCUCGAGAGAUGUUACUCCUAUUGUUCUUCGUGGAUAAGAGCAUCUCCAGCCGUUGAGCCCUCCAGGAGGCAUUUUUUCGCCGCUUGGGGGGCUGCCGGCGAGAAUUUUGGCCUGGGGACAAAAAAAUCUCCGGUCGUUUCCACCCCCAAGCGCGCCGCCCCGUCCUUCCAGCAGCACAUCAUCGCCUCUGCUGCUGCCCCCGCCCGCUAUGGCCGCCGCUGCUCGCGUCCGCACGUGCCCCCGCGCGCCCUCCGUGGCCGGUGCUGACGAGGACGAAGAGGACGGAGGAGGAGGAAGUGGGCGCCUGGCCGCGCCCGCCCUCCGUGGUCGGCGCCGACGAGGACGGAGAGGAGGGAGUAGGAGGAAGGGGGGCGCCUGGCCGCGUGCGCUCUCCGUGGCCGGCGCCGACGAGGACGGAGAGGAGGGAGGAGGAGGAAGGGGCCGCCCGCGCCCGCACGCGCCUGGCCGUGCCCGCGCCCUCCGUGGCCGACGCCGACGAGGACAGAGAGGAGGGAGGAGGAGGAAGGGGGCGCCCGGCACGCCACGCCCCACGCGGCCGCCUGGCCUCCCGCCCUGNNNNNNNNNNNNNNNNNNNNNNNNNNNNNNNNNNNNNNNNNNNNNNNNNNNNNNNNNNNNNNNNNNNNNNNNNNNNNNNNNNNNNNNNNNNNNNNNNNNNNNNNNNNNNNNNNNNNNNNNNNNNNNNNNNNNNNNNNNNNNNNNNNNNNNNNNNNNNNNNNNNNNNNNNNNNNNNNNNNNNNNNNNNNNNNNNNNNNNNNNNNNNNNNNNNNNNNNNNNNNNNNNNNNNNNNNNNNNNNNNNNNNNNNNNNNNNNNNNNNNNNNNNNNNNNNNNNNNNNNNNNNNNNNNNNNNNNNNNNNNNNNNNNNNNNNNNNNNNNNNNNNNNNNNNNNNNNNNNNNNNNNNNNNNNNNNNNNNNNNNNNNNNNNNNNNNNNNNNNNNNNNNNNNNNNNNNNNNNNNNNNNNNNNNNNNNNNNNNNNNNNNNNNNNNNNNNNNNNNNNNNNNNNNNNNNNNNNNNNNNNNNNNNNNNNNNNNNNNNNNNNNNNNNNNNNNNNNNNNNNNNNNNNNNNNNNNNNNNNNNNNNNNNNNNNNNNNNNNNNNNNNNNNNNNNNNNNNNNNNNNNNNNNNNNNNNNNNNNNNNNNNNNNNNNNNNNNNNNNGUGAGGAGAGAGGCUGACUUGUGGGGCUUUUGCAUGCAAAAAAGAGUGACGGCGCCCCCAGCUAUCUGGGUUUGGGUUGGGACCACCGGACGUAAAUUUGGCUAAAUCCGGCGCUAUUUGAGCGUUUGGGGGCCUCACUGGGCGAAAAAAAUUCUGCCGGCAAUGAAAAAGGCCUCCUGGGGAGGGGGGGGGGGCUCUCGGGGGGACGGCUGGAGAUACUCUAAGGGUUGGUUAUGUGUGCCUACAUCGACGGGGUUCCAUGUGCAUCGGUGACUUCGACAACCUUUUACUUCGAGGUUUUGCCAUAUGAGGAUAGCAGGGUGACCCAGCUCCCCUCCCCUCCCCUCCCCCAAUAUGCUUAGUGUGGUUGCCAAUCUUUGUCGUACGUGGCGGUAUGCUAUUGCGACGACUCAAUGAGGUUUGUUCCUCUAUAGGUCUUUACUAGUAUAUUAGUGGUUCAGUUUCUCAACGUUGUUUGUUGUCGUCGUGGCUAAGGUGAUGCAACAACGACAAAUUGAGCCACGGCUUUGGCAAGAACUUUGAGGCAUGUAGUCAUAGUCCAUGUCUUGCCCUAUCUGUGGUUGUAUCCGAUCUUGUAUUGUUUGAUCCGAUGUAAAUUUAAUUUAAUUUCUGAAAAAACUGACGCAUUAGUAUCAUCUCCAUUAAUGAUGGAAAUACGGUUGGCCUAUUUUCUUACGUUUUCAUUCCAUGCCGACACUUUCAGCUUUCAUUUUCCGAAGCAAACAAGAGGACGUUUGCAAUCGGCGACAACGUGUUUGGGCGAUUGUAUCCCCCGUGUGUCAUCAGUUCUACCUCAAGAACAAGCUGAGACGUGGCAUCCCGAAAGCGUCCAGUAGCUGCACACGUCCGGCCUCUCUUUAUGGGCGAGUCACCAGUCACCGACUCCCGCCGACCAGCCCACUCAUGCCCGCACACGUAGCGCCCCGACGAUCCUAUCCCCUCGCUAAAGACGGCUUAUAAAUUGCGCCCCGUGCUGCAUCUGCUUCCACAACCACGAGUUGCAGCCAAGUGAGCAAGACAACACACCAGAUUUCUGAGAUAAUCAAAAUCAGCACCUGUGCAAGAUGGAGUACCAGGGACAGCAGCAGCACGGCCAGGCGGCGACCAACCGCGUCGCCGAGUACGGUAACCCGGUGGCCGGACAUGGCGCCGGCACCGGCAUGGGCGCGCACGGCGGCGUCGGCACCGGCGCCGGCGCGGCUGCAGGUGGGCAUUUCCAGCCCACGAGGGAGGAGCACAAGGCCGGAGGGAUCCUGCAGCGCUCCGGCAGCUCCAGUAGCUCCAGUUCGGUGCGUGUUUAUAUACUUCUUUCUAAUUAACACUACUUCUGCAUAGUUGCAUGCGUGAAGAGUAUGCAUGAAAAAGCAUCAAUGACUGAUUUUUCUUGUUCCUCGUGAUAGUCUGAGGAUGAUGGCAUGGGCGGGAGGAAGAAGAAGGGCAUCAAGGAUAAGAUCAAAGAGAAGCUUCCGGGUGGCCACGGCGACCAGCAGCAGACCGCCGGCACCUACGGACAGCAAGGUCAUACGGGAACGGCCGGCACCGGCGGCACUUACGGCCAACCGGGACACACCGGAAUGGCUGGCACCGACAGCACCGGUGAGAAGAAGGGCAUCAUGGACAAGAUCAAGGAGAAGCUGCCCGGACAGCACUGAGCCCGGCCCGCAGCAGCUACUCGAGAGUUGAGGUGCCGAUCUGGCCACCUUUGCAGAAUAAUAAGAUGGAGAUGCAGUAAAACUUCCCGAAAUAAAGUGAGCUACUCACUUGUGAUGUCUGAGUUCUGAGUCUGGUGGACUUGAAUUUGGGCUGCUUGUAUGUACCCGGGAUGUUUUGUGCUCUGUACUUCGAUGUGUGAAUUUUCUUUUGGUUGUACUGUGUAUUUAUUAUAUGGGGAUGUAUAUCAUGGUAUAAUGCAAUAUAUUUUGCCCUUUU